rnacentral:lncRNA from 1 species
GACCUUGAAUUUAUCAAACUGUACGGCUCUCACUGAAUUACCAAUACAUGUUGGAAAUUUAGUUAGUUUACGUCACCUUGAUAUAACUGGGACUAACAUAAGUGAGUUGCCUGUGGAAAUUGGGAGACUAGAAAACCUUUAAACUCUCGCACUAUUUUUAGUGGGUAAGAGACAUGUAGGGUUAAGUAUCAAAGAGCUCAGGAAAUUCCCAAACCUACAAGGAAAACUUACCAUCAAGAACCUGGAUAAUGUGGUUGAUGCCAGAGAGGCACACGAUGCCAACCUAAAAAGCAUAGAGACAAUCGAGGAGUUAGAGCUGAUAUGGGGAAAACAAAGUGACGACUCGCAAAAAGUGAAAGUUGUGCUCGAUAUGUUGCAACCACCAAUAAAUUUGAAGAGCCUGAAUAUUUGUUUGUAUGGUGGGACAAGUUUUCCGAGUUGGUUGGGAAGUUCUUCGUUUUAUAACAUGGUAUCUCUCAGUAUCAGUAAUUGUGAAAAUUGUGUGACACUUCCAUCCCUAGGGCAGUUACCUUCUCUCAAGGACCUAGAAAUAUGUGGUAUGGAGAUGUUGGAGACAAUUGGCCCGGAGUUCUAUUAUGCCCAGAUUGAAGAAGGAUCUAAUUCUUCCUUCCAACCAUUCCCAUCCCUUGAGCGUAUAAUGUUCGACAACAUGCUCAAUUGGAAUGAAUGGAUUCCCUUCGAAGGCAUAAAAUUUGCUUUUCCUCAACUUAAGGCUAUAAAGUUACGUAAUUGUCCAGAACUAAGGGGACAUUUGCCCACCAACCUUCCUUCCAUAGAAGAAAUUGUAAUAAAAGGUUGUGUUCAUCUAUUGGAAACACCAUCUACUUUGCAUUGGUUGUCUUCAAUAAAAAAAAUGAAUAUCAAUGGGCUUGGUGAAAGUUCCCAAUUGUCAUUGCUUGAGAGUGAUUCUCCUUGUAUGAUGCAAGAUGUAGAGAUUAAAAAGUGUGUUAAGCUAUUAGCUGUGCCAAAAUUGAUUCUGAAAAGCACUUGUCUUACACACUUGGGACUCGAUUCUCUUUCUUCUCUCACUGCAUUUCCCUCAAGUGGUCUACCCACUUCAUUGCAAUCACUUAAUAUUCAAUGUUGUGAGAAUUUAUCCUUCCUUCCUCCUGAAACGUGGAUCAAUUACACAUCACUUGUGAGUCUUAAGUUCUAUCGUAGCUGUGAUACACUUACAUCCUUUCCACUCGAUGGUUUCCCUGCGCUCCAAACACUUACCAUAUGUGAGUGCAGGAGUCUGGAUUCCAUUUAUAUUUCAGAAAGGUCUUCACCUCGGUCGUCGAGCCUCGAAUCACUUGAGAUCAUAUCCCCUGAUUCAAUUGAAUUAUUUGAAGUCAAGCUUAAGAUGGACAUGCUCACAGCUCUUGAAAGGUUGACUCUAGAUUGUGUAGAGUUGUCAUUUUGUGAAGGAGUUUGUCUACCUCCCAAAUUGCAAUCAAUUAAGAUUUCUACCCAAAAAACAGCACCGCCGGUUACGGAAUGGGGUCUCCAAUAUUUGACAGCACUUUCCGACUUGGGUAUUGUAAAGGGUGAUGAUAUAUUUAACACCUUGAUGAAGGAGUCAUUGCUACCCAUCUCCCUUGUGACUCUAACUAUCAGGGAUCUCUCUGAAAUGAAGUCCUUUGAUGGAAAAGGGCUUCGUCACCUCUCCUCUCUCCAACGUCUCCGUUUUUGGGAUUGUGAACAACUUGAGACAUUGCCAGAAAACUGCCUCCCUUCCUCGCUGAAAUUACUUGAUUUGUGGAAAUGUGAAAAGCUUAAAUCAUUACCAGAAGACAGCCUCCCUGACUCUCUGAAGAGACUGCUCAUUUGGGAAUGUCCAUUGUUAGAAGAAAGGUAUAAAAGGAAGGAACAUUGGUCCAAAAUUGCUCACAUCCCAGUCAUAUCAAUAAAUUACCAAGUCACAAUAUGAUAGACAAGUUGUGUUCCCAUUUCAGGUAUGUUCCACAGUUCCUACCAGAAAGCCAAUAAUCAAUCCUCUGUAUGAGAUUUAAUGAUAUCUCAGAAUUCAACUUUUUGUAUAGCGUGGACACUCCAGUCUUUCCGUUUUUAUCGGCAAAGAACAAUAAAAUUGGAAGAAAUAAUUAAAUUAGGGGUAAAAUUAGAAGAAAAAAUACCACAAUAUUUUUUAUUUAAGGUCAAAAUAAGAUUUUUUAUAAUGUUCAAUAUUUUUUCUAUUUUUGCGGAUUGUUCAUAUAUUGUUAUAGACGUGUAUUCUCUGUAUGAGAUUUGAGAUUCUAAAUGGAAUUUUGAUCAUUAUUUUCUUAACUUCCCUCCUUUCACCAAAUUUCUUGAAACAUAUAGGUGAAGAAAUUUCAGUUUUCUGUAUUUUAUAAGGUUGUUUAUCAAUAAACUCCUACCUAGGGUCCAUUUGGAAUAGACUUAUUUUGAAGUUUAUAUAAAAUAGCUUGCAAAUAAAUAAGCUUAUAUGUAUUAUUCAUAAGCUUGUCAAUGUAGUUUAUGAAACAACAUUUUAUGAAGAUAUAACUUUUGUUAGUGAAAACUUAUAAAUUAUCGUAAAAGCUUGUUUAUUUGCAUAAACUUAUAAAUAAAUCAAUCCAAACAGGCCCCUAGUCACUUGCUAUUAUAUUAUUUGCCAAGAAAUUCACUUCCAGAAUCAUUCUGUUGAAACUGUUGGUGUUUGCCAGUUAACAUAAUAUUAAUUGAGGUGUUACUCAAUAUUUGAUAUUUUGUGUCUUCUUUUCAGAAUAGGCAUAAUAAAUGGAUGAAAAUCAGCUCACUUGAUGAAAUGAAGAAAAAAGUGAAACAAGAUUUUGAGUUCAUGAUUCCUCUUGUAAGCUUGUUUUAGAGGAGCCAAAUGCAUGGUUGCCAUUGAUUGCAUCAAGAUUGAAUUUGCUUAGCUAGUAUUAAUUAUGUAUUUUCUUAUCAUUUGACUUCACCUUUGAAUAUUUUUCAAUACUAUGCACAACAGGGUUUGUAAUAUAAGUAAUUUUCGAUUUUACACACCGUAAAAAAAAAAAAUUGAUUUAUCUCUCUGUAAAAAAAAAUUGUUUCGAUUUACCCCCUAAUAGACUAAACAAAAACGAAAAUUUCUUAAAAAAAAAAAUUAAAAUUGGUUCUUGUUUGGCCUAUUAGGGUGUAAAUAAAAAAAAAUUACAGGAAGGAAAAUCGGAAAUGACCUUACAGAAGUAAAGACCUAUUAACCCCUUUGUUAAAUAAUGAUCAUGGUUGAUGGAUAUGAUCAGAAAGGGUAGAUACUUACUGGUGGAAGAUAUGAUUAAAGGAUAAAUAACAAAUAUUUUUAUGAUUGUCAAGCAAGUCUUCCUUUGCCAAGGUUAUGUUGUGUAUGAAUGAAAGUUUAUUUUUUGGAGAAAAUAUUUUCCCAAUUAAGUUGUUGUGACUUGUGAUUAUGCGGUUUGCAAACUAGGAAUAGUAGUUUGUUUCUGUCACAACUUGUUUUAAAACUUAAUCUUUUAACUUAUCCCCAAAAUAAUGGUACAUUUUCUUUUUGGUUUCAAAGGUUAAACGGUCUAGUUCUUCCUUCACAUCUUUAAACAAAUUGUGUAACACAUCUUUAUUUAAUUUUUUUGAAAUUGAGUAUAACCGUGGUACUAAUCGUCAUUGCACAACUGUGUCAUAUGGAAUAUAAUUUAGAAUACGGUUACAAAUUCAAACUUGUAUCUCAUGGACAUCGUAUAUUUCAUUUUAUGUUCCUAUUCAUAAAUUUGAAUCAGCAAAAUGUUUUUUCUAUACAACAUAAAACAUUAGACUAUCAACGAGUGUAUCUUGUCUGGCGCAUAAGCAAUAGAUACUUAUGAGCAACUUUAAGUCAAUCAAAAUCUCCUUAUGUUCAUCUUUUAUAUGAUAUUCAAGUGUUGAUAUCUUAUUAUCCAUGCUCACAAAGGAUUGUGCAAGUUGUCACAGAGGAUUGUGCGACGCCCAGAACUUAUGUGUUAUUAUAUAUUAUAGUAAAUUUUAAGAUAUGCAUAUGAAAAUGAUUGUUUAUAUAAUUGUUGUUAUGGAACAAUUAUAAGUAAUAUUGGCUCAUGUUUUAAUUUUGGUUAAAUAUGUUUUUUGUCCCUAUAAAUAUACCAACUUUUCUUUUUAUAGUCCCUCUAAAAUUUUCAAUCACUACUUUUGGUCCCUAUUUUAAAGUUAAUUUUAGUAUUUUUUUUUCGUAAUGAAAUUGUGAAGAAAUGUCUAGAAUAUUGUAAAAAUAUUUCCCAAAAAAAUUAGAAUUUUUUAACAAAACAUAAAUUAAAUAUGAAUUUUUAACUGUCAAAUAUAUAAAAAUUCAUAUUAAAUUCAUGUUUUGUUAUAAAAUCUUUUUUUUUUUUUUUUUGAUAGAUUCUUAUAAUAUUAUGAAUUUUUCUGCAAAAUUUUAUAUAUGAGCACUUUAAAAUGGGGACCAAAAUUGAAGAUGGAAAAAAUUUUAGGGACUAAAAGUUGAAGAAAAUUUUUCGAGAAACUAAAAUGAAAAGUUGGUAUAUUUAUACAAACCAAAAACAUAUUCAAUCAUUUAAUUUUUAAAAUUUAGAUGAUGUUUAUUUCUUCCGAUUAUAAAUAUAAUAUCUUUAAUAUUCGUAUAUUUUUUAUAAAAUAUUUAUUUAUUUUAACAAAUAUAAAACUAUAAGACCCGUGCGCAUCGCAAAGAUCGACCGACUAGUAUAAUUGAAUGGAGUAAAGCAUAUUAAAUACACCUAACAAUCAUAACAAUAAGCCACCACAAAGGAGUCAUCAUGUAAUAUGCAAUUCACAUGCAACCUAGAAAAGAUCUACUCCUACUUGUGUAUCCAAUCUACAUCGAUUUACUGCAAGAAGAUAAGUCACCUUUUCAUAUAAAUGUUUGAAAACUGAUGUUCACACAUUAAAGUUGGUUGAAACACACGAGUACUUUACGAAAUUACCUCCAUCACCCCAUCGGCAGUUAAUUACCGCCAGUUUCUCUCGGCGGUGGCAGUUAACUGCCGAACUUCCAUCACUCCAUCGGCACUUAAGUGCCAAAGUCACCAUUCAGAAACGCAUCACAACAAUUUUUCGCAGGUUUUGUCCAUGGUGAUAUGAUUUGAAGAAGUCCCAUAUCAAUUUAGAAUUUGAUUAUUUCAUGGACAAGAAAUUAGACUCGAAACUUUUAUGGUUUUGAUCAAUUUAGAGAAGCCCCAUAUGAGCACUCCGAAUUGUCAAAUAAAUUGUGUGAAUCAAUAACAGGGGUUUUGGAUGCAAGUUUUAAUUCAAGAAAAGCUCAAACAAACUUCAAAUUUUGUGAGUUGUCAACAUGAAGUGAUGGAGAAUAAGAAAAAAUGGUGAGUUUAGUAGGAACAAGAGGAAAUGGUGAGUUUGAAGAGAAACGAAAAUUGAAAAAUAAAAUAAACAAAGAAGUCUUGAAGAAGAGAAAUGGUGUUUUGGUUUAACAACCAUUGAAGUUUCACUCUUUUUAACAGAAACAUUAGGAUCAAGUGGCUCUGAAUGGUGACUUCGGCACUUAAAUGCCGAUGGAGUGAUGGGAGUUCGACAGUUAACUGCCGAUAGGGUGAUGGGGUAAUUUCGUAAAGUACUGGUGUGCUUCAGCCAACCUUAAUGUGUGAAGAGCAGUUUUCUAAAUGUUUGUAUACAUUCGAAACACCCUAGUGAUGCCCCACCUUUCAUGUAAGAUCUUGCUCAAUUCGGCCAUUCAAUUUUCAUAGAUUCCAUGGGCCCUUUAAAAUUCUAAAUCUAGAAAAUUGAGAAUUUUCUCUAAUUCUUUAACCAAAUGUUUAGUAUGGUCUUAAAUAAUUCUCUAAUAGCUAAAACUAUUGGAUGAUGUUUAGAUUCCGUGGAAAUUGUUUCGGAGGUCAUUUUGAAAAACAUUGCUAUGGACAAAGUUGAUAUAGUUGUGAGUGGUUAAUUUACAUAGUAGCCAUUUUUAAUAAUAUUCUUUCUAGAUUAUCUUUGAAAUUUUUAAUGGUUUAUUUGCUAUGGACCCUGUUAAUUUUAACUGGUUUUCUUGCCUCAACAAUUAUGUUUAGUUUUCUACCCUGAAUAUAUAAUUAUUGUUAGUUAGUAUUGGUUUGAAAUUGCGAAAUCUUUGAAAUAAAAUGCAAUUAUAAUUGUGACUGAAUAUGUCGUUUGGUAUCAUAUUCCUUGUUUUGAACGUUUUAAUCGAUAUUGUUAGUUUUAUGAUGGAACAUUGUUAUCUGCAACGGAGAGAUAAUACAACAUGUGAGUUAAAUACUCAUAGUAAUUUAAGAUCAUAACUACUUGUUUCAACGAAGAAUUAAUGUAGCCUAUAAAUUUAGUGCUUGUAGUAACUUGAGAUGGUAUCAUUCGUAAACAAAGAGAUAGUGUGGUAUAUGUGCACAUUGUGGAAUGAGAUAAACGAAUAAUGUGAUUUAUUUCUAUUACUUUCAAUUGUAGAUGUGUUUGUAGAACUUUGUGUAUGACUUAUGAUUGGAUCAUGCUAAAGAUUUUAUUGAAAAGUGUUAUCCUUAAGGGAAUUAAUUAUGAAUGAGAGUUUUCAAAGGAUGAUACAUUUAGUUUAAAAUUCAUUUUGGAUUAAAACUCGCAAAAUUCUUACUUUUUCUUCCACUUUGUUAAUUAGGUUCUCCUGGAAUUCACAUAUCUAUGCAAACUAUCAUCCUUAGUGAUUCACACUGAAGAGAAAGGCUCUCCUGAUCUAUGCAGAAUUUCAUCCUUGUGGUAGUUAUUUAUCUUUAACCGUGUUCAUUAUUUUAUUAUUUCAGUAUGAUGCAAUUAUAUGAAUAGGAGUUAUUCUUCUCUUUUGAGUUGUACAAUUGAUGACAUAUCUUUUAUACACCUCUCGUUGAUAUUUAGUUGACAUUUCAAAUGUUAUGAAAAUGGAUGAUAAGCUACUAAAUUUUGAUAGUUAUGCAUUUUAUAAAGGUGUAUGUGUUAUAAUGUAUUAAUCUUGCUUGGGUAAAUGUAUGAUGAGUUAGGGUUAGCCGAUGCGCCGGUCAUGACCUAAAAUUGAAUCGUGACAAUAUGUUUUCCUUUUCACACUUUACACACAUGCAAUACUUAGCAUGCAUUGUUGCUCACUACUUCCUUUCUACUUCAAGCGUUGUGAAUGCAAUGUGUAAAUGUGUAUUCCCAUAAAUGUCUUUGAAUUUUAGAGUGAGGGUUCGAUUAAGUCUUUCAUAAGUGAGGCAGAAAACAAAUACCUUUAGAUUUAAUCUAUGAUUCAGAUUUUUUUUUAUUUUUAAAAAAAAAUGAGAGCAUCUACGCAUUGCUACACUCAAGCUUUCUCCUAUCUGCAAGAGAUGGUUUCUGACAAGGUGCAAGCAAUUAAUUAGGUUAGAGUUUGUAAAAACACUACAAAUCGUAGUUUUGAUGUAUUUUGAUAGAAUACUAGAAUCAAAUUUAGGCAUUUUGAGCAUAGUAUAAGCUAAUUUAUGGCAAGUUUAGAUUGCUUUAUUUGGGUUUAUCUAUUCGCGUAAGCGCUUAUCAGACUCUUUAGGAGAGCUUAUGAAAUCAAUUUAUGACAUGUUUACAAAAUUUUUUAGGUUAUUUUCACAAACUCUCUAAAUAGCCUAUGAACACAACUUAUAGUUUAUAUAAAAUUAAUUUGACUUUAUUUUUUUAAAAGUAUAUGAAUUUAUUUUUUAUUUUGUUAUAGAAAUAGCUUACAUAAGCACGUAUACAAUAACCGCUUUUGUUAUAAGCACUUCAUUAAAUUAUUUAUCCAUCAAUUUCAAAUCAUUUGACCAGCCAGCUUCUAGGAGUUUUACCUGCUGAGAAGUUUGCUUGUUGUUGCCCAUUUUUAAUUUAUUUUAGCAAAAAUAUGAAAUAUAACUUUGUUUCUUACCUAACAAACAAGUCUUCUUGAGUCUACGUUUACUAUCUGCACUGCCAGCCAUCCAAAAACAGUACUAUUAUCCAUUCAUUCUCAUGCAAGUCUUUCCUCCUUAAUUGCAAUCACUACUAUUCUUGAAUGUUCAUAGCUCUUAACUUUCUUUGCAACUUACUUGCAAUAUCAUUUACAACUUUUUUCCUUUGCUGCUUUACUUUACCAAUCAGAUAUGGCUGCAGCUUUGGUCGCAGGUGCAUGUCUCUCAGCAACUACUCAAACCAUAGCAGACAAGCUAAGCUCAUCAGAGUUUCGUGGUUUCAUCAGAAACACCAGGUUCAAUUACUCACCGCUGGCAGAAUUGAAAACAACAUUGUUUGCUCUUCAAGCUGUGCUGGUUGAUGCAGAGCAGAAACAGUUCACUGACCUUCCUGUCAAACAAUGGCUUCAUGACUUGAAAGAUGCAAUAUUUGAUGCUGAAGAUUUGCUUGACUUAAUCAGCUACGAUGCUCUGCGGUGCAAGGUGGAAAACAUGCCAGUUAAUCAGUUGCAGGACUUGCAUUCGUCAUCUAUAAAGAUCAAUUCCAAGAUGGAGAAAAUGAUUAAAAGGUUGCAAACUUUUGUCCAGAUAAAAGAUAUCAUUGGCUUGCAGAGAACUGUAAGUGAUAGAUUUUCUCGUAGAACCCCUUCAAGUUCAGUGGUAAAUGAAUCUGUCAUUGUGGGUAGGAAUGAUGAUAAAGAUGACUCAUCAAUAUGUUGGUAUCAGACUGUGGCACCAGUAGAAAUAAUAAUUUAGGUGUUGUUGCAAUCUUGGGUAUGGGAGGUGUCGGUAAAACAACCCUUGCACAACUUGUUUACAAUGAUGAAAAGGUUGAACACCAUUUUGAUCUCAAGGCCUGGGUUUAUGUAUCAGAGGAUUUCGAUGUUGUGAGAGUAACCAAGUCUCUCAUUGAAUCUGUUGUUAGAAAUACAUCAUCUUCUGCUUCAAAGGUCUGGGAAAGCAAUAAUCUUGAUAUCCUUCGAGUUCAGUUAAAGAAAAUCUCAAGGGAGAAGAGAUUUUUGUUUGUGUUGGAUGAUCUAUGGAAUGACAAUUACAAUGAUUGGGAUGAGCUAGUAAGUCCACUCAUUGAUGGAAAACCUGGAAGUAUGGUGAUUAUAACAACCCACCAACGAAAAGUUGCUGAGGUGGCACGCACAUUUCCUAUACAUAAACUAAAACUUUUAUCAAAUGAAGAUUGUUGGUCUUUACUCUCAAAGCAUGCAUUGGGAAGUGAUGAGUUUCACAAUAGUACAAACACAACCCUUGAAGAAAUAGGCAGAAAGAUUGCAAGAAAGUAUGGAGGAUUGCCAAUAGCUGCUAAAACAAUAGGAGGACUUCUACGUUCAAAGGUAGACAUAACAGAGUGGACUUCAAUUUUGAACAGCAACGUAUGGAACUUAUCAAAUGAUAAUAUUCUUCCUGCUUUGCAUUUGAGUUAUCAAUAUCUUCCCUCUCAUUUGAAAAGAUGUUUUGCAUAUUGUUCAAUUUUUCCAAAGGAUUUCCCACUUGAUAAGAAGACAUUGGUUUUGUUGUGGAUGGCAGAAGGCUUCCUCGAUUGUUCUCAAGAGGGAAAAAUGGCAGAGGAAGUAGGUGAUGACUGCUUUGCUGAAUUGUUGUCCAGAUCCUUAAUUCAGCAAUCAAAUCAUGUUGGUCGUGGAAAAAAGUUUUUCAUGCAUGACCUUGUCAACGAUUUAGCUACAAUCGUAUCUGGAAAAAGUUGUUACAGGCUUGAAUGUGGUAAUGUCUCUAAAAAUGUCCUCCAUUUGUCAUAUACCCAAGAAGUGUAUGACAUUUUCAUGAAGUUUAAAAGUUUCAACAAUUUUAAAUGCUUGUGAAGCUUCAUGCCCAUUUGCUUAUGGAGAGAACAAAAUUACUUAUCCACCAAGGUAGUUGAUGAUUUGCUACCAACACUCAAAAGGUUGCGUGUGUUAUCGCUGUCAAAGUAUACAAAUAUCACCAAGCUACCUGAUUAAAUUGGCAAUUUGGUGUAGUUGCGGUAUCUAGAUCUCUCUGAAGGUGAGAAAAACACAAGAAGGGGGGGGGGGGGGGGGGGGGGGGGGUUGAAUUGUGUUUUCUUUUUCUCUUCUAAAAUCUUCUUCUGAAAUCACUUCAGAAGCUGUUUAAGAAAGCUUCUGAUGAGAAGUUCAGAAUUGGAUACGCAGCGGAAUAAAAACAGAGUAGAGAAAGAAGAAAGAGAGACACAAGCAAUUAUCCUGGUUCCUUCCACAAACCGGAAGUAGUCCAGUCCCCCUUGAACUUCCAAGGAGAUUUCCACUAAGAAAUAAUCACACAGAUUACAACUGCUCAAUACUACACCUAGUAUGAGACUUCAUAAAUGCUCAAGCACGCAGGCAAGAGACUUCCUUUGCUCAAGCACUAAAGCAAGAGACUUCUAUUCAAACAGAAUUACAAAGAAAAUUGUUUGAGUUUGAACACUUGAUAUACAAUCAGUGGUGUUCACAAUACAAUGCAAUUGAAAGACUCUCUAGACUUAAGAAUUUCUAAGAUAUAUCAAAUUAACACAGAAAUUCAAAGUGCUUUUGAGUGAAACAAAUUUGGCAGAGUUUGGGCGCUUUUAACUUGUUGUAUUGUCUCUUCUGAUCUUCAAGUCUUCACUCCUUUAUACAGAGAUGUGUAGAGAGACGUUGAGAUCUUUAAGCACGUCAAAAGAGUCAUUGAGAAACCUUGAUCAAAUACCAAUGAUCUUUUGCCUGAUUUGGAUGUUGUCCUAUGAAGGAUCACGUUCAAAUCCAUUCCUAUCUUGAAGGAACAUUUCUGCAGGCAGAGCUGUUUUCUUGUCUUGUAGCGUAGACACAAGCAGAGUCGUGGAGGUAGUGGUUGUACACUUCGUACUUUGUCAACUCUCAAUGAAGGACAAGCACCCAAUGCUUUUCAAACGAACGUUGGCACUUUCCUUUAGUCUUUCGCUUUCCUAGACGAGGUUGAAUCCAAUAACCAGCUAUUUGAAACUUUAGGUUGCAUCUUCUGAUGAGCUGUAGCUUCUGGUGAUACACAGCUUCUGAUGAACUUUGCUUCUGAUGACGUCAUCACUUCAGAGGCACUUUGUCUUCAGGAGCACUCCAUAACUUCACACGCAGUUUUCUUCAGAUGUUUUAGGCUUCUCUUCUUGUUGAUAUCUUUGCUCUCUUUUGUUCUUCCAAGACCUAUUAAAUUGAUCAACUUUGUCUAUGGUCCUGUACACUUGAACAAAUAUUAGCAAUAACCAAUUGAAAAUUUUUAAUACCUUGUUAUCAUCAAAACUCAUUAAGAUUUAUUGUAAAACACAUUUUGUUCCAACACUCACUUUCACUGAAAUCAAAAGCUUGCCUGAUACAUCAUGUAACCUUUAUAAUUUGCAGACUUUGAUUUUAUCAAGCUGUAGGAAUCUCACUGAAUUACCAGUACAUAUGGGAAAUUUAAUCAAUUUAUGUCACCUUGAUAUAAGUUCAAAAAAUAUGCAGGAGUUUUCCUUGGAAAUUGGUGGGCUAGAAAACCUCCAAACUUUGACAGUUUUUGUAGUGGGGAAAGCAUCAAGUAGGGUUAAGUAUCAAAGAACUUGAGAAAUUCCCACACUUACAGGGAAAACUUACUAUCAAGAAACUGCAUAAUGUCGUUGAUGCCAUGGAUGCAAAAGAUGCCAACCUGGAAGACAGAGCAAAUUGAGGAGUUAGGUCUGUUGUGGGGAAAAGAAAGUGAAGACUCGCGAAAAGUGAAAGUUGUUCUAGAUAUGUUGCAACCACCAAUAACUCUGAAGAGCCUUCAUAUUGGCUUGUAUGGCGGGACAAGUUUUCCAAAUUGGGUCGGAAACUCUUUGUUUUAUAACAUGGUGUCUCUUCGCAUCGAUAAUUGUGAAUAUUGCAUGACACUUCCACCGCUAGGGCAGCUACCUUCUCUAAAGGACCUAAAAAUAUAUGAUAUGAAGAUAUUGGAGAGAAUUGGCUCAGAGUUCUAUUGUGUCCAAGAAGGAGAAGGUUCAAAUUCUUCCUUCCAACCAUUUCCGUCCCUUGAGCGUAUAAGAUUUCAAAUCAUGCCAAAUUGGAAUGAAUGGCUCCCUUUUGAAGGAAACAGCUUUGCUUUUCCAUGUCUUAAAACUCUUGAGUUAUAUAAUUGUCCAGAAUUUAGGGGACAUUUUCCUAGCCACCUAUCUUCCAUAGAAGAAAUUCAAAUAGAAGGUUGUGCUCGUCUAUUGGAAACACCACAUACUUUGCAUUGGCUAUCAUCAAUAAUAAAAAAAAAAUCAAAGAAGAUUUAGAUUCUGAAGGGUAUUCUGAAAGAACUCAAUCGUCGUUGCUUGUGAGCGACUCUCAAAGUCUGCUGCAAACUGUAGAUACUGAAAAUUGUAAUAUGUUCUUAUUUGUUCCUAAAAUGAUUAUGAGAAGCACUUGUCUUCUACACUCGGAGCUCUAUGGUCUUCCCCUCACUACAUUUCCGAAGAAUGGUCUACCCACUUCAUUGCAGUCACUUUGUAUUGAUAAUUGUGAGAAGUUAGCAUUCAUGCCUCCUGAAACGUGGAGCAGAUACACAUCGCUUGAGAGUCUUAUUUUAUGGAGUAGCUGUGAUGCACUUACAUCCUUCCAACUUGAUGGUUUCCCUGCACUCCGAAUACUUUACAUUUGUUUUUGUAGGAGUAUGGAUUCGGUUUUUAUUUCAGAAAGUCCUCCACGUCGGUCAUCAAGCCUCCGAUCACUUAAAAUCAAAUCCCAUGAUUCAAUUGGAUUGCUUAAAGUCAAGCUUCGGAUGGACACGCUCACUGCUCUUGAACAAUUGACUCUAGAUUGUCCCGAGUUGUUAUUUUGUGAAGGAAUUUGUCUACCUCCCAAAUUACAAUCAAUUGUGAUAUCUUUCCAAAGAGCAACGCCGCCUGUAACAGAAUGGGGUCUCCAAGGCCUGACCGCUCUUUCAAGAUUGAGAAUUGGAAGCGAUGAUGGUAUAUUUAACGUUUUCGUGACAGAGUAUCUUUCACAGUUGAGAAUACAAAUGGGUGAUAAUAUAGUUAACACCUUGAUGAAUCGGUAUAUCUCAAGAUUGACAGUUGGAACGGUUGAUGAUAUAGUUAACACCGUGCUGAACGAGUCAUUGCUUCCCAUCUCCCUUGUGUCUCUAUCUAUUGGUCAUCUCUCUGAAAUAAAGUCAUUUGAAGGAAAUGGACUUCGACACCUCUCCUCUCUCAAAAAUCUUCACUUUCUUAAUUGCUUGGAGCUUGAGUCAUUGCCAGAAAAUUGCCUCCCUUCCUCGCUGAAGUCACUUCAAUUUUCGAGUUGUGUAAGACUUGAGUCAUUACCAGAAGACAGCCUCCCUUCCUCUCUUAAACUACUCACUAUCGAGUUUUGCCCAUUGUUAGAAGAAAGGUAUAAAAGGAAGGAAAAUUGGUCCAAAAUUUCUCACAUCCCUGUCAUAAUAAUAAACAAGCAAGUUACAAUAUGAAGACAAGUUGUGUUCCCGUUUCAGGUAUGAUUUUCUUUUACCUCACUAUUCCAAAUUAAUUUAUAGUAUUCUGUAUGCAUUCAUUUGUGUUCACAAUCUAAAGACAUAUCUUAAGAUUUUUCAUAUCAUUUUCAACACAAAGCAAAUAAUCAAUCUCUGCUACACAUGUUUUUUUUCUUUAGACAUAUUGUUAGUGGUUAAUUUUCUAAGGGAAAGAUUUCUAUAUAAUACUUUUUCGGUGUCCAAACUCAUAACAUGAACUACUCCAUCCAGGACCUCUUCCUAUGUUUAUUGAUGUAAAUUAAAAAUAAGAGGUCCACUGAUUUCUUUGUUUAUGGGACAUGAAGCAUCAAUAUAUAAAUGGAACAAAAUACAAAGUUGAUUGAUUAAUAUGACUAAGAAUCAACUUAUUGAUUAUAGGCUCUAAAUAUUGCCAGAUUGUUUGAGAAUCAAGCUUUGGAUCUAAUCAAAGAAAAAAAUGUGUAUUUGGUCUUUGCAGGAGAGGCCUAAUAAGUGGAUAAAAAUCCGUUCAAUUGAUGAAUUGAAGACAAAAGUGAGGCAUGUUGUCAUCAUGAUUCUUCUUGUAAACUUGUUUUAGAGGAUUCAAAUGCAUGGUUGCUGUUGAUUGCCACAAGAUUGGAUUUAAUUAACCAAUUUUCAGUUUGUAUUUUCUUAUCAUUUGUAUGCAUCUUUGUAUAUUCUGUGUAAACUACUUGAGCCUGUACAGAUUGUAAUUUUCUUUAAUUCGUAGAUGUAAAUGAAUGUUCAUAUGAUUCAGAAAUCUUCUGUUUCAUUGCUUUGUUAGUAUGUGCAGCUUGAAGCAUAAUAGAUAAAUGGAACAAGUUGAAGUUGAUAAAUAAGAAUCCAUGUUAUUCUUGGUUCUAAAUAUUGGAAACUUUUUUUUUUUUAAGUUAAACUAACCCACCAAAAUUGACAUCCGGGAGAAUCAAAUCUGAGACAACUCUAAAGUCUCAAGCGAACACUACCAAACGAUCCCAAGUAGAUCCUAAAUAUUGGAAACUUGUUUGUGUAACAUAAUAAUGAUUGGUGUUCCUGAUGCAUAUCGCAUAGACAUACUAUACUUUUUAGCUUCUUUUUUAUCCUAAAAGAGAAAAAUACUAUUGGAAUGAUAGGCCUUGCCUUUCUAUUGAUUUUCCAAUGAUACAUAUACAAUGUCAGAUUCUGUGUCUAUUUGCUAUACAAUCAUGACUAUUUAAUGACAAUUAUAUUCUAAUAAUAACAAUAAUAUUCUAAUAAUGACAAUGAUAUUCUAAUAAUUCUAAUACACCCCCGUAGUCGAAACGGGAGGUUGACGAAUGUUGAGACUAUCACGAAAAUCAUCAAAGAGUUGCAACGGAAGUCCUUUGGUGAAGAUGUCAGCGAUUUGGUAACGUGAAGGGACAUGUAAGACUCAUACUUGGCCACGGGCGACUUUCUCACGCACAAAAUGUAUAUCCAUCUCGAUGUGUUUGGUGCGUUGAUGUUGGACUGGGUUGCCGGAUAAAUAGACAGCACUCACAUUGUCACAAUAAACCAAAGUGGCUGUUGUGACUGGGCAAUGUAGUUCCAACAGUAAGUUUCUAAUCCAACAAGAUUCAGAUACUACAUUGGCGACUCCGCGGUACUCGGCUUCGGCACUGGACCGAGAUAGGGUGUGUUGACAUUUGGCAGACCAUGAGAUUAAAUUGUCACCAAGAUAAACAUUAACCAGAGGUGGAUCGCCUGGUAUCCGGGCAACCAGCCCAAUCUGCAUCAGUGUAAGAAACCAAUUUGCUGACAGAGGAGGGAUGUAAGUGAAGGCCGAAAUCAAUAGUGCCAUGAAUAUACCGAAUGAUACACUUCAGUGCUGACAUAUGUUGCGUUUUAGGGUCAUGCAUGAAUAGGCAUACCUGUUGUACUGCAUAAGAGAUAUCAGGUCUUGUGAAAGUUAAAUAUUGUAGUGUUCCUGCAAGACUCCGAUAUUCAGUUGGGUCAUGAUAUGGAUUCCCAGAAGAGCCACUGAGUUUUGCCUUGGUGUCGACUGGAGUGGGUGAUGGUUUGCAAGAGGACAUGCCUGCUCGUUUUAUAAUCUCCUCUGCAUAUUUUCUUUGAGACAAGAAAAGACCACUUGUGUGUUUAGUGACAGAUAUUCCUAGAAAAUAACUUAGAGGACCCAAAUCCUUCAUGGCGAAUUCAGAACUAAGUUUAGACAUAAUAGAGUCACGAAGAGCAUCAGAUGAAGCAGUGAGAAUUAUGUCAUCGACAUAUAGAAGGAUAUAAGCAGUAUUAAGGCCACGAUCGAUGAAAAACGAAUAAAGAGUGAUCAGAGAUGCUGUGAGAGAAACCCAAUGUGGCAACAUAGUUGGUGAAUCUUUGGUACCAGGCACGCGGUGAUUGUUUUAAACCAUAGAGAGAUUUCUUGAGGAGACAAACAUGCUCAGGAUAUUGUGGAUCACGGAAUCCAGGAGGCUGGUGCAUAUACACAGUUUCGUCAAGAUUUCCAUGCAAAAAAACAUUUUUGACAUCUAGUUGAUGGAGACACCAUGAUUUGGAUAUUGCAAUGCUAAGUACCAUGUGAAUAGUGGCUGGUUUGACGACAUGGCUGAAGGUUUCACCACAAUCGGCACCUGAUUGUUGAUUAGCACCAUUACCUACAAAACGAGCUUUGUAUCGCUCAAAAGAACCAUCAGAUUUCUUCUUGUGCCUGAAAAUCCACAAACUUCGAAUAACAUUAGCAUUAGAGGGACGAGGAACUAAUUCCCACGUCUUAUUUUCAAUAAGAGCAUAAUAUUCGUCUUUCAUGGCCAUUUUCCAAUUAGGAUCUCGUAACGCAUCAAUGGGAUUUGUAGGUAAAGGAGAGAUAAUUUGGUUGGUUGAUGAGUGUAGGUUGAAAAGCGUACGAGGUUUGACAAUACCGUGUUGUGAACGGGUUCUCAUUUGAGGUGAAUGAGGUGCUGAAGGGGAAAUGGAUGUUGGAAUCGGUGGAGAAGAGGUGGUAGGUGUAGUUUGUGGAGAUGAGGUCGUUGUCUGGGAGGCAGAAGAUGUUUGAACUGUGGGUGUAGGUUGUUGGGCCGAGGAGGUUGGUGAGAGGGGAACACUUGUGUGGUUUGUGGUUUGAGGGGUAGGAGUUUGUUGGGCUGCUGGUGAUGGUGAUUGGGUGGCGGUUAUGUUGGGAGAGGGAGUUGCUGGAUAUGUGGUGUACAAGUGUGAGGGAAGUGGGGGGAUUAUGCCAUCAUCUAAAAAAUUAUAGUCAGCCGUUGUAGGAGCAUUCAUGGUGGAAAAGGGAAACGUAUUUUCCUCAAAAAUGACAUGUCGAGAAAUAAUGAUUAUACGACUUGACAAUUCAUAACACUUAUAACCUCUAUGGUUAGACGGAUAUCCUAGAAAGACACAUGGUGUAGACCGAGGUUGGAGUUUAUUCCUAGUGGUGGACGGAAUUAAUGGAUAGCAAAGACAUCCAAAAACUCGGAGGUGUGAAUAAGACGGGUAUUUUUGGUAGAGAAUUUUGGUGGGUGAUUGGAGAGUGAGUUUCUUAUUUGGAAGUAUGUUGUGUAGGUAAGUGGCCAUUUGAAGAGCAUGGUGCCAGAAAACUGGUGGAAUAGAAGCAUGGGCAAGGAGAGUUCGAAUUAUAUUAUUGAUUGUACGAAUUUUUCUUUCGGCUUUUCCAUUUUGAGGGGAGGUAUGAGGACAAGAGAAUCGAAAAGACAUUCCAUUUUGUUCACAAAACUUAUGAAAAAGAGCAUUAUCGUAUUCCUUGCCAUUGUCACAUUGAAAACAUUUUAUUUCACGUUCAAAUUGUGUUUUAAUGUGAGCACGGAAUUGUAAAAAAAUGGAAUGUACUUGUGAUUUGUUUGAGAUUGGAAAAGUCCACAAAAAAUUAGUAAAAUCAUCAAGAAAUAACACAUAGUAACGAUGCCCUCCGGAGCUUAAUACCGGAGAAGUCCAAAGAUCGCUAUGAACAAUGUCAAAAGGCAUACAAGUAAAUGACAAUGAAUUGUAAAAAGGUAAUUUUAUUUGUUUCCCAAGUGGACAAGAGUGACAAAAGAAAUAAUUUUGAAACUUAUUACAUAGCAAAAGUUUGUUUCGAUGAAGAGAAUUUAAGAUAGGAGCUCCUGGAUGUCCUAAACGACUAUGCCAUAACUCAUUAGAUGAAGCAGCAAAGGCGGAUGGUGGUAGUGUUGUGUUUGGUCUUGUGGGAAUAGGGUAAAGGUCGCCAGAACUGUUACAUCUCAUUAAAAGCGUUUCUGUCUGGAAAUCCUUCACAGAAAAACCAAGAUAAUCAAAUUCAACAGAAACGUCAUUAUCGAUUGUAAAUUUUCUGACAAAAACAAGGUUUUUGAUAAUUUUCGGUGCAUGCAAAACAUUGUUUAAGCUUAGGGAAUUGGGUAAAGAUGCAUUACCACAACCAAUUACAGGAAUAUGAUGACCACUUCCAACAGUAAUAUUAUUACUUGUAUUAAAAUAAGAUGUGAGAUUACCUCCAUUGCCCGUCAUAUGAGAAGUCGCCUCGCUGUCCAUAUACCAUUGAUCAUCAGGAGGAGAGAUGGAGAAAGUAUGCAUAGCAGCUUGGAUGUCAGUCGGAGCAUAAUAAGAUGAGCCUUGCUGACUGUUCAUAUGAGGUGGAGCAGUUGCCAUGUGAGUUUGCUGAGGUUUAGGACCUAGUAUGCCUGUUUGUUGAUGGGGAGCACCAGUUGUCGGAUAUGGACACGGUGGAUUGGCCCAUGGCUGCCAUGGAUAUGCCCACUGCUGCUGUCUGGGAUAUGUGGGAGUGGUCCACUGAGGCUGCAGAGGCUGGGAAUGACCUCCACCACGACCAUUGUUUCUACCCCUGCCACGGCCACCACGACCAGCACCACUGUUGUUGUUGCGGUGGUUGCGCUGCUGAGAAGGAGUUGCUGAGUCCGCGUUAUCAUCAAGAGAUGAUACGAAAGCAGAGUUGCUGAUGGAAUUUGCUGCUUUCUUUGCUUUAGCCGUUUCUUCCAGGAUAAUCAUAGAACGAGCUUUGUAAAAAGGUGGAAGAGAGUCUCCAUGACGGAUUUGUGAUCCCACCGUAGCAUACGCAUCUGUCAGGCCAGAGAUAAGUUGAAGAACAAGCCUUUCGUUAGACACUGGAGCACCAACAUUAGAGAGUUGAUCAGACAGGGAUUUGAGAUGUUGACAAUAGGUGGAUGCAUAUCAGGAAAUUGUUCCAUAUGGACAUUAGAAAAUUCUUGCUCUAGGUAGAGAGCCCGAGAAUUUUUAUUGUCAACAUCUCAAAGGUGCCGUAUAUAUGCGGAACACAUAACAAGGUAGGAACACCAAAAAUCCAUAUAUAUGAGGAGCCUCUACCCAAACACCCCAAAAACCAAGAGGCCUAUAACAGCACGACCAAAACCUUUCAACCGGCAAGUUCACAACCGAAAAACCAGAACCCCAAACAGGCACAGAACGGAAUCAACAAAAGCUCCCAAUGGACAGACAGCGUGCUAGCAGAAACAAACCAGAAGAAGGGUAGAAACCUGCACAGCCGCAACCCACAACACUACUGCAAACAGGCGCAAAACAGCCAUACUGCAGUAGCUGAAAGCAGCAACAGCAGCACCAAAAAAUCUUCCAGUCACGCCAUCUUCGCACACCACAGCCCAAAAACAGCAUCUCAAAAAUUACCUCAAGGCAAGCCUUCGGAUUCCACUUCCAUUCGUAAAGCAUACAAACCGAAUUUUGAUCCGAGUCAACAACCAACACCAAGAUAAAACUUUAAUCUCUUCUAUAACUUCCCCUACCUCCCAACUCAAGUUAUUGAAAAAAAAAUUAUUUCUAACUCUCCACAUAAACCAAAUAGUAGUAUGCCAAACUCGCCAAAGACCCUUCCGGAUUUUCUUAUUUCGUUCCGUACCACUCCAACACUCCCAAUGAAUGAAAAAAUUAGGCGAAGUUAAAAAAGAACAGCCGAACCACCUCAUCACCUUGGAAACCAAAAAGAAAAGGUACCAUUAUUGUUCAAAGCACCUUCAUUAUAUCUUGAUUUCAAUACAAUAUUUUGGGCAAAUACCUCCAGGGGUAAUUAAGUUUAACGUUUAUGCUGGAUUAAUCUUUUAAAUUUUUUAAGUUUCAAAUUGGUUCUUUAAGUCGUAUAAGGUUCUCAACGUUAUCUUUUUCCAUCCAAAUCUGUUAAACGACCCCAGAGAUAUUUGGCCCAAUUUUUUUAAAAACUCGGUAUCCAGCCUAAGACCGACUAAUUUGAGGGGUCCAAUCCCACUGUCCACUUGCGUAGGUCCCAUUUAAAGCUAGAGCAAAGCUUUGUAUGGACUAGCCCGGUGAAAUUGGGACCAAGGAGAAUUGAAUCUGAGACUUUGAGAGAAGCACACUCCACUCCAAGGUCUCAAGCCAAUACCACUAGAUCAACCCAAGUGGGAUAAUUUCAAUUUUUUUUAGAUUGAGAAAAGAGAAAUUACUAUUAAUAACUGUAGUACUGAUUGUCAUUUUACAACUGUGUCAUUUGAGAUUUGCUUUUACCACUGAUUGAUACAUUAUGGACAUAUCCUAUAUUUUGCUUUAUGUUCCUAUUCAUAAAUCUUAAUCAGAAAAACAUUUUUUCUAAACAACAUAAAACUUUAGACUAUCUACAAUAGUAUUUUGUCGCAAUUUUGACAAUGCAAUGCCAUGAAUCUGUCUGAUUCUCUCUCUUGAUAGUUUCAACAGCUUUCCUAUCUCCUCAAAAGACAAAGGGGUCUCUCCAUUGAGUCCAAAGUAUAAUCUUACAAUCUCUUCUUCUCUUUUGUCAAGUGUGUUAAGAAGCUUCACAACCCCUUGCUUCAUUAGCUGCCUCUCAACCAUCUUCUCUGGAAUCAUUUCGACUGGUCCUGGUAUAAUCUCCUGCAUUAUAUCACAGUAAACAUUAUGACUAAUAGCUCAGAGUUUGUAGUUUAUACUUAAUCGCCUAAAAUACGAAUGAAAUUGUCGAACCUUCAGUAUUAAGUUGCUCUGAUCGGUUAUAGAUCUGUCCAAUGAAAUUGGUUGUCUGCUCCUUUCAGAAACAAGUUUUACAGUUGAAACAUUCACAUUGAGAACCUCAGCAAUUUCAUUAUAUGUCGGCUUCCGCCUUAGUCUUCGUCUUAAGACAUUGUUAGCCUCUGCGAUUUUUGCAACCAUUCCAUACUUUUCUCCCUAUAAAUAACAAAUUAACCAAACAUUCAUAAUAAACGGUCUACUUCUUAAAUCUUCUAGUAGUCUACUGUAGAAGCAUUGCAUAGUAAAUCAAAAGAGACUAUGAAAAUUGUGAUAAGUAAGAACCUGUUUACUUUCUAACAAAAUUUUCAAUUUCUAUUUACAGUGUAGGUGGUCCAGCAUAAACCUUAUUAAUUUUUCCAAUUUUAACCCUUUGAUAUGUUUUAAGAAAGGGGACCGUUGGAUUGUGAAGGUCCAUUGUAUCUUACAGUGAACCAACAGAAACUAUUUUUUCUUCCCUUUCUUCAUCUUCUUCCCUUGUGUACUUCAUCAUCUUCAUAAUAUUCAUGAAAAAAACCCAAAAAAAUAAAAUAUUUAUCAAACAAAACACUUUUAACCCUUCCCUUUCCAGUUUCCCUCUCUCUUUCUCUCAGAACCCUUUAUUCUCUCUCUCAAACCCAUUCCUUCAUUCUAACUCAGCUCAAUUGAACCAAUCUCAAUCCCUCUCUCUCAAUCGAACCCACGCACACCAAAUUCAAUAACAACUCUAAACCCAAUCGCAGCUCAACAUCAAUUUUCAAUUCAAUAACUCAAAAAUUGAUAUUGAAGAUGAGUUCAAACAGAAAAUACAUCUUCAAGAUGAUGAAUGGGGUUUUGGUGCACUUUUUGGGUCAGGUUUGAUGUGCUUUGACGGGUGUUGGUUUUUGGUGCAUCUUCAAGCCGAGUUUUUUGGUUGAGUCUCUCGGCUUUCAGGGUCAGGGUGCUUCCUGUUGGAUGCCUUUUGUUUUGUUGACAGGUUUGGCUGUUUUAAUGGGUGGAGUGACUUUUCACAACAAAGUAUAAUGUAAUAGUCUUGCUUAGGUAAAUGUACGAUGAGUUAGGGUUAGCCUAUGCGCCGGUCAUGGCCUAAAAUUGGGUCGUGACAAUAUGUUUCCUUCUCACACUUUAUACACAUGCAAUACUUAGCAUGGCAUUGCAUUGUAUCUCACUACUUCCUUUCUACUUCAAGCGUUGUGCAUGCAUGGCAUUGCUUUCUUUCAUCGGUGAGGCAGAAAACAAAUACCUUAAGAUUUAUUAUAUGAUUAAAUUUUUUAAAGAAAAUAAAAAUGAGAGUUAUUCUCAAGGUUUCUCCUAUCUCUUCCCCGGAUAUGUACUCUCCAAUUCACCAACAUCUGCAAAGAGAUGGUUUCUGACAAGGUGCAAGCAAUGAAUUAGGUUAGAGUUUGUGAAAACACUUGAAAUCAUAGUUUUGAUUUUUUUUUUUUUUAUAGAAUACUAGAAUCAAAUUUAGGCAUUGUUGAGCAUAGUAUUAGCUAAUUUAUAGUAUGUUAAGAUUGCUUUAUUUGAGUUUAUCUAUUCACAUAAGCACUUAUCAGACUCUUUAGGAGAGCUUAUGGAAACAAUUUAUGACAUGUUUACAAUUUUUUUUUAGGUUAUUUUCACAACCUCUCUAAAUAGCUUAUGAAAACAACUUAUAGUUUAUAUAAAAUUAAUUUGACUUUAUUUUUUUAAAAGUAUAUGAAUUUAUUUAUUAUUUUGUUAUAGAAAUAGCUUACAUAAGCACGUAUACAAUAACCGCUUUUGUUAUAAGCACUUCAUUAAAUUAUUUAUCCAUCAAUUUCAAAUCAUUUGACCAGCCAGCUUCUAGGAGUUUUACCUGCUGAAAAGUUUGCUUGUUGUUGCCCAUUUUUAAUUUAUUUUAGCAAAAAUAUGAAAUAUCACUUUAGUUUGCUAUAAUGUGGAAACAAAUAUUUAUUUGAAAACAGAACAUUUGGGAAAAUUGAUUGAGCAGGUAUAGUCACAAUUGUCUCACUAGAUGUGAACAAAUGCAUUGCAAUUUCCUAUUCUCAAUACACUUUUUUUAAUUGAUUUAUUCACUCAUUGGGAAACAAUACACCAGCAUAUAAAAACAAAAGGUUUAAUACAAAGACUUGAGUUCUGGUAGUUGGUGAAUAAUCGUAUGAGAUAUUUACUCCUUUCCAUGUUCUUUUAUUUGUUUACCUGGGUCCAUUAAACAAUGGUAAGCCUUGUUUUCCAGCUUUCUAACUUUGUUUCUUACCUAACAAACAAGUCUUCUUGAGUCUACGUUUACUAUCUGCACUGCCAACCAUCCAAAAACAGUACUAUUAUCCAUUCAUUUUCAUGCAAGUCUUUCCUCCUUAAUUGCAAUAACUACUAUUCUUGAAUGUUCAUAGCUCUUAACUUUCUUUGCAACUUACUUGCAAUAUCAUUUACAACUUUUUUCCUUUGCUGCUUUACUUUACCAAACUUUGGUCGCAGGUGCAUGUCUCUCUGCUACUACUCAAACCAUAGCAGACAAGCUAAGCUCAUCAGAGUUUCGUGGUUUCAUCAGAAACACCAGGUUCAAUUACUCACUGCUGGCCGAAUUGAAAACAACAUUGUUUGCUCUUCAAUCUGUGCUGGUUGAUGCAGAGCAGAAACAGUUCAUUGACCUUCCUGUCAAGCAAUGGCUUGAUGACUUGAAAGAUGCAAUCUUUGAUGCUGAAGAUUUGCUUGACUUAAAAGUGAUUAUUUGAUGAUUUUCUAAAAUAAUGUUUUGGGUCAAGUUUUAUAUGGUUUUGAGUCUCUUUUGAUGUAUAUAAAUGUUUAGAAAAACUUUGGGAUCAAAUUUGGGCAUAGGGAAGUUAAAAUUGGAAUUUUGGGGUGAAAAAUGGGUUUUUCCCGAGUUGUUAUCUUACAGCAUGUCCUGUUUCAUGUUCUUGCGUCUUUUUCACAUGUUUCCGUUUUGAAUUAGCCUUUGGUGUAAACAUGAAAGUUGUAGAUAAUUGUGUUAUCUUUCCAGUGGCGUCGGUUUGACUUGAAAAUGAUUUUUGGUUUAGGAGUUAUCAUGAAAAUACUUCAAGGAGGUCUUAGUGAAAUUUUAUGAAAAUUCAGCAUAACCGUUUCUAAGUUAAUCCAAAACUUAGGGAAUAAUUCCAAACCUCAAAACUAGAAGUACUAGGAGUUUAAUUAAGGGGUUUAACAGUAUUUAACAUGUGUUGUGAUGGAUCUAACUUGGUUGGACGUGAAUAUCUUUGUUGAAUAAUUUGAGAUACAGUAGAAACUCUAUAAAUUAAUAAUGUCGGGACCGGAGAAAUUUAUUAGUUUAGAGAGUUAUUAAUUUAUCGAUAAAUUAAUAAUUUAAAGAGUUUUUAAGUAAUUAUACUGUACAUACCAAACAAAAAGGCAAAUUAGUCUAUGUCUCUUAGAAUAUUGUAUGAUAUAGAAAUAAUGAUGUUCAUUAUUGAUGAUUUAUUAUAUGAAUGUAUAUGUUGAUGAAUAUGAUUUGAUGUCGAUGGUAAUGUAAUAUAUUUGUAUAUGCAUUAUGUGAAUUAUAUAAGAUGUUUAAGUUGUUGUUGAUUAUCAUUUGAUGUUGUUAUAUCUUGAGAUGUUUAUGAUGUUGUCUAAGUUGUAAGUUGUCGUUCCAAAGUACUGGAGUCUUAAGUUGUUGAUGUUGUCUAAGUUGUAAGUUGUUGUUCCAAAGUAUUGGAGUCUUAAGUUGUCGAUGUUGUCCAAAGUUGUAAGUUGUUGAAUUCAUGCAUUAUCAUUUCAUUGUUGGGGGCUUGAUGCCCUGGAGCUUUGUACUCAACACGUUGGAGCUUUAGCUCAAUUAGCGAUGGGGGCUUGAUGCCCUGGAAGUAUAUUAAUAUUCAAAUAGCGAUGGGGGCUUGAUGCCCUGGAGCUUUGUACUCAACACGUUGGAGCUUUAGCUCAAUUAGCGAUGGGGGCUUGAUGCCCUGGAAGUAUAUUAGUACUCAAAUAGCAAUGGGGGCUUGAUGCCCUGGAGCUUUGUACUCAACACGUUGGAGCUUUAGCUCAAUUAGCGAUGGGGGCUUGAUGCCCUGGAAGUAUAUUAAUACUCAAAUAGCGAUGGGGGCUUGAUGCCUUGGAUUGGUACCACAUGCAUGAUUAAGAAGUCGAAGUUGCAUUGUCGAGUCAAAGUCGUUGUUGAUGAGUUGUCAUCCAUGAGUUGUUAAGUUGUUGAUGAGUUGUCAUCCACGAUUCGUUAAAUUGUUGAGUUGUCUUCUACCCAUGUGUUGUUAAUGAAGUGCUUAUGAAGAUUAUAUGAUGUUAUGAAGCUAUAUGAUGUUGAUUAUGAUGUUGUUAUGUUGUUAUGAUGUUGUUUAGGAUAUUGAUUAUAUGAUGUUAUUAUGAUGCUAUAUGAUAUUGAUUAUGAUGUUGUUAUGUUGUUAUGAUGCUAUAUGUUGUUGAUUAUGAUGUUGUUAUGAUGUUGUUUAUGAUAUUCAUUAUGAUAUUGUUAAGCGAUGAUUUUUAUGAUGUGAUGUUAUGUUGUUAUAAGAUGAUCUUUAUGAUGUGUUGUUUAUGUUGUUAUAAGAUGAUGUGUUGUUUAUGUCGUUAUGAGAUGAUCUUUAUGUUGUUUAUGUUGUUAUAUGAUGAAUGUAUAUGAUAUGAUGAAUAUGAUAUUAAUGAUGACUAGAAGUUGAUUGAGCUAUUAAUGAAGUACUAUAUGAAGGAUAAAUAGUUAUUUUAUUCCGUUUAUGUUGAAAUACUCUGAUUUAUUCCGUUUAUGAUUUUAAGAAAAGAAAUGUUACAUUAAUACUAAGAAAUUUUUUGUCUUCAGAAAUGUCACACAUCAUGAGAACAUUCUCCCUUAUCAACCUAUAAAAUCUCCAUCUACCUGGCACUAUUAUCCCACUUCAUCACCUUCUGACUCUAUCACCCAUCACUCAGAUGCUUCUCAUUUUUCCAUCAUUCCUCCAACACAUAUUUCCUCACCUGAUACUUCUUCUACUUCAACUACUUCUCCCACACCAUCACCUCAACUUUAUAAACCUGUUAGAACAAAACAUGCCCCAACCUAUUUGUCAGACUUUGUAUGUAAUACUUCUUCUGCUCAUUCAUCAACAACAAUCACAUAAGGUACUCCUUACCCUAUUGCAUCAUUUCAUUCACUUUCACACUUAUCACAUUCACACAAGGCAUUUUCUCUUUCUAUUACACAAAGUACUGAGCCCAAAACCUAUAAGAAAGCAUGUCAGUCUGAAUGUUAGGUAAAGGCUAUGGAUUCUGAAUUAGAUGUUUUGGCUAAGAAUAGUACCUGAACAAUUGUGCAAACUCCUCCUAAUGUCAAGCCUAUAGGGGGUUUUUAAGAUCAAAUAUAAGGCUGAUGGGAGCAUUGAAAUAUACAAAGUCAGAUUGGUUGCAAAGGGAUAUAAUCAAGUUGAAGGUCUUGAUUUUUUUUUUUUUGGCAGUUUUUCUCCUGUUGCAAAGUUAACCACAAUCAGAAUUCUAUUGGCUCUUGCAUUCACCCAAAACUGGCAUUUAUAUCAAUUAGAUGUAAACAAUGCUUUCCUUCAUGGAGAUUUGCAAGAAAAUGUAUACAAGAGUAUCCCUGAUAGUGUUGAUAGUGCUCCAAACACUGUUAGCAAAUUACAGAAGAGUCUCUAUGGUUUGAAGCAAGCCACUCGCAAGUGGUAUGAGAAAUUGACUUCACUAUUACUUAGUGAAGAAUACACACAGUCAAAUUCUGAUUACUCCCUCUUCAUCAAUGCACAUGGUUCUGAUUUCACAACUUUGUUGGUGUAUGUUGAUGACAUCAUCCUGGCAGGCUCUUCUCUUCAUGAAUUUGAUAGAAUCAAAUCCAUUUUAGAUUCCAAAUUCAAGAUCAAGGAUUUAGGAGUUCUCAAGGAUUUCUUAGGGUUGGAAAUUGCUCACUCUAAUGCAGGCAUUAGUGUUUCACAAAGGAAGUAUUGUCUAGACCUUUUAGAUUCUUCUGGCUUAUUAGGAUCUAAACCUGCUAGCACACCCUUAGAUACUUCAACAAAAUUGCAUCAAGACAAUAUCAAACCUUUUGCUGACGUGCCUUGCUAUAGGAGGCUCAUUGGUAGAUUGUUAUAUCUAGACACUACAAGGCCAGAUAUAACUUUAGCCACUAAACAAUUGAGCCAGUUCUUAAAUGCACCAACUACUUCACACUACAAAUAUGCUUGCAGGGUUAUCAAAUACCUUAAACAAAAUCCUGGACAUGGCUUAUUCUUCCCCAGAAAAUCAGAAAUGCAGAUUUUGGGUUAUGUAGAUGCUGAUUCGGCAGGAUGUAUUGAUUCCAGAAGAUCCACACCAGGUUUUUGUUUCUUUUUAGGCAAUAAGGAAGAAGAACACGCUAGGGCACAGUUACUUAGUCCACGGGUUAUUAACAACCCUAGUGAUAAAGUUGGUUGUAACUAACUCUCAGAGUUAGUUAUGAUAGAGGACGUGAUCCUAUAAUAUAGAGUUCACAAUAGCUUAACAUAUACUAUCAUUGUAACUCUAUAUAUAGUUGUAACACCUUCAUGCUUCAGUAAUGAAAACAGAUAUCAUUUUUCUGGUUUUUCUUUCUCUUUUCUUCUUUCUUCACCAUGAGAAUUCAGUUACUCAACAAUAAGCUAUUGUGGUAAUGAAACACUAUUGUACAACUAAAACACUCUAAACUCAAUUACUUAGGUAUCAUCCAAUAGCCCCCUACAAGCUGGAGGUUGAUAGAUAUCUAACAAGCCCAGCUUAGAUAAAAGAAGGUUGAAAGGUUGAGGAUGAAGAGCUUUGGUGAAGAAAUCAACAACCUGCUCUUAAGAAGAAACAUGAAGAAGCUUGAGUAUGCCAGAAUGUAGCUUUUCCCUCACUAUGUGGAAAUCAAUUUCCAAGUGUUUAGUGCUGAUGACAUAAAACCGCAAGUGCACGGUCUUACCGAAGUAGUAUGAAAAGAGUAUCGUUCCGACAGGGAGUAGUUUAAUUCAAUUAACCUUUGAUAAUGAUUAGAGGAGAAAAGAAUUGUAAGUUGGGGUUUUCAAGUGUUUGAAAGAUAAUAAUAAAAGGAGCCUUGGGAUCGUUGGUUCAUCUAAAUGGCAAGUCCUUCACAAACCAAACUAUAAGCUUAUAACUUUAUGUUAGACCUAAUUUCUCAAGACAGUUUCUCUUUUGUUCCUCUAGCAACCAAGCCUAUUUCGCUGACUUGAUUACUAUUAGAUUUUGGUUCCUCUAAAAACCAAGCCUAUUUUGCUGACUUGAUUAUUAUUAGUUCCCUUAAAGAUCGAAACUAUAUGUCUCAAAGAUUGCAAAGACUAUUUCGCUGCCUUUGCAAUCCUUGUCUAAAUUCACUUGUUCGAAUAUCAAACCUCCACUUUCGUUUUAUGAAUUGAUAUUUGAGAUGAUGGAUAAACUAUUAUCAAACCCUCCACUUUCGUUUCCACAGUUUGAUAAUGGUUGAUCCAUGUUAAAGCGGUGAAUUUAGAUAAGAAAUUAGGGUUACAUAAGAUUAACGCUUAGAGCUUAGCUUGAUUAGUAUUAUGUCAUUUAGACUUAUCCAACAAUCCCAAGACAAUGAGAAGUCUACUCACUCAUGUUCAUCGUAGACAUGGGGAAGAAAAGAGAAAGAAUAAAAGUAAAUGACAAGAAAGUAAAGGAAAAGAAAAGAACUUUUAUUAGAAAAGCAAUUGUCACUUAUUGAAUUCCAAGAAAAGAUGAAUAUUCGUGAUGGCUAGCUACUCUAUUUAUAGUUUACAUUCGACUUAAAAUCUAAGCAAUCACUAGAAUGUUCCACAAGUAAACUAAAACAGAGUAGCUUAAAAUCUAACCAAAAGCAGCAAAAGCGAUUCUGGAGGGUGGCACGGCCGUGCCAAGCUUCUGACUUUGGGGAGACAUAUUUUGUCUCCAAAUCUUCCUAUUUUUGUACCGAAUCAGCUCCAAAUCCCUUUCUUUUGCUCCAAGACUCAAUCCAUCAAAUAUUCUUUCCUGAAAUAUAAUAAAAUGCAAUUUGUAGUAAACUAUAUUAAAAACGAAAUAAUACUAAUAUAAAAUAAAAUAAAAUCUAAUUAAAACUAAACUAAAUCGCAUAUAAAAAUAGGUAUUAAAUGACUCAUCAAACUCCCCCACACUUGAAUCUUUGCUUGUCCUCAAGCAAAAGGCAUAAACAUGGUAGCAUAAAACGAUAUUAUCAUAUGACAAUUAAUUCGAAGCACAUGUCUCCUCAAAGGCUUUUAUUUCAAAGAGUACACUAAUCACAAACUCAAGCAUUUCUUGUAAUCCUUUUUUUCAACCCAACAAUCAAGUCUUAAGUGAGUGUGUGUGUGCAGUCCAACCCUUUUCUUGCUCCUGUAUAAGAUAGAUAUAAUGAGGAACAUGUUCUAAUCCUAGUACUAAAUCAACCAAGAAAAAUUAUUUCUUCAUUUCAUAUAAGAGAGAUGGGAGUCUUUGUGAUCUUUUGAUCUUUUGCCAAUUACAUAUUUUGGGUACUUUAUUUAAGGAACAACACCUUCACGUAGGAGGUUGGAGGGCCUACCCCCUUCCCCAAUCUAGAUUCAAUGAUGCCUUUUAAAGUUUCUUUUUCAAGAUAACAUUAUAUUCACGUAGGAAGUCGGAGGGCCUAUCUCUUUCCCCAAUCUAAAUUCAAUAAUGCAACCUUGAAAUAAUUUUUGGCUUGGCUUUUUUUUUUUAUAAACUCCUUUAUACUAACUUAUACUAUUUUUACUUUGAGAAUUUUUAAAGGUUAACGUACUACUAAAAUUAGAACGCAUUUCCUUAAAAUACCUAUUCAUACAUUUACUCAAGGGAAGCAACUUGUGCAUUUCUCAUUGGAGGUUUUAUUCACUUUAAAACAAGAUGCGGGUAUAUCAGGAGAACUUAAAACACAAGAGCUUUACUUUCAUGUACAAGAAACAACUAGUAAGAGGAGACAAUAAAAAUUUUAUGUCAUGAUUUCUCAAUAAAAACAAGCUACUUAAUCAUGUCUUUCACAAUAAAACAAAACAAAAAGAAUAAAGUUCAAGGGAGUUUGGAAAUACUACGACUAAAGACACUUUAUUAGGCUCCCCCCACACUUAGGAGAAGCAUUUUCCUCAAUGAUUUAAGAAGAAAAAUGAAAGAAACAAGGAAAAAGUGGGAAAGGAUGCGGAAAGCUCACAAUUUGCUAAAAAAAAAAAUUUGAAUCCUGGAGGCCUGUUCGGUUGGCACGGCCGUGCCAACAUUAGCACGGGUCGUGCCAUCUUCCUGCCAACUUUGGUUGAUUUUGUGUUGUGGAUCAUGGCACGGCCGUGCCAACUCAAGCACGGGCCGUGCCACCUUUCUAGGUCUUGUAACUUUAAUUUUUCUUGCGUUUCUUAAUCAAUCUCGAACAUUUACCUACAAAACAAAGAGAUAUAACAGAAAACCAAGAAAGCAAUUAAAUCAGUGGGUUGCCUCCCACGAAGCGCUCUUUUAUUGUCACUAGCUUGACAAAGAUAAGGAUAAAAAUCCUUAAGGAGGGUCACUUAAAAGUAAAAUCAGCCACCACUUCAUUUACUUCUCCGGUAUUAUAAAUUUAAGUCUUUGCCCAUUAACCGUGAAGGAUCCUGUUUCUUCAGAAAAUAUUUCAAUUGCCCCAUAAGGGUAGACCGUGCGAACUUGAAAUGGACCGGACCAUCGCGACCUUAGUUUACCUGGAAAGAGCUUUAGCCUAGAAUUAAAGAGCAACACAAGGUCACCGCUUUUGAAGUGCUUUUUGAUGAUUUUCUUGUCAUGCCAAUGAGUUAAAAUACUACUUACCUCGUUUUCAGGAAUGCAUCUUCUGAAAAUCCCAUCUGAGCCUCUUCUGAAGAGGUAAGGCUCAUCCCAAUAGUAGCGCUUGAGAUCAUUGAAGAUCUUCUUCUUUUGUUGGUAGCUCAACUCAGGUGGUAGCACUCCUGCUGCAAGAAAAUUAACAAAAUCUGCAUACCAAGGUGCGUUAGUUUGUGCCAAUAAGAAGAGUUGGUCAUCCGGGAAGGAAUCAUCCAAGGGUAGCUCAUCCUCAUACUAGUUGUCAGCGACAACAUUUUCGACACCCUUUUUAUCUUUUAUUUCAAGGUCAAAUUCUUGGAGGAGCAAAAUCCAUCGGAUCAACCUCGAUUUGGCAUCUUUUUUGUUUAGCAAAUAUUUUAUGGCCGAGUGAUCUGUGUAAACAAUGAUUUUUGAUCCCACCAAGUAUUGCCUGAAUUUGCCAAUGGCGUAGACAACCGCUAGCAAUUCUUUUUCUGUUGUGGCAUAAUUUACCUAUGCCUCAUCUAGGGUCUUACUGCAUAGUAUAUGGCAUGCAUCUUUUUUUCCUUUCUUUGGCCUAACACCGCCCCAACCGCAUAGUCGCUUGCGUCACACAUUAUUUCAAAAGGCAAGCUCCAAUCUGGUGGUUGUAUGAUUGGGGCAGUAAUCAGUGCUUCUUUCAACCUGCAAAAUGCCUGUAAACAAGUAUCAUCGAAGACAAAGUCUGCGUCCUUAAGAAGUAGACUUGUUAGUGGUUUAGUGAUUGAUGAAAAAUCUUUAAGGAAACGGCGGUAGAACCCUGCAUGUCCUAGGAAACUUCUAAUUUCUUUGACUGAGGUGGGAGGUAGCAUUUUUUCAAUAAUUUCGAUUUUUGCUUUGUCUACCUCUAUACCUCUUUCGGAGACCAAGUGUCCUAGGACAAUUCCUUCUCUUACCAUGAAGUGACAUUUCUCCCAAUUCAAGACUAGGUUCACCUGCUCACAUCUUUCCAAAACUUUUUCAAGGUUAGUCAAACAAUUAUCAAAACUAGAUCCAUGCACAGAAAAAUCAUCCAUAAAAACUUCCAUUAUCUUUUCAACAAAGUCAGAAAAAAUGGACAUCAUGCAUCUUUGAAAAGUAGCAGAGGCAUUACAAAGACCAAAAGGCAUCCUCCUAAAGGCAAAGGUUCCAAAUGGGCAUGUAAAAGUUGUCUUUUCUUGGUCAUUAGGGUGAAUGGGUAUUUGAAAAAAUCCGGAAUAACCAUCUAAGUAACAAAAAUGUGAAUGCUUAGCUAACCUUUCUAACAUUUGAUCUAUAAAAGGGAGAGGGAAUUGAUCUUUACGAGUUGCUUUAUUAAGCUUCCUGUAAUCAAUACACAUUCUCCAACCGGUGACAGUUUUAGUAGCAAUGGAUUCAUUCUUAUCAUUUUUAAUAACUGUGAGACCACCCUUCUUAGGUACAACUUGCACGGUUCUAACCCAUUUGGAAUCUAACACCUGCAUCUAGGAGAGUUUUAAAACUUCUUUUUUCACAACUUCUUUCAUAUUAGGGUUUAGCCUUCUUUGAUGUUCAAUGGAGGGUUUAUAAUUGUAACACCCCGAUUUCCCAACAUAAAUAUUAUUAUAAAAUCAGAGUUAAUCAACAAACGGAGUGUUACGCUGCUUUUCAAAAAUUCUUGAAUAGGAUAAAAUGUUAUUCAUUAAAUAAUGGUUUCAAUAAAACAUAUCAAUUCAUCGCAGCGAAAUUUAUUUUCAACAUUAAACAUCCUUCAAAUAAAUCUUGGCACAUAGCCUCAACAUAAAUAUCCUUAAAGAUCUAAUCCAACAAAAGGUUCAUAAUGAUACAUAAGGAAUGAUGAAAAUACAACGACAAAGUUUCCCCAUCCGGUUACGUAUCAAAGCCCUAAGACACAUGUGAGGAAAGUCCACUCACAAUAGCAAAGACAGCAACAUAAGCAACUUGCAACAUAGCAAUAUUAAUAAUAACAACUUGAAUGAUAUAAACAACGAUAAUUUCUAUAUCAUACAUUUUCCACAUAAAAUAUAUAGCUUAAAUUAACCAACAACAUCAAUUAUAUUAGUUUAUAUUGACUGAGAGGCUAUACUUUUAUAAACAACUUCCAUUCCUAUCCCAAGGACCAACUCAUGAACUCAUUGGACCCUUUAUACAACGUUAUCUCCUUCCUAAAACAUUUCUAGAUGGUUAGGAUAAAGUUCAUACACUUAAGAAGAAGUCUGGAAACAUUUGGAGUGAAGAAAAUUGCAUUUUUAAGGUUUCUGGUAAGACAACAUCAGACAUACUAAAAUUACAGAUUUUCUGUCGAAACCGCCUCAUGAUCACUAAAAUCGCCUCAUAAUUUCGACAGCAUCAGAUUUUCACCCUUCACGUUUUCGCGCCUAAAAAUAAAACCGUUAAUCCGUUUUCGAUGCCGUUUUCGCCUACGCGCUCCUAACACUUAGCUCUAUCACAAUAUACAAAAAAAAUCCAGUUUCAACCACCCAAAAAUCGGUUUCCAAAACCUCACAUAAUCACUCAUUUGCAAAAACAUUUAGACACCGACUCUUCAAGCGAAAAUCCCAAUUUUCAUCAAUCCAAACUCAAAAACUGAUUAGGAAUUUAACCUAUGAUUAUUCUACAACAUGAACACCACCUAUUACUUUAAUCCAUCAGAUUAUCUACUCUUUCUACAUCAAUCUAACAAUUUUUAAUCAAUUCCGCACUUUAACCCUAAUUCUCAAAUCCUCCAAAACUAAUCCCACCCUUGUUAAAUUUAAUCAUCGAAAUUACAGACUUAAUAAGAUUGAAUGUUAAUCUCACCCUUACCUUGAAUUGAUGAACAAAGCUCUACAAAAAUCAGAUUCUCCCCUCUUGGCUCUUCUCCCUAGCUUUCUCUUGGUUUUUCUCCCAAAAACUAUUUUUACGUGAAAACUUUUCUAAACCUAGCUUCCUCUUUAUAUCUCUCCUCAAUCCCUUUUAUCUUAUUUCCUCUAUUUCCACUAAACUCUUCUAAAUUCCAAAACAGCCCCACAUCUCAAUAUUUAUUUUAUUUUCAAAUCUUAUUCUAUUAAAUACUAAAAUAAGCCACUUAAUAAAUCACAUAAUCAUUUAAAUAUAUUCUAAACUCAUUAAAAAUAAUCAAAUAAAACAAAUAAUUUAAAGAGGGUGUUACAAUAAUCUUCUUCAAGAAGUAUCCUAUGCAUGCAUAAUGAAGGAUUUAUUCCUUUAAUGUCGUCAAUGGUGUAUCCUAUAGCUUUAGGAUAAUUCUUGAGGACAUAAAGUAACUUUUCGGUUUCUACUUCAUCGAGGCUUGCAUUCACAAUAAAAGGGUAGGUAGAGUUAGGGCCCAAGAAUUCAUACCUUAGAUUUGAUGGAAGCGGUUUGAGCUCUACUUUUGGUGCCCCUUUGGAUAGAAGUGCUGGUUCUUCCUUUACUAAUUCCUCCACACUUAAACCUUCCAUUGGAGGGGUUCUAUUCAACAACUCUUCAUAAGCUUUUGCCUCCCCUUCUAGCUUUGUACCUGCAUUAUUUACCAAGCAUACUUCCAGACCAUCAUGGUCGACUUAAGUUCCCCUACUCCCAACCUCUCAUAAAGGGAUAAAGGCAUUAAGCUGACACUUGCUCCUAGAUCACACAUAGCUUUCUUCACUACUUCUGACCCUAUGACACAAGGUAUGGAAAACCUAGCUGGGUCUUUAAGCUUUGGUGGCAAUUUAUUUUGGAUGAUGGCACUACAUUCUUCCGUAAGGUUAACCGUCUCACCUUCCUCAAUUUUUCUCUUUUUAGAAAGGAUUUCUUUUAAAAAUUUUGCAUAGGUAGGCAUUUGGGUUAAAACUUUGGUGAAAGGCACAUCAAUGUAUUUUUUGUUCAUCAUUUCUAUGAACUUUUUAAAUUGCUCAUCUAGCUUAGAUUUGGCAAACCUUUGUGGGAAGGAAAUUUUUGGCUUAAAGGGAGGUGGUGUGGUCUCCUCAACUCGUGGUUCUUCUCUUUCUACCCUGGUUUCCCUAACCGGUGGUUCGCAGAUCUCUCUCUCACUUUCAUUGGAUUUGGUUCUCCCUAUAGGGUCUUCUAGUGGCUUACCACUCCUAAGUAUAACAACAUUCAUUUUGUUGGGUUAGCCUACCUUAUGAACUACUUGGGAGAGCUGUGUUUAUGAAGUUUUGUUGUGAGAGGAGAUGGAGUCUAUCUUUGUUGUGAGAGUAGCAAGAGAGUCGCUCAAAAGUUUAGUUUGAUCCUUAAGCUCUUGGAGCUGUUCGGAUUGUUUAAGAAAAUAGUUUUCCAUUAAAAGUUCAAUGUGAGACUUUUGAACAACUCUUUGGCUAUUUUGAACAAAAUUUAACUGCUCAAUACUACCUAGUUUGCAAUCGAUGCUAGAAUGACUACAUAGGCCACAUGCUUCACAUGGAGGUGAAAAGGUAGGUGUGACAACACAAGUAUUCAUGUGAUCAAGUAUUUGAGAUAGUGCAUUCACCUUGGUAGAUAGAUAGUCAAAGGAAGAGAUUUUGUUCAUACCUGCCUCUUUUUCAGAGGGUGAAGAAUUGAUGAUUGCUUUCUCUUCAGUCCAUUAAAAAAGGUUUAGAGCCAUGUCUUCAAUCAAGGCAUAAGCUGUUGUAAAAUCCUUGUUCAUUAGGGCACCACCUGCAGCUGCAUCAACAGUUAACUUAGUGUUAGAUGUUAAACCAUUGUAAAAGGUGUGGAUGAUUAACCAUUUAUCCAAACCAUGAUUGUAACACCCCGCUUCCCAAAAUCACUUAAAAUAAUAUUAAUUCAUCAAUAAUCAGAGUAAUCAUAACGGGCAUGCCACAUUUCUUCAUUUAAAAUUUGUUAAAUAGAGUAAAUAUAAAAAAAACUAUUUAAUCAAACGUCGUUCGUAAAUUGUCAUUAAAACUCGCAGCAGAUUAUUUGCAACAUCACCAAGUCAACAAUAAUUAUUCUUGGCAUAAAAGCCAUUUCAACAUAAAAUUCGAUUCAUCAAAGGGCUACAUCAGCAAUAUUUCAAGAUUGAUACAUAGGAAAGAAUUCAAGCAAUAAAAAUCUCAUCCCACGUAUCAGAGCCCUAGACACUGUGAGCCACCACCUACUACUCAGGAUCACCUGCAAGUUACCCAUAGGAAGGGCAACAUUUUCAAGAAAAAGGGGUGAGAUUCUCAAACAAUAAUAAUAAUAUAUAAUAACAUAAAUGAAUCUAACAUCCUUUCAACAUAAUCAUUCAUCAAAUAUAAGUAUAACAUUAUUAGCAACUUCAGCACCAACAGUAAUUAAUAGACAGAAAUCAACGACUCAUGCAUGACAUGACGACUCCACUAAGACUCCUCAACAAAUGCAACUAUGCAUGUGGUACCAUAUCAGAGCCAAAGCUCUCAUCGUUGUAGAAUGGUUAAAGCAUUCUUUUAUCAGGACAUGAGUCCUCAUCGUUAACAUCGUUUUGAACAACAUCGUGUUCCAUCGUUUUGAACGACAAGGCGUUCCAGGGCAUGAGCCCUCAACGGUUGAAUGAUUAACAUUCCAGGGCAUGAGCCCUCAACAGAUUGAAUGACAAAGCAUUCCAGGGCAUAAGCCCCCAACAAUUUGAAUGACAAAGCAUUCCAGGGCAUGAGCCCUCAACGGUUGAAUGACGAGCAUUCUAGGGCAUGAGCCCUCAACGGUUGAAUGACAAAGCAUUCCAGGGCAUGAGCCCUCAACAGUUUCCUAAUCAUGAAAGGACUCCACUUGUGUAUAUCAGCAUACAACUCAACUACGACAACAACAACAUAGGCAACGACAACGAUCGUGCAUAAUAACUCACUCACUCCCCAACUUGGUCAACAUCAACAACCUAUGACUCCGUUACUUAGAACGACAACUUGCAACCUUACAACCUGAACCAACAUCUUGUAUAAUCCAAUUGAAUGCAUUUAUCCAUAAACCAACAAUCAGCAGCAAAUCAUAUUCAAUCAACAGCAACAUAUAAUAAUAAGCAGCGAGACAACAACGAUAAUAACCAUCAUAUACAACAAGUAGGACUCAUAUCAACAUCUUUCAUAAUAUAUAACUAUCUCCUCAUUUGUUCAUCAACCUAAGUCGACGUCAAUAAACAUUAUAAACAUCCUCUCUGAAUCUCCGUAUAAUCAAGAAUAACUUCUCUCCUACCUCAAGGGUCUACUCAUAACAUGGGUUAAAUACUCUUAGACACCUUAAUUGAACUCAUAUUACUUCUAGUUUUGAGCCUUUGAAUUAUCCCAUAAGUUUUGGAUUAACUUAAAAAGGGUUAUGCUGAAUUUUCAUAAGAUUUCACUAAGACCUCCUUGGAGUAUUUUCAUCAUAACUCCUAAACCAAAUAUCAUUUUCGAGUCAAACCAAAGCCAUUGGAAAGCUAACAAAAUUAUCUACAACUUUCAUGUUUACACCAAAACCCAGUUCAAAGCAGAAACAUGUGAAACAGACGCAAGAACAUAAAACAAGGAAUGCUGUCACUGGGCAAUUUCGCUAAUGGCGAAAACUGAGCUAAUAGCGAAAUAGUUACAGGGAGUUUCGCUAAUAGCGAACUCCUAGCGAGUUUUUCCCUUGCUGUUACGAUUUCUGCACAAUUUUCACCCAGAAAAACCAAAUUUCAUCUACCGAAACCCCAAAUUUGAUAGGAAACUUAACCUAUGAUUAUUCUACCACCUGAACAUCAAUUCUUAACACAAUUGCCAUGGUUUCUACACUUUUCAAUCCAAGAAUCAUACUCCCAAAACCUAAACCCCAAUUCCCAAUUCACCAAAUUUAUUCAUAACUUUUGCCAAACAGAAUCAGAAUUAUAUAAACUAAAAUAAUUGCAAGUUAGUCUCACCCUUACCUUAGAAUUGUAAACACAAAAGUACGACAAAUCAAUCCCUAAGCUCUUCUCUCUUGGUCUUCUCCCUUGCCUUAGCUUUUUCCUCUCCCACUUGUUUUCACGUUAAAACUGUUUCUGACUUUUCUUUCCUUCACUUCUCAAAAUUAUAACUUCCCCUUUUUCAUUAAAACCUCCCUUAUUAUUAUUAAUUUCUAAUUAAUCCCCAACCUCCUAAAUAAUUCCCUUAUUUUUAUUAUUCUAUUUAUAUUAAAUAAUUUAUAUAAAUAAAUACUACACACUGCAUAUAACACAUAUAUUAAUUAAAAACACACAAAAGACUCUAACUAAUUCUAAAAAUAAUAAAAUAACGACUAGGGCGUUACAAUGAUGGGGACAAAGUCUAAGUAUUUCUUUAAAACGCUCCCACAACUUUCGUGUUUACACCUAAGACCAAUUAUGUACCAAUCAAUACGAACAUAUAACAUAACAAAAUAUCACUCAUCAAAAUAAAUCAUAUAAAUCACACAAAUCAUAUAAUUAUAUUCUAAACUCAUUAAACUAAUCAAAUAAUUAAAGAGGGCGUUACAACUCUCCCCCCCUUAAAAGAAUUUUGUCCACGAAAUUCAAAGCACAAAAGAAAUGAAUUCAAUUAUUGCUUAAAUAUCUUAAACUACAUAUAGCCAAAUAGAAACUUCAAACAAAACAUACAAACCACAUUAAAGUUAGUCAAUCAAACAUGAUCACAUAAUAAACAUAAUUAUUAAUCAGAAACACAACAACAACCAAUCAAAUAGCAUAAAGAUAGUAAUACAACUAUUACUCGACACAACUCGACUCAACUACUUGGCCGAACGGACUGACCUGCUCUGAUACCAAUUGUAACACCCCGUUUUCCCAACAUAAAAAUUUCAUAAAUUAAUCAGAGUAAAACACCUUAAACAGAAUGUUACACUUCUUUUCUUAAAAAUCAUAAAUGGAAUAAUUAAAUAAUUAUCCUUCAAAUUUCAACAAUGUAAUAAUUAAACUUUGCAGCGGAAUUAAUUCAACGACAAUAAAAGCUUCAACAACAUGUUUCCAAAAUUGAUACAUAAAGGAAUGAUAAACAUAGCAACAAUUUCCCAUCCCGUUACGUAUCAGAGCCCGAAGACACUUGAGUCACCACUCCUACCAAUCUUUAAUACCUGCAAGUUACUCAUACGAAGAGCAACAUCUCCAAGCAGAAGGGGUGAGAUUUCACAAAACAAUAAUAUUAAGCAUAUAAUCCAACAAUUAUAUUUAACAACAUGAAAACAUCAUAAUAUUCAUCAUAGAUAAUAAUAUAUCAUAUAUCACUUCAUUAAUAGUUCAUAUAAAGAAUCACAGCUUUAACAACUUGACAACUUAACAUCUUUAACUUGACAAAUGCGACUCCAACUCGACUAUGCAACUUAGACCUCUUAUAUGCAUGUGGUACCAAUACAGAGCAUCAAGCCCCCAUCGCUAUUUGAGUAUUACCAUACUCCAGAGCAUCAAGCCCCUAUCGCUAUUUGAGUAUUACUAUACUCCAGGGCAUCAAGCCCCUAUCGCUGAAAUGCUAAUGCAUGGACUCGACUUCUUAAACAUCUUAAAUCGACAACCUCUUAUAUAAUUCAAUAAUUUGGAACUUCAUCAUCUUAAUCAACUUAGACCGACUCAUGCAGCUUAGUUAAAUAACAACAGCGACACAUCAGCAUACAAAAACGGCAUGACAUAAUAAUAUCAAAUGCAAGCCAAUCAACAUCUCAAAACAUCAUAUAUACAUAUAAAACUUCAUCAAUCAUGGACAAUAUCGAAUUCACAAACAUAUACAUACAUAUAUUAAUUCAUCAAUCAUAUUCAAUUAUUCACAGUGACCUAUGUGCAGUAAUCUGACCAUAACUCAAGUUCUAUAAAUCCUUUUGAAGUAAAACUAACGGCAUUAGAAAGCUAACAUCCAUACCUACAACUUUCGUGUUUACACCUAAGACCAAUUAUUUACCAAUCAAUACCAGUUUUCAUUUCAAAUUCGGACAAAGUUGUUCUGAAAUUCAUAAAAAUUCACUGUGACCUACGUGCAGUAAUUUGACCAUAACUCAAGUUCUAUAAAUCGUUUUGACGUCCGACCAACGGCAUUAGAAAGCUAACAUCCAUACCUACAACUUUUGUGUUUACAACUAAGACCAAUUCUGUACCAAUCAAUACCAUAUUUCGUUUCAAAUUCGGGGCAGAGAUGAAAAGAAAAAAUAAGAAAAAGCAACCUAUAUUAUUCAACUUCACUUUCAUUCAAAAUCAUCACUCUUAACAAUUUUUCAUCAAUUAAUCUCAAAUUUCUCACUUGAACCCUAAUUCUCAAAUUCUCUAAAACCAAUCCUACAGUUGUUAAAUUUAAUCAUCAGAAUUACAGACUUAAUAGAAUUGAAUGCUGGUCUCACCCUUACCUUAAUAAAUCGAUCAGGCAGCCUCUUGAUAGAUAAUUAGCAAGUGUACUAACUUAUAUCGAAGUAAUAAAAUUUAUAAGAUUCGUUUCCACAGGGACUGUUUCAACUUCUACUCGGUAGUAACGUUAUUAUUAAGGAUGUUUGUAAAAUGGGGGGUGCACUGAGGCAAUUGGUUUAAUUUGCAAGUUAAAAUAAAAUGGUUAAGGAAAAAUUGGUUUAAGAAAUAAUAUGGAGUGAUGACUAGGUCAUUCGAUUCAUCUGCUCAUCGCUCAUUAGCAACAUGUUUCUUACGUUUACGAACGCUAUAAAGUUUACGACAAAUUAACAAAAUAGCUUAGGUCAAUCCCUUGAUCCUAAGCCCUCUUUUCUGAUUAUAAUUCCCUAAUCCCUUAGGUGAACCUAUAGUCAUCAAAGGUUUUAAGUCCGUUAAUUCAAGUAUCACAACCUAACAACGCUCCAUCCCUAGAUUGUCCGUUAGAUUGAACAGUAUAAAUAUGUCAGAGUUAAACGCUAGUGUCAGUAGUCAUAUAUACUCUAAAAUCAAUUAUAUUGGGUCAUAAUCAUAAAAGCUUUAAGAACAAUUUAUACUGAAUAAACUAGAAUGGCAUUCAUAAAGAUUAAGAGUUGCAGGUUACAUAAACAUGAGCUAGAACAAAAUCAUCUCUUGACCUAAUCACAAAGGAUCUAGCUACUCAUGACUAAAGCACAAAUAACUAAUGUAAAAGAAGGAUUCAUUACAUGAAAUUGGUAACCGAAUAUGAGUUUCGAUGGUCUCACACCUUCUCUCCAGAUCUCCAGCUCCAAAAGUCAGUUUCUUUCUCCAAAUUUUCCAACCCUUGGCUCAGAAAACAACUUCCCUUUUAUAGGAAAAUUCUCAGAUACGCCAAAAUCGUACUCCGAUGCUGUAAAUCGGAGCACGAUGGCUUCAUUAAAGUCAUAUCCUGGCUGGAGCGUCUGCCAAAUCGUAGCCCGAUUUGGUUCCAUCGGAGCACGAUUUUUUACGAGACAAAAUGUCUCAAAUUUGCUGUAAAAUCGGAGCACGAUGCUGUAAAUCGGAGCACGAUUUCUUAUUUGUUUGCCAACAUCAAAUGUGUCAUUUGAAGCUUCUAUCUCAUGCAAAAUCACCCGAACUCAACCAAAAUUACAUAAAAACUAUAACAAAAGUGAUAUAUGACCUAGUGUCAUCACCUCUCUUGGUUCUUCUCUUCUCUUCUCUUACUUCUCACUUUCUCCCUUUUUCUCUCAAAAGCAGUUUGCACCAAAUCCUUAUUUUCUAAUUCUAACUCUCCCCUUUUAUAAAUAUCUUUAACCUACUUAUUUUUCUCUUAUAUUCAAAUCUCCCUAAAAUCUCAAUAUUCUAUUGUAAUAUAUAAAAUAUAAAAUAUAAAAUAUUUCUAUAACAAUUAUCAAAUAUAUCUUUAUAACAAAUAUAUUUCUAAUAUAUAUAUAUAUAUAUAUAUAUAUAUAUAUAUAUAUAUAUAUAUAUUUCUAAACCAAAUAACAUAUAUAUUUCUAAACCAAAUAAUAUAUAUAUUUCUAAACAAAAUAACAUAUAUAUUAUACUAAUAAAUACCAACAUAUAACAUAACAAAAUAUCACUAUCAAAAUAAAUCAUAUAAAUCACACAAAUCAUAGAAUUAUAUUCUAAACUCAUUAAAAUAAUCAAAUAAUUAAAGAGGGCGUUACACUGACUUAAUUAUUAUUAGUUCCCUUGAAGAUCGAAACUAUAUGUCUCAAAGAUUGCAAAGACUAUUUCGCUACCAUUGCAAUCCUUGUCUAAAUUCACUUGUUCGAAUAUCAAACCUCCACUUUCGUUUUAUGAAUUGAUAUUUGAGAUGAUGGAUAAACAAUUAUCAAACCCUCCACUUUCAUUUCCACAGUUUGAUAAUGGUUGAUCCAUGUUAAAGCGGUGAAUUUAGAUAAGCAAUUAGGGUUACAUAAGAUUAAGGCUUAGAGCUUGGCUUGAUUAGGAUUAUGUCAUUUAGACUUAUCCAACAAUCCCAAGACAAGGAGAAGUCUACUCACUCAUGUUCAUCGUAGACAUGGGGAAGAAGAGAGAAAGCAUAAAAGUAAAUGACAAGAAAGUAAAGGAAAAGAAAAGAACUUUUAUUAGAAAAGCAAUUGUCACUUAUUGAAUUCCAAGAAAAGAUGAAUAUUCGUGAUGGCUAGCUACUCUAUUUAUAGUUUACAUUCGACUUAAAAUCUAAGCAAUCACUAGAAUGUUCCACAAGUAAACUAAAACAGAGUAGCUUAAAAUCUAAGCAAAAGCAGCAAAAGCGAUUCUGGAGGGUGGCACGGCCGUGCCAAUGCUGGCACGGGCCGUGCCAAGCUUCUGACUUUGGGGAGACAUAUUUUGUCUCCAAAUCUUCCUAUUUUUGUACCGAAUCAGCUCCAAAUCCCUUUCUUUUGCUCCAAGACUCAAUCCAUCAAAUAUUCUUUCCUGAAAUAUAAUAAAAUGCAAUUUGUAGUAAACUAUCUUAAAAAGGAAAUAAUACUAAUAUAAAAUAAAAUAAAAUCUAAUUAAAACUAAACUAAAUAGCAUAUAAAAAUAGGUAUUAAAUGACUCAUCAGGUGCGUUCAUGAAAUACAUGGUUAGCUGCUAUAUGUAAAGCGCUUUCAAAUAUCUCAAAACCCUUAAGGCAGCAACAUGAUGAGUAUGAGUAGGAGCAGAUAGAAAUUGACUCAAUUGUUGUGUGAUAUAGGUGAUGUCUGGUCUGGUGAUAUUUAGGUAGAGUAAUCUACCAAUCAGCCUUCUAUAGGAAGAAAUGUCUUCAUAGGGUAAGGCACCAUCCUUGUGUAACUUGAUAGAGGGGUCAGAAGGAAAGGAUGCAGGUUUAGAACCAAUGGCACCUGAAUAUGCAAGCAAAUCUAAGUAGUAUGCAAGCAAAUCUAAGCAGUAUUUCUUCUGACAAAGAGAGAUACCAAGAUGGGAAUGUGAAACUUUUUAUCGAGAAAAUUUUUGGUUCAAUUUUUUUAAGUAUUACACAAUAUAUAAUGGCCAGACAAUUAAACGUAGUAGAACAGUGGACACACGAACACUAACAUGUUAUCUUUCCACUAGUAGUAAGAGAGUCAAUAAAAUGAUCUUCUGAAUGUUAUAUUUAAUUUCUAGUGUACAGGCAAAAGUUGUAUAGUCGCUCUUGCGUCACUAGACGAUAACAGAGAUGAAACCUCUUAGAGGAAUCAAAUGCAUUGCAGGAGUAUUAGGCAAUGUAAAGAUAAAAGCUUUAUGGGAUAUGCAAGAACCACACAUGUUAAACUGCCUUUAUUCAAUGAACAAAAUGCAAAUGCAUUUAUAUUUUCAAAUGACAACUGCUGUAUAGUACGGAAAUUUUGGAUGCGAAUUUUUACGAAUUUGGAGUACAAUUGCGAAAGCUGAAUUAUUUCCCUCUCCCACGUGCAGCUUCGACAUUUUAUCAAAAAAUAAAAAUAAAAUAAAAAUACACCCUUCGUAGUAAUGCAAACCAAACAGUGUCAUCCUCUCAAGUGUUGUUAUCUACUUCGUUUUUUGAACAUUCUUUUAAUUGCUCAAAGAGAUAAGAGUGUGGACUCUAUGAAACUCAUUGUGUAUGAUGUACGAAAUCCUCACUUCACUCUUAUUUUAAUUUGUUAACAUGGAAUACAUAAAUUAUAUGAAGUAUCUUAUUAAUAGUCAUUCGAGUUAUGUAACAGUGAGAACCUUGAUUCCUAAAAUCUAAAUUAAAAACAGAAUAUUCUUCCAAAUAAUUAGUAACAAGCUGAAAACCCACCAGCAGUAGGGGUGAUAUGAAGGCCAUAAAUUAACUUUUCGGGGCCUCUGCAAUUGAUUUCUGCAAGCCCUCGUAAACAUGACGAACAUAAAUACAAAUUAAGGAGGAGGAGGUUAUGGUGGAUCAACGGUGGCACCAUGGGUCGAUACAGGCAAGGCGGUUGUUGUAACACCCUGUUUUCUCAACUUGAAAAUUUCACAUAAAAAUCAUAGUAAUUCAACAUAAACGGAAUGUCACACUUUUUUUCAUAAAAUCAUAAACGGAAUAAAUUCACUAUUUAUUGUCCAACUUAAACAUCAUAUCAUUUAUUACUUGUCAACGGAAAUUAUUUCAACGUUUAAAACAACCUUGGCACAAAGGCCUCAAUGUAAAAUCUCAUAAAAUUAUUCCAACAACAUGUUCAUAAAACUUCAUAAAAUAAAACGUAAAGAACAUAAAGCAACAACAAAAUUUCCAUCCUGUUACGUAUCAGAGCGACCCUAAGACACAUGUGAGAGAAUCGACUAACUUCAACAACUAAUCUUGAUUACCUGCAAGUUACCCAAUUGUGAGGGCAACAUUUCCAUGCAGAAGAUGUGAGAUUUCACAUUCAAUAAUAAUAAGCAUAUAAUUCAUCAAAAUCAUUUAACAACUUAAACUUCAUCAAUUAAUAACAUUAACUCUUCUUAUAAUACUUCAUUAAUAACUCAACCAACUUCUAAACAUCAUUAACUUCAUAUUCAUCACAUUAUAUACAACAUCAUAUAACACAUAAUAAUCAGAUUAUAAACAUCAUCUGAUAACGAAAUAAUCAUCACAUCAUAAUAUCAUUUUAUAACAACAUAAACGAUACAUCAUAAACAUCAUCUUAAAGAACAUCAUAACAACUUAACAACAUCAUAAUCAACAUCAUAAACAACAUCAUAUAAUCUUCAUAAGCACUUCAUUUACAACAUGUGGAUAGAAGACAACUCAACAACUUAAUAACUCAUGGAUGACAACUCAUCAACAACGACUUUGACUCGACAAUGCAACUUCGACUUCUUAAUCAUGCAUGUGGUACCAAUCCAGGGCAUCAAGCCCUCAACUUAUUUGAGCAUUAAUAUACUCCCAAGGCAUCAAGCCCUCAACUUAAUUGAGUAAAGGCACCAGAGCAUCAAGGCCCAACGUAUAGAGAUAAAUAUACUCCAAGGUAUCAAGCCCUCAACUUAAAGAGCAAAAGCUCACAGAGCAUCAAUCCCUCAACAUAAGAGCAAAAGCUCACAUAACAUCAAGCCCUCAACUUCAAAUGAGUAUGCAAGGACUCAACAACAUACAACUUGGACAACAUCAACAACUUAUAUGACUCCAAUAUCUUGGAACAACAACUUGACAACUUUGACUAACAUAUGAAACUUAAUGAUUUAAUCAUCAAUACAGCAGAGAUAACAACAUACAACAACUUCACAACAUAGCAUCAUUAAAAAUAACAACUUGAACGAUAUAAACAAUAAUAAUUUUUAUAUCAUACAUUUUCAACACAUUAUAUAAAUAUCUUAAACUAACCAACAAUCAUUAAUCAUUUGAUUCAGGCUCUCUGUAAGUCUAUAAAUUAAUAAUAACUUCCAUCCUAUCCCAAGAUCAACUCACAACAUAGGUUAAAUACUCUUAAACACCUUAAUUGAACUCAUAGUACUUCUAGUUUUGAGGUUUGAAAUUAUCCCAUAAGUUUUGGAUUAACUUAGAAAUGAUUAUACUGAAUUUUCAUAAGAUUUCACUAAGACCUACUUUGAGUAUGUUCAUCAUAUCUCAAGCACCAAAAAUCAUUUUCACAUCAAACCAAAGCCACUGGAAAGCUAACUCAAUUAUCUGCAACUUUCAUGUUUACACCAAAGGCCAAUUCAAAACAGAAACGUGUGCAAAAGACGCAAGAACAUGAAACGGAACGUGCUGUCAAAGAGCAACUCGGGAAAAACCCACUUUUCACCCCAAAAUCUCAAUUUUAACUUCCCUAUGCCCAAAUUUGAUCCAAAAACUUGUCUAACCAUUUCUAUACAUGUUAAGUCACUCAAAACCAUAUAAAACAUUGUACUAAAAAUAACCCACGAUCUGAACAUCAAUUCUACCAAAUUCAACGGCUUUUCUACUCUAUUAACAACCAAUUACAACUUCAAAACCUAAUUCCCAAAUUUCCAUAACUACAAACUACAACAUGCUAAACUCAAUUUCAUAAUUAUACAACUUAAAAUUAGAGAAAGUUAGUCCCACCAUUACCUUAGAUUGAUCGACGAAGGACUCUACCGCUUUCUCUCCUCUAACUCUUCUCUUCUCUUGGUUUUCUCCAAAAACAGGUUUCACGUAAUCCUUAUUUUCUAAUUCUAACUCUACCAUUUUAUAUAAAUCCUUAACCUACUUAUUUUCUCUUAUUUCCAAAUCUCCCCUCAAAGUCUCAAUAUUCUAUCCAUAUAUAAAAUAUUUCUAUAACAAAUAUAUCUUUAUAACAAAUAUAUUUCUAUAACAUAUAUAUUUCUACACCAAAUCAGAAAUAUAUUUCUACACCAGAUAACAUAUAUAUUUCUACACCAAAUAACAUAUAUAUUUCUACACCAAGUAACAUAAUAUUUCCACACCAAAUAACAUAAUAUUUCUAAUCAAAAUAACGUAAUAUUUCCACACCAAAUAACAAAUAUAUUUCGACACCAAAUAACAAAUAUAUUUCCACACCAAAUAACAUAAUAUUUCAACGCCAAAUAACAUAUUAUUUCUACACCAAAUAACAUAAUAUUUUAUACUAAUAUAUACCAACAUAUAACAUAAUAAAAUAUCACUCUUCAAAAAAAAUUCGACUAAAUUAUAAAAAGACAUCUAAACUCAAUUAAAGUAAAUAAAUAAUAAAAUAGGGCGUUACCGUUGUAGUGAUAUUGAUGAUUGUCGAGAAUGUAGCGUAAAAAAAGGACUAGGUGGUGUAGCGAUGUGUAUGUUCAGAUUUGGAUUUGGAUUUUAGUUGAGAUUAAUUUAGAAUUAGAAGGGUGUCAACCCAUAAUUUCCCAUUUAAUCAUCGAAUUUCGCAUUCUAUUGUUCGUACCACAUAGCAUUUUCCUUUUCAAAUUUUUAAUUGUAGAUUGUUUUCUCUUUUCCAUGUUGUUUUAUUUGUUUUUCACUUCCAAGACAAAAAGUGGGAAGUCUAUAUAAGUGGGCUUCACGUGUUGAGUAAACAUAUUAAUCUUCCUAGCUAAUAUAUAACGUUUAUAAUCACAACAUUUCAGAUCAAUGUAGUAAUAAGUUACUCAUCCAUUUUACAUCGAUUUUCCACCAUUUUACAUCAAUUUUCCACCAUUUUACACAAAUUAAAAUUAAAAUUUAAAUAAUCAGAUUUGUUAAUAUAAAUCCACUUAGUUUUUGGAAUAGGUAUUUUAACAAGUUUAUAACUGCUACUAGUAGAGUGUCCUUUAUAAAUCCAAGUCAUUUGAUUUAAAACUAUUAAAUAAAUGGUAAAAAUUGCACUUCCAUAUGAAUAAAUAAAUUUAAUCAUUUGUGCAUCCUAUAAACUACCAUCAAGUUAUAACUAAAAGAGAAAUAUAUUUUUACAACAUUUUAGUACAACUUUUCUACAACUUUCUUUCUCAUACUUACAUUAUGUUUUUAUUCUCUUUUUUUUUCUUCCUCUCUUCAUUGUUUUUGACCAAUAAAAAUAGAGAACAAUAAAGUUGUCUCAAAGGUGUACCAAAAUGGUUGUUAAAAUAUCACUGCUCUAACUAAAAAGUGAUUAUAUAUAUAUAUAUAUAUAUAUAUAUAUAUAUAUAUAUAUAUAUAUAUAUAUAUAUAUAUAUAUAUUUCAAGGUGUAUGUUGCUAAGCACUCUUAACCAUUAAGUGAAUAUAAAUUUAUGGAUUUUAUAGAUAUUUGUUAGGAUAUACUCACUUAUUUUAUAAGAGUAUGUUAAAUGCAUCCUAAGAUGCUAAAACACUCCUUUAUAAAACAAAGAUGAUGUAUUCUAAUAAAAGAGAGAAUAUAAUAAUACUUAUAGGGAUAAAUAAGUUUUUGACCUCUAAAAUUUUAAAAUUUUUCUUUUAAUACCUGUAAAAAAUUUCAUCAAAUUUUAAUCCCUAAAAUAUUUUUUGCACAAUCCUAGCUUGUUUUUAAGUAAACUCAUGUGAAUCCUUCAAAAUUUUAAAUUGUUUUUUGAAGUCAUGUUUAAUACACUAUAUAAAUAUCUCUUGUAACCAUUUAAAGUCAAACCUUAUUUACAACAAAUGUAAUUUGCUGUAACAUGAUAAGUUUUCAGACUAUGGCGUCAUGUCCAAGACCGACAGAGGAGCAAUUGUUUUGUUGGAAGUUGGAACACAAAAAUUGGGUUGAUACCCUAAGCUUUGUACUCAUUAGAAAUUGGGUUGACACCCUUAAGCUCUAGUAUAGUUAUUUGAUUUAUCUUUUAAUCUUAUGUCCUUCUUAAAAAUGGGAAAUGCCCUUAGAUUGGAGAAUAAAUUUAAAGAAACGAUUCUUUUAGCAUAUGAAUGAAGUUCCUUUUUUUUUUUCUUCAAUUAAAGAGAAGGUAUUUUAAUUUCUUUUCACAUGGUUGUAACAAAAAGGUAAUAGUCAUUUUAAUUUCUGAAUGAGUAAUAAUGUAUCAAAAUUUCAAAAUAAUCAUUGAUUGUCCACUUCGUUAGUCAAAAUAAUUAUUGAUUAUCAUAUUAGUCAUGUUGGAGAUGCCCAAGAUCCAAUCAAUUAUGUAACCAAUUUUAGAAUUAAUAAAUAUUCAUUAUCUUGUUUACUGUUUAGUGAAAUAGUUAAUUUGAUAAUGUCCUUGAUUAAAACUAUAGACUUGUUAUCAUGAUAGAGAUUAUGAUAAUGAGAAACAAGUCUUUUAUUAUUUUUAAUCUAAAUUGUUCUUGAUCGUAUGGUUGUUGUGAAUAGGACAUCAAUAAUCUGGAUAGAUCAAUAUAUAUGUGAUAGUCUUUAUUGGAUAAAGAUUAAUAUAUCUCAUUUAUUAAAUUACAUAUAUAGAUGAUGCAUAUAGUGAUAUGAUCAUUGAACUGACUCAACUGAGAAUUUCUAAUGGUCGAUAUUACCACAAAAAUGUCAAUAGAAAAGUUCUCAAGAAAGAAUAUAAUAAUUUUCUUUGACCUGAGAUUGUCAUAGUAAUUAACAUGUUAUUUAUUGUAUUUUGAUUCUGAACACCUAAUACCUUAGGGUGCUAGUUGAAAGGAUAUUGGAUACAAUUAAAUGCUUGUAUAAUUAAUGACUAAUCAAGAUGGGAUCCGUCAACUCUUGAUAAUGAGUUUGAACUCUAUGAUAAAAUCAAAACCCUGGCCAGGGAAACUAAAUGAAAGAAGAAAUGAGUUUCUUAAGUCAUAUAUGUUAACUUAUUAGAGUUUGACAAUUGUACCAUGCUCUAGAGUUAACCAGAGUUCUAACGACGGAAGAAAAAUAUUAUGUCAUUCUAUUUGGUUCUUGAAAGUAAAAUAAUAUUUCAUACUACCUGGACGUUAAGGAGUGUUACUAGACGCCUACCUUGAUUAAUAUAUUAAUUUGAUUAAUCUAUUACCAGUUUAGUAUUGAACCUACAGGGUCACACACAAACGAGUGUUCUAAUUCUUACUAAAGAAUAACUUUAUUAUUUGAUGAUUAAAUUGAAGAAUUUAAUUAAUCAAAAUAUAAAUUUUCUAAGUGGAAUAUUAUUGUAUUUUUUGCUAGUACAAAGAAUACAAAUAAUACAUAAAUAAAUUGAGCAUGUUAUUUAUUGAAAAAUAAAUAAAUAAGAAAUGUUGUACGUUGCAUUAUCUUUACUAAUUAUAUAUAUAAUCUAUAUAUAGGAAUGAUCAAUGGUUGAUCAUUUAGAAAGAAAAGGAAAUUGUACAACAUUAUAUAUAUACAAUUAUAUAUAGUUAUGUGGAAUCAUAUUGGUCAAUGAUCACCUUAGUUGAAAAAUUAUUUUUCAAAUAAAUUAGCAUUAACAUGUGUUAAUUGUUUUUAUUGAUUGACCAUAUGAAAUAAAAGGUCAUUAAGAUGAGUCAACACAUUUUAUUUGAUAGUAGUGUGUGUGACCUAUAAAUAGACCUUAAGUGAUUUGAUCAAAACCCACAACACAACAACAAGAAAUAUGCUCUAGUUUUCUAGUUCCACUACUCAAAGGUUGAGAGUAAAAAUUGGUCUCGGUGUGGAUACACGUAGAGUCUUCAUAUCAUUGAAGAAUUUUCAUGCUUCAAGAAUUGAUACAAAGGUACACUUUUAGUAUCUAAUUUCGUAAAUUUUAUAAUUUAUGCGCAAAAUAGAUCCAAACUUUAUUCCGUUGCAUGUGUUAUGAACACCUUUUUUACUUCAAUUGGUAUCAGAGCUUUGGAUCUUUUGUGUUUAAAUUAUAAUUUCAGAAGUAUGACAAAGCUGAAUUUUUUAUUUUGUUUGAAGUAAUCAUCGUUACGGCAAUAUGUUGAUAUUUUAAAAUUACAAAUUUGUGAUGUAACGGCGAUUGCUAGCUUGCUAUCUAUUAAAAUACAUGAGAUGUAUAUUUAUUUAUUUAUUUUCGGAAUGUUCCAGUACAUGUGCAUAUUCAAUUUCGUAAAUUUUCUAUAUCAUAUAUGAUGAUAAAUAAACUAAACUAAUUGCAUAUGUUAUAUGAAUUUCGACUUCCUUAUGCUUUCCUCAAUGUAUGUUUUUCUUCAUUGAUAUACAUAUAUACAUGCUGUGUUAUAUAUAUAUAUAUAUGUAUAUAUAAUAAUAAUAAUAAUAAUAUUGAUAUUAGUAUAUAGGGUAUUAAUUUAGUAUAAGAUACAAUUUUAUUAUAUAAUUAAUUGUUGAUAAUAAGAAUUGGCCUGACUACCAGGAAACUUAUAAUUAAUAAUUAAUUAUAAUAAAUGAUAAAAAUGUUUUAUUAUAUAUAAUUAGUAGUAAAAUUCAAGAGUUGAUCUGACUACCAGAAAAUUUGUAUUUAACGACUAAUUAUAGCAUAUGAUGCAUAUUUAAAAUUAAUUAUAUACUUAACGUCUGGACUACCCGGAGAAGUGAUAGAAUUAAUUCAUAAUAAAUAUAUACACUAAUUAUGUGGUAUGAUAUUUAUUUUUGUAUAUGAUACAUCAUGACUUAAAACUUAUAUAUGAGAAACGACUUGACAACCAAGUGUUUUAUAUAUUACUUUUAAGUAAUCUCCCAUUUUUAUUUUUUUUUUAAUGUUCUGACAUCAUAAACAUUUUAUAUGAUAAAAAAAAAAAAAAAAAAGGUAUGUCUUCUCUUUCGCUCCGUGGAAUACUUGAAUCUAGAAAAUUGGUUGGACCCAAUUAUGAUGAUUGGUACCGUAACACGAGAAUUGUUCUCAUGCACGAAAAACUAAUCGACGUCAUUGAUAAGCCAGUUGUGACUGCACCGGUUGAUCCAAUCGAUGUUGAAUCAACCAAGACUUAUGAGAAGUACUUGGAGCAACGUCUCACUACUAAGUGCUAUGGAAUCUAAAAUGGAAUCGAUGAAGAUCAACAAAGUUUGGACUUUGGUUGAGGCUUCAAUGGAUAUUAAAUCUAUUGUUGUAAAUGAGUUUACAAGAAAAAGAUUUAUAGAGAUAGAUCUAAAAGGUUGUGUGGACUCUCUCAGUCUAUGUACAUUGAUACCAUCUUAAGGAGGUAUAACAUGGAAAAUUCCAAACGAGGGUAUUUACCCCUAGGAAUUAGAAUUACUCUUAGUAGGGAGGAUUGUCCGAAAACUCCCAAAGAGAGAGAACGCAUGAGUAGAGUACCAUAUGCUAGCGCAGUGGGAGCUAUCAUGUACACCAGGACUUGUACACGUCCUGAUGUCGCUUAUGCACUUGGUGUAACUAGUCGAUAUCAAGUAAACCAAGAUGAGAAACAUUGAAAAAUGGUUAAGACCGUCCUUAAGUACUUAAGAUGAUCUAAAGACCAAUUCUUCAUUUAUGAAGAAUAGAAUUAACAUACACGACUGAUUGGCUCUAGUGCAAGUGGGAGAUUGUUGGAGAUGCCCAAGAUCCAAUCAAUUAUGUAACCAAUUUUAGAAUUAAUAAAUAUUCAUUAUCUUGUUUACUGUUUAGUGAAAUAGUUAAUUUGAUAAUGUCCUUGAUUAAAACUAUAGACUUGUUAUCAUGAUAGAGAUUAUGAUAAUGAGAAACAAGUCUUUUAUUAUUUUUAAUCUAAAUUGUUCUUGAUCGUAUGGUUGUUGUGAAUAGGACAUCAAUAAUCUGGAUAGAUCAAUAUAUAUGUGAUAGUCUUUAUUGGAUAAAGAUUAAUAUAUCUCAUUUAUUAAAUUACAUAUAUAGAUGAUGCAUAUAGUGAUAUGAUCAUUGAACUGACUCAACUGAGAAUUUCUAAUGGUCGAUAUUACCACAAAAAUGUCAAUAGAAAAGUUCUCAAGAAAGAAUAUAAUAAUUUUCUUUGACCUGAGAUUGUCAUAGUAAUUAACAUGUUAUUUAUUGUAUUUUGAUUCUGAACACCUAAUACCUUAGGGUGCUAGUUGAAAGGAUAUUGGAUACAAUUAAAUGCUUGUAUAAUUAAUGACUAAUCAAGAUGGGAUCCGUCAACUCUUGGUAAUGAGUUUGAACUCUAUGAUAAAAUCAAAACCCUGGCCAGGGAAACUAAAUGAAAGAAGAAAUGAGUUUCUUAAGUCAUAUAUGUUAACUUAUUAGAGUUUGACAAUUGUACCAUGCUCUAGAGUUAACCAGAGUUCUAACGACGGAAGAAAAAUAUUAUGUCAUUCUAUUUAGUUCUUGAAAGUAAAAUAAUAUUUCAUACUACCUGGACGUUAAGGAGUGUUACUAGACGCCUACCUUGAUUAAUAUAUUAAUUUGAUUAAUCUAUUACCAGUUUAGUAUUGAACCUACAGGGUCACACACAAACGAGUGUUCUAAUUCUUACUAAAGAAUAACUUUAUUAUUUGAUGAUUAAAUUGAAGAAUUUAAUUAAUCAAAAUAUAAAUUUUCUAAGUGGAAUAUUAUUGUAUUUUUUGCUAGUACAAAGAAUACAAAUAAUACAUAAAUAAAUUGAGCAUGUUAUUUAUUGAAAAAUAAAUAAAUAAGAAAUGUUGUACGUUGCAUUAUCUUUACUAAUUAUAUAUAUAAUCUAUAUAUAGGAAUGAUCAAUGGUUGAUCAUUUAGAAAGAAAAGGAAAUUGUACAACAUUAUAUAUAUACAAUUAUAUAUAGUUAUGUGGAAUCAUAUUGGUCAAUGAUCACCUUAGUUGAAAAAUUAUUUUUCAAAUAAAUUAGCAUUAACAUGUGUUAAUUGUUUUUAUUGAUUGACCAUAUGAAAUAAAAGGUCAUUAAGAUGAGUCAACACAUUUUAUUUGAUAGUAGUGUGUGUGACCUAUAAAUAGACCUUAAGUGAUUUGAUCAAAACACACAACACAACAACAAGAAAUAUGCUCUAGUUUUCUAGUUCCACUACUCAAAGGUUGAGAGUAAAAAUUGGUCUCGGUGUGGAUACACGUAGAGUCUUCAUAUCAUUGAAGAAUUUUCAUGCUUCAAGAAUUGAUACAAAGGUACACUUUUAGUAUCUAAUUUCGUAAAUUUUAUAAUUUAUGCGCAAAAUAGAUCCAAACUUUAUUCCGUUGCAUGUGUUAUGAACACCUUUUUUACUUCAAGUCAUUCAAUAUAUUUAAUUAUUAUCAUUUUAAUCCUAAUUUGAAAAGAGUUACUACUAGUAUUAAAAAAUUAUUUUAGCUUAAAGACAAUACUCCCUCCGUCCCUUAAUAAAUAACCCAGUUGACAAUAUACAUUAUUGACUUGACAUACUUUGACCAUAUUUUUAUACUAAUUUACAAAGAUAAAUAAUAUCAAGUAAGAUGUUGUUGGAUUCUUCUCGAUGAGUAUUUUUAAAAUAUUAAAUUUUUAUAAUUUUUUUUAGUAGAGAAUUGAAGAUAUCAAAGAUAAAACAUAUGUAUUGGUAUGUGUGUCAGAGUCAACUAGGUCAUUUAUCGAGGGACGGAGGGACUAUUAACUAGCAGAGUGUAUAUAAAGGGAUUUUAAGAGGGGUUUUUCAAAAUUUUAAUCCUCUUUGCGGAAGAAAUCCCAUUGAAACGGAUCUUGAUUAAAUCAUUAAUCACAAAUCAAACAGAAACUUAAACACUUUUAAGAUUCAUGUGUUUACCUCUUGAAGAGCAGAACCUUUGUAGCAGAAAUCUUUCUGAUCACGAGCAAAGCAAAGCAGCGAUGCCUCUACUCAGUCCACACGAACAGAACUUCUCCGAUGACCGGUGCUAGUCAAUUCCAACGAAGAUUCAGAGAGAACAAGGUUUAGAGAGCGGCGGCUAGGGUUUCACAACUUUUGUGAAUUAGGUUAAGCACUCACAAAAAGUUAGUAAUGCUUCAACACAAGGGUUCUAUUUAUAGAAUCACUUGUGUGGACAACAAGACAACACUUAAAUACACUGUACCUUACGGUGAACCGCGUUUCUCUAUUUUUUGGUAAAUUAAAUAAUAAAAUCAUAUUUAAUUAUUUAAUUAAUAAUAAGUCUCACUUAUUAUUUUAUAAAUAAGUCUCACUUAUUAUUUUAUAAAUAAGUCUUACUUAUUUAUUUCUCUCAUCUAUCUGUCCUUUGUGUGUGACCCUAUAGGUUCCCGUAACGUUGGCAAUAAUAUUAAAUCACAUAUUUAAUAUUAUAAACAGUGAGCGGUAUCUAGCAACACAUCACUGCUACCCAAGUGACGAGAAUGUCAUGUGAUCUGACGAAACCUUUCUGUGAUAAUGAUCAUGUGUAUAAUUACCCUUUUGCCCUCAUGUCUAUAUUGAACACAAGGCAUAGACCGUGUCAUCCUUGUCUAGUUCAAUAUUGGGCCCGUAGACAUUUCUCCUGUUAUGUAGGAGGAGCAAAUUCCAUCUAGGUCACUCAUGUCCCUCAGCAUGAUUCAUGGAGUACCCAUCAACCAACUUUAUAGUCAUCCUGUUACGGACAACGUUUGAAUGGUGACAAAGCACUCGACUCCAACAUCUACGGUACAUAGUGGUUUCAGGUCGAAGGGUGGAAUACACCACUAUCACUAUGAGAAUAUCUUAUGACAGUUUUCAUAACUUUUACUAUGUAGUAUUCUCAUGGCGGAUCAAUCCAAUAUAAAUAUUACUCCUAAUAUUUAUAUCUAUGUGAAGACUUGAUAACUCUUUAUCCAUGAUCUGUGAGAUGUGAUCAUCAGUCUACCUACAUAAUAGUCUCUAUGCUUUAAUGAUAUCCCACUUCUCAACAAAGCUUGACUACGGAUACUUUGAGAAUAGUUUCCUUAUGUUUAAUGGGGUCUCACAAUUAAGUUAUACUUAAUGUUCCAUUAAACGGACUAACUAUUCUAGGGACUUUAUUAUUUUGAAACAAAACAAAAUCAAUAAAGAAAUGCCUUGUUAUUAUAUAUUCACAAUAUAUAUUUAUAUCAAUAUCAUGAACAAAGUCAAACCCAAUCAAUAUAGGUUGGCUAUUAGGGCUUAUUCCAACAAUCUCCCACUAGCACUAAAAGCCAAUCAAAUAUUAACUCAAUAUCUAUUGGUCAAGUGUUAGCAUCAAGCACACUCUUGACUAGAUACUAUACUAGCAGAUAAGGAACUCUUUCCUAUGUUGGUAGGUUAUACUUCUUUCAAUUUCCACUAUCGAUCUUCUAUCGAAAAGAAAUUGAAGUGUCAAAGUAUACAUUUGGAUCAUUGGUGAGAUCAAGUUUUCAUUGCUCACAAGAUUUAAACCAAUUUUACCUCAUACGAGAUCAAUGGAAUCUGCAACGCAAGAAACACAUGUUUUCACUGAGUUAUGAGCUAAACAAUCCAAAUCAUAUAUAUUUGACAUCUGUAAUAGAAACAAGAACUAUUUGAAGCUUGUACUUUUACAAAUUUCAUAGUUGAUAUCCUAGCAUAAUAUUUAUUCCAAAUUACGAUCUGGAUAUACUGUACACUGAUAUGAAAGUCAACAUCAUCGUAACUCAUUUACAAUGUUUCUUUCAUCUGUGUUCAAGAAACAAUCUAUAGUCCUUUAAGACAUCCAAGGAUAUUCUUGAAGGUAUUAUAGUGUCGAACACUAUAAUCAAUUUUGGUACAUAUUGAAAAUAAUUUUCUAACCAUGUCUUGCAUGUGUAGAUAAAUUAUUUUGGUGACUAGUAUGUCAUCUACAUACUCCACCAAACUAAUUUCAAUGCUCCCACUAAUCUCCUUAUGUGCACAAGAUUUCUUUAUUAAUCAAAAUUUUCAUAAAACUUUGUUAAUAAAAUAAACAAUUUAACUUCGAGAAGAUUUCUCUAAUAAAUAAAUUUUGUAAUACAUUUACCUUUCUAGUAUCCUUUGGAUUAACGAAACCCUACAUAUAUGUCAAAUACAUAUAUAAGGUCAUUCUAAUUAAAGAAUGCAACAUCGUUAUCCAUCUCCUAGAAUUCGUAUUAUACAACAAUGACAAAUUGGGAUCGUUAGAUUUAAGUAUUACGAUGAUGUAAUAGUUUCGUCAUGAUUUGCAUCAUGAGUUGCAUGAAACUUUCUACAAUCAAUCACAUCUUAAAGGUAUUCAUAAUACCAUCCAUGAUUCAUACUCAUUUGGAUGAUAUAACCAAUAUCCAUAUAUGGUUUGUGUGCAUGGAUUCUUUAUAAGAUCCCAUGGCAACUAGCCACUUCUCAAAAAUCAGGUCAUUUGCGACCUUCUAGUAAGUCAGGUGCUCAUCUUCCAUGAGCAUCAUAUCACUUUGUUGAGUCAUGACAAAAUCAUGUUUCUCAUCCUAGUGUUAUGACAUAUCAGACUCAUCUAUAUCAUGUGCUACUAGAACUACCGAUUUACCAACAACCCUUUGUUGAAUCAGUUCAUGUUCCAUUGAGAAACAUGUAUUUUGUGGUACUUGACUUAAUUCAAGUUCUACAUCACUCCCACUAGCUCUUGCAAAGUUAUACUCCUUCUUGAAAAGGAAUACUCCAGUACUAGCGACAAACAACUUUUGUCAAGGAAGAAGAUGUAGAAAUAGUAUCCUUUAGUUUCCUAAGGGAACCUCCACAAGUAUACAUUCAUUUAAUUUGAAGUUUAGUUUAUCUAGUAAACAAUAUAACCUCAAAUUAUCAUAAAGUCAAAAAUAGGUACUCUAACCUGCAUAUCUAAUAUGGUGCAUUUAUGAUUACUCAAUUAGAACUUGUUGUGGGUGAAGAAUAAAUGUAAUUUAAUUAAUUUCAAGAGUCUUUGAGUUAUAAUCAAACUAUUUUAGAUCGAGUCAUGUCAAAAAUGAAACGAUAUAAAUAAUCAUUAUUUGUACUCAUUUAUCAAGCAUUUACCAUCACGACUUACUCGUAUAGUAUUUAUACUUUUCAAACUUAUUCCUUUUACUUCAUUGUUGAAAUCUUUGAACAAUUUCAAAGUUUUUCAUGAAUCGUGUCAAAUACACUUUUCUUAUCUACUAAAUGAUUUAGUAAUGUCAGAUGAAGUAAUAGAAACAAUAUCUAACAAAUAUGUUUAGUUUUCCGUAUACAUCUCAUAUGUAUAUAAACUCAAAUAAAUUACGUGUCCUUUCACCUUUGUUGGUGACCGGUAUACUAAUCUAUUUUGAAAGGUGGGACUCAUAUCCUUCAAAUGAUAUAAAAUCAAAUGAGUCCAAUAGUCAUGGAUUUUGGAAAUGUGAAUCACACUUGUUUGUACUAAACACUAAUGCCAAUGAUAUAUAAAAGGUUCUAAUCUCAUUUGAUCCUUUUCUCAUAAGUUAUAGACCAGCUUAUCAAGAUCAUGAAACUCAAAUCCAUUACUUGAUUAGCAUACUUAUAUAGAAAACAUAAUUUUCAUAAUAGGACAACGUUUGUCUAUUAUUCAACUACACAAUCAUUCUCUUCUCAAUACAAGAUUUAUGAUUUAAUGCUUCUAUUUUAUAUGGAAUUUAAUAACAAUUAUUUGGUUCCAUAUCAAGUUAAGUUUAAGUCCAAGCAUUUGCUCCUAUGUCAAUGAAACAAUUUGUCUCAUUCUAGACGUAAGUGGACUUCGCUUAUAGUUAAUGUCCCGCUUCUUUAAAACUCUCUAUAUUUCAACAAAUAUGAGAUUAACCAUCAAGUAUCAUAUACUUAUGAUGCAAAAGUAGAAAUUUAACUUUCUAUAACUAUAUGGGCAAAUAAGAAGUCUUACUUCUAUUUUGACUCUUUCAUAACAUUAACAGUUUUUCUCAUUCUUAAGAACAAUUCUUAAUACCAAUUAAGAAACUCUUUCUUGAAGAUUUUGUUCUUCAUAAGAACAUUUAACAGUAUAAUAAAAUGUAUGUGCCAAAGAAAUUCUAAAUACAAAAAAUAAAUAAAAAUAUAUCAUGAUAUAAAAACAUAAUUAAUUAGGUCUUUAAUUAAAUAUGCUCCCACUAUUUUACUGAAAACAAAUGACCUUCAACAUUUGAAUCGGAAAAUCUCAUUGGAAGAUUUUCUAGUGGAUUGAAAUCCAUAUUUCACCUUGCUUUAAGUCAACGGGGGCUGUACUCAAACUCAGUUAUUUAGGUAGGAACUCCUUCCAAUUGUAUCUCAUACAACUUUCAAAUCAUUUGAGUGAAUAACUCUUUACUCUAAUCUAUCAUAUAGAUGUUCCCAAACAUUGCUUCUAAAUUUAUUUUAAUCAUAUUAAAAUAAUUUAGUUAAGUUGGACCCAAAGAAUAACAGUCGGGUAAAUGGAAUUACCGCACCGCAACUUACUAGUAUAGAAAGUGCACCUCGCGGAGGCGAAACCUACACAUUUCGAUAUUAGUCUUGAAGGGUGUCAUCCUUUGGAAAGCAAUUAACUUAAUAUUCUUUUGAAGUAAAUAUAUAUAUUUUAAUCUUAUUAAAAUAAUAUAGUUAAGUUAGAUCCAAAAUAACAGUCGGUAAAUAGAAUUACCGCACCACAACUUACUAGUAUAGAAAGUGCACCUCGCAGAGGCGAAACCUACACAUUUCGAUAUUAGUCUUGAAGUGUGUUAUACUUUGGAAAAUAAUUUACUUCAUAUUCUAUUUGAAAGAUUUUAAUUAAGUUGAUCUCACUGACAUGUGUAUCUUAUACACACAUCUAAUAUUAUACAUGACAUUCAUGUUCAUAGAUAGCAAGUAUAUAUAAAAUAUUUAAAAUAUACAUGCACUAAUCUAAACACACAUUUCAUGCAUCACAUACAUAAAAUAAUAAACUAGGUAGUAUGGUUAUGACCUCCUAACGCGUAAGAAUUAAAUAAACUACUUUAUUACAAUUCUUUGACCCACGAGCAAGCUUCAAAAGUUUCUCCAUCGAAAUCAUCUUUUGGCGUUGUCUUUUCUUCAACUUGAGCAUUUACAUUAUUUAACAUUUAAAUAAAUAAAAGCAAAUCACGACACACAGGUCGUAUUUAAAUAAAUCACGACAUGCAGGCCGUAUUUAAAUAAAAUAAACCAUGACACGCAGGUCAUAUUUAAAUACAUAAACAUACGCCAAAAACUAAGGUCAUAACCAUAUACCAUAAAAUAAAUAAUAAUAACUAUUUAUAAUUAUUUAAACAAUUUUAGAAUUAGUCAAAAUUUGGAAAUAAUAUUUUGACCGAGAUAUACGUCAUAUAAAAUUGAUUCAUAUAUAUGUAUAUAUAUUCCUUUUGAAACUAUUUUCAAAAUCAAUCGGGUCAUAAAUAACAUUAAAUUAUGCAAAUAUUAUGAUCAAAUCCAAAAUAUCAUAUAUGAUAUUGAAACUUUUUCAAAAUCAUGAUCCUUUUAAAUUAGAAACAAAUUAGGAUCAUUUAUUACCUUUUCAAACUACUUUUGAAAGACAAUCCAAAAGGUAGAAUUUUUUAUUCACUUAAUUAUAGUAAUAUUGACACUCAACAAUUAUUAUAAUUAAAUAUGCUUUAUUUAGACGACCAAUUUGUUUCCAAAACAAAUUACAGUGCUAAAAUUAAGCAAAUAAUUUAUUACCAAAUUCAAAAAGUCACAUCUGAUGUUGAAACUCUUUCAAAAUCAUGAUCUUUUAAAUUUACUACCUUUCUCCAAUUAAAUAAAUAAAUUAAACAUAAAUAGUUUCAAGGAUUGUUUGUUUAGCAUGAACAACCGGAUCUUUGAUGCUUCACCAGAUUCGGAUAUCGAAGCUCAAUCUCACGAAUUGUUCAAAGUCACAACAGUCUUCUUGAAAACAAUUGAUCAACCAUAAUAAUACAACUCUUGUAUAGUUAGGUACCCUAAUACGACAAUCAAACAUUAAUAGUUUUAACAAUUGUUUGUUCAGUAUGGACAACCGGAUCUUUGAUGCUUCACCAGAAUCAGAUAUUCGGAUAUCGAAACUCAAUCUCACGAGUUGUCUACAAAUUCACAAUCAAUUUCAUAAAACAUAUUGAACGAAUGACAUCAUCAAUAUAUCACAUAUACUGAUGUCGUAUCAGAAUCAUAUAUCACAUAUAUGAUCUUGAUCAAUCAAUUUUAAUUAAUUCUUAUUAUUUAAAAUAAUGAGAAUAUUAACACUUAAAUUAUUCUCAUUAUUAACAAGCAUAUAUGAAAACAAUUUCCAUGGCUGCUAGUUAACACAGUGACACUCACGUAAAAUUUCAAAUUGAAAAUCUUAUUCAUUUAUCAAAAUCGAAACUGAAACAAUUUCAAUUUCUCCAGAUUAUUGAAACCGUAAUAAUUGGAAUUUCUCUUUCAUUGAUAUAUUAAAAUAAUAUGCAUCAGAAUUGAAUCGUAUUCAUAGACAGUAAGGCAUAUUAUCAAAAUAGUACAUAAAAUUCAAAUAGACACAUACGAUCAUUGAUAUAUCAUCAUAUAAACGUUAAUAUGCAUCGAACAGAUUCGAAUAUAAUGAUUUAAUGAAAACCAGAUGCUCUGAUACCACUGGAAGGGAUUUUAAGAGGGGUUUUUCAAAAUUUUAAUCCUCUUUGCGGAAGAAAUCCCAUUGAAACGGAUCUUGAUUAAAUCAUUAAUCACAAAUCAAACAGAAACUUAAACACUUUAAGAUUCAUGUGUUUACCUCUUGAAGAGCAGAACCUUUGUAGCAGAAAUUUUUCUGAUCACGAGCAAAACAAAGCAGCGAUGCCUCUACUCAGUCCACACGAACAGAACUUCUCCGAUGACCGGUGCUAGCCAAUUCCAACGAAGAUUCAGAGAGAACAAGGUUUAGAGAGCGGCGGCUAGGGUUUCACAACUUUUGUGAAUUAGGUUAAGCACUCACAAAAAGUUAGUAAUGCUUCAACACAAGGGUUCUAUUUAUAGAAUCACUUGUGUGGACAACAAGACAACACUUAAAUACACCGUACCUUACGGUGAACCGCGUUUCUCUAUUUUUGGUAAAUUAAAUAAUAAAAUAAUAUUUAAUUAUUUAAUUAAUAAUAAGUCUCACUUAUUAUUUUAUAAAUAAGUCUCAUUAUUAUUUUAUAAAUAAGUCUUACUUAUUUAUUUCUCUCAUCUAUCUGUCCUUUGUGUGUGACCCUAUAGGUUCCCGUAACGUUGGCAAUAAUAUUAAAUCACAUAUUUAAUAUUAUAAACAGUGAGCGGUAUCUAGCAACACAUCACUGCUACCCAAGUGACGAGAAUGUCAUGUGAUCUGACGAAACCUUUCUGUGAUAAUGAUCAUGUGUAUAAUUACCCUUUUGCCCUCAUGUCUAUAUUGAACACAAGGCAUAGACCGUGUCAUCCUUGUCUAGUUCAAUAUUGGGCCCGUAGACAUUUCUCCUGUUAUGUAGGAGGGGCAAAUUCCAUCUAGGUCACUCAGUCCCUCAGCAUGAUUCAUGGAGUACCCAUCAACCAACUUUAUAGUCAUCCUGUUACGGACAACGUUUGAAUGGUGACAAAGCACUCGACUCCAACAUCUAGGGUACAUAGUGGUUUCAGGUCGAAGGGUGGAAUACACCACUAUCACUAUGAGAAUAUCUUAUGACACUUUUCAUAACUUUUAUUAUGUAGUAUUCUCAUGGCGGAUCAAUCCAAUAUAAAUAUUACUCCUAAUAUUUAUAUCUAUGUGAAGACUUGAUAACUCUUUAUCCAUGAUCUGUGAGAUGUGAUCAUCAGUCUACCUACAUAAUAGUCUCUAUGCUUUAAUGAUAUCUCACUUCUCAACAAAGCUUGACUACGGAUACUUUGAGAAUAGUUUCCUUAUGUUUAAUGGGGUCUCACAAUUAAGUUAUACUUAAUGUUCCAUUUAACGGACUAACUAUUCUAGGGACUUUAUUAUUUUGAAACAAAACAAAAUCAAUAAAGAAAUGUCUUAUUAUUAUAUAUUCACAAUAUAUAUUUAUAUCAAUAUCAUGAACAAAGUCAAACCCAAUCAAUAUAGAUUGGCUAUUAGGGCUUAUUCCAACAGUAUACAGUCAUACACUAUUACACAAAAAUAAAAUUAUUUCCCUUCAGAUGCUAAUGACUCGUGCCACUUUUCACAUGAGUUUCUUCGAGUCAAUACUCAAUACUACUAUAGUACUAUUCCUUCAUUCACGUGCUACUCUUCUCGUGUCUAACGUUACUGUUACAAUAGCAUGUGCUACUCUUCGAAUAUCAAAAAGCCUCUUCUUGAGUCUUUGAUUAUUACUGCCACUUAUCACUACUAUCCCUCAAACUUCAUAGCUCCUUAAUUUCCUUCAACAAUCCUUCUUUGCUGCUUUGCUUUAACAAAUCAACACAAGAUGGCUGCAACUAUGAUUGGAGGUGCUUUCCUCUCUGCAACUGUUCAGACCUUAGUUGAGAAACUUGCUUCAACUGAGUUUCUUGAUUACAUCAAAAACACUAAGCUCAAUGUCUCACUCUUGAGGCAGCUUAAAACAACACUGCUCACUCUUCAAGUUGUGCUGGAUGAUGCAGAGGAGAAGCAGAUCAAUAAUCCUGCUGUCAAACUAUGGCUUGAUGACUUGAAAGAUGCUAUCAUUGAUGCUGAGGACUUGCUCAAUGAAAUCAGUUACGAUUCCCUGCGAUGCAAGGUGGAGAAUACACAAGCUCAAAACAAAACUAAUCAGGUGUGGAACUUCCUUUCUUCUCCUUUUAAUAGCUUCUAUAGAGAGAUCAAUUCCCAGAUGAAGAUCAUGUGUGAAAACCUGCAAUUGUUUGCAAAUCAUAAAGAUGUCCUUGGUUUGCAAACUAAGAGUGCUAGAGUUUCUCAUGGAACUCCUUCAAGUUCUGUGUUUAACGAAUCUGUCAUGGUGGGUAGGAAGGAUGACAAAGAGACAAUAAUGAACAUGUUGCUAUCACAGAGAAACACAAUCCAUAAUAAUAUAGGUGUUGUUGCAAUUUUGGGCAUGGGAGGUUUAGGAAAAACUACCCUUGCCCAACUUGUUUACAAUGAUAAAGAAGUUCAACAACAUUUUGACAUGAAGGCGUGGGUUUGUGUGUCUGAGGAUUUUGAUAUUAUGAGAGUAACAAAGUCUCUCCUUGAAUCUGUCACUUCCACAACUUCGGAAAGCAAUAAUCUUGAUGUCCUUCGUGUUGAGUUAAAGAAAAUCUCAAGGGAGAAAAGAUUUUUGUUUGUGUUGGAUGAUCUGUGGAAUGACAAUUGUAAUGAUUGGGAUGAGCUAGUAAGUCCCUUCAUUAAUGGAAAACCUGGAAGCAUGGUGAUUAUAACAACGCGCCAACAAAAAGUUACAAAGAUGGCACACAUGUUUGCUGUACAUAAUUUAGAACCUCUAUCAAAUGAAGAUUGUUGGUCUUUACUCUCAAACUAUGCAUUGGGAAGUGAUGAGUUUCACCAUAGUACAAAUACAGCCCUUGAAGAAAUUGGCAGGAAGAUUGCAAGAAGGUGUGGGGGAUUGCCAAUAGCUGCUAAAACACUAGGAGGACUUCUCCCUUCAAAGGUAGACAUAACAAAGUGGACUUCAAUUUUUUCAAUUUUGAACAGCAGCAUAUGGAACUUGCGAAAUGAUAAUAUUCUUCCUGCAUUGCAUUUGAGUUAUCAAUAUCUUCCCUCUCAUUUGAAAAGAUGCUUUGCAUAUUGUUCAAUUUUUCCAAAGGAUUGCCCACUCGAUAGGAAGCAAUUGGUUUUGUUGUGGAUGGCAGAAGGCUUCCUUGAUUGUUCACAAGGGGGGAAAAAGUUGGAGGAAUUAGGUGAUGAUUGUUUUGUUGAAUUGUUAUCGAGAUCGUUAAUUCAACAAUUAAGCGAUGAUGAUCGUGGGGAAAAAUUUGUCAUGCAUGACCUUGUCAAUGAUUUAGCUACAUUCGUAUCAGGAAAAAGUUGUUGCAGGCUUGAAUGUGGUGACAUCCCUGAAAAUGUUCGUCACUUCUCAUAUAACCAAGAAUACUUUGACAUUUUCAUGAAGUUUGAGAAAUUACACAAUUGUAAAUGUUUGCGAAGCUUCCUAUGUAUUUGCUCGACGACGUGGAGGAACGAUUACUUAUCCUUCAAGGUGAUUGAUGAUUUUCUACCGUCACAAAAAAGGUUGCGUGUGUUAUCGCUAUCAGGGUAUCAAAACAUCACCAAGCUACCAGAUUCAAUUGGAAAUUUGGUGCAGUUGCGGUAUCUAGAUAUCUCCUUCACUAACAUCGAAAGCUUGCCUGAUACAAUAUGUAACCUUUACAAUUUACAGACCUUGAAUUUAUCAAACUACUGGAGUCUCACUGAAUUGCCAAUACAUAUUGGAAAUUUAGUCAAUUUACGUCACCUUGAUAUAAGUGGGACUAACAUAAAUGAGUUGCCUGUGGAAAUUGGGGGACUAGAAAACCUUCAAACUCUCACCUGUUUUUUAGUGGGUAAGCACCACGUAGGGUUAAGUAUCAAAGAGCUCAGUAAAUUCUCAAACCUACAAGGAAAACUUACCAUCAAGAACGUGGAUAAUGUUGUUGAUGCCAAAGAGGCACAUGAUGCCAGCUUGAAAAGCAAAGAGAAAAUUGAGGAGUUAGAGCUGAUAUGGGGAAAACAAAGUGAAGAGUCGCAUAAAGUGAAAGUUGUGCUUGAUAUGUUGCAACCAGCAAUAAAUUUGAAGAGCCUGAAUAUUUGCUUAUAUGGCGGGACAAGUUUUCCUAGUUGGUUGGGAAAUUCUUCGUUUUCUAACAUGGUAUCCCUCCGCAUCACUAAUUGUGAAUAUUGUGUGACACUUCCACCAAUAGGGCAGUUACCUUCUCUUAAGGACCUAGAAAUAUGUGGUAUGGAGAUGUUGGAGACAAUUGGCCUGGAGUUCUAUUAUGUCCAGAUUGAAGAAGGUUCUAAUUCUUCCUUCCAACCAUUUCCAUCCCUUGAGUAUAUAAAAUUCGACAAUAUACCAAAUUGGAAUAAAUGGCUUCCCUUUGAAGGCAUACAAUUUGCUUUUCCUCAACUUCGAGCUAUGAAGUUACGUAAUUGUCCCAAACUAAAGGGACAUUUGCCUAGCCAUCUUCCUUGCAUAGAAGAAAUUGAAAUAGAAGGUUGUGUUCAUCUAUUGGAAACAGAGCCCACUUUGCAUUGGUUGUCGUCAAUAAAAAAAAAUUAAGAUUGAUGGGCUUGGUGAAAGGACCCAAUUGUUAUUGCUUGAGAGUGAUUCUCCGUGUAUGAUGCAAGAUGCAGUGAUGGCAAACUGCGUUAACCUAUUAGCUGUGCCAAAAUUGAUUCUGAGAAGCACUUGUCUUACACACUUGAGACUCUAUUCUCUUUCUUCUCUCACUACAUUUCCCUCAAGUGGUCUACCCACUUCAUUGCAAUCACUUCAUAUCGAAAAUUGUGAGAAUUUAUCCUUCCUACCUCCUGAAACGUGGAGCAACUACACAUCACUUGUGAGUCUUUAGUUCUAUCGUAGCUGUGAUUCACUUACAUCCUUUCCACUUGAUGGUUUCCCUGCGCUCCGAACACUUUCCAAUUGAAUUAUUUGAAGUCAAGUUUAAGAUGGAAAUGCUCACCGCUCUUGAAAAUUUGCAUAUGAAAUGCCAAAAGUUGUCAUUUUCUGAAGGAGUUUGUCUACCUCUCAAAUUACGAUCAAUUGUGAUUUUUACCCAAAAAACAGCACCGCCGGUUACGGAAUGGGGUCUCAAAGAUCUAACAGCUCUUUCAAGCUGGAGUAUUGGAAAGGAUGAUGAUAUAUUUAACACCUUGAUGAAGGAGUCGUUGCUACCCAUCUCCCUUGUGUAUCUAUAUAUCUGGAAUCUCUCUGAAAUGAAGUCCUUUGAUGGAAAUGGGCUGCGACACCUCUCCUCUCUCCAAUAUCUCUGUUUUUUCAUUUGUCAUCAACUUGAGACAUUGCCAGAAAACUGCCUCCCUUCCUCACUGAAAUCACUUUCAUUUAUGGAUUGUGAAAAGCUUGGGUCAUUACCAGAAGACAGCCUCCCUUCCUCGCUGAAAUCACUUCAAUUUGUGGGUUGUGUAAGACUCGAGUCAUUACCAGAAGACAGCCUCCCUGACUCUCUUGAGCGACUGACCAUCCAAUUUUGCCCAUUGUUAGAAGAAAGGUAUAAAAGGAAUGAAUAUUGGUCCAAAAUUGCUCACAUCCCUGUCAUACAAAUAAAUCACAAAGUCACAAUAUGAUAGACAAGUUGUGUUCCCGUUUUCAGGUAUGUUCCACAUUUCCUACCAGAAAACUGCCAAUAAUCAAUAGGCUAAACUACAGUUUUAACCCCCUAAGUUUGAAGCAUCGAAGAUGAAUUCACUUUUUUUUUUUUUUUUUUUUUUUCCUUUUCUAUUUUUUUUUUUUCAAUUUAUUUAAUUUCAAAAAUGAUUUUUUAAUUUUUUUAAUUUAGGGAUUACAUACGUGGCAUGCCACUUAGGUGUUGACUUGGUCAAAAUUGACCAAAAGGUCAAUAUUGCAAAGGGGCUAAAUCUUAGGGGGCCAAAUUUUAAUUUUUUUUAUUAGGGGGCCAAAAUCGCAACAUUGGCAAACUUAGGGGAUCAAAACUGUAGUUUAGCCAAAUCAAUAUUUUCAUAUCAUCUCAAUAUCUCAUGGGUCCUCUGCUACGUAUGUUUUUUUUGAAAGAUGAAUUUUUAAAGACUAAUUUUUGUAUACAUUUUGCACACAAUAUUUUAUUUUAAUUUCCAGAAUCAAUUAAUGUAGCUCGGGUAGUUUGAUAUAUAACUACAUAAGUCAUGCCGGAAAACUGGUUUCUUAUUUAUUUUUGGGCUUAUAAAACUAUCUUUGGAAAAAGCUGUAACUGCUACAUUAAUCUCAACAAUAAAAAUUUAACAAUCAUGUCUUUGGAGCUAAUCAAAGGAAAAUGCUUAUUUCAACUUUUCAGGAGAUCAAAGGCCUAGCUAUGUGGAUGAUAAUCUGCUCACUGAUUUGAGACGAGCCAAAUGCAUGGUUUCCAUUGAUUGCCACAAGAUUUAAUUUACUUAGCUGCUAAUAGUGAGUUUGUAUUUUAUUAUCAUUUGAAUGAAUGCUCAUAGGGUUUGUAAUAUUCUUAAUUUGUAACAUUUUUUAGCAAUUUAUGUUGGUGAUUUCCAAAAUAAUGGAAUCACUUUAGAACCAAAAGUUGUAACUCUUCAUGGGAACCAUUCAUAUACAUUGGAACAUUAUUAUUUAUUAUUAAUAAUGAACCAUGACAUUGAUUCAAAUAUAUAUGGUUAUAACCUUUGGCAAAAGGGUGCUUAAUGAAUCAUGGCAUUGAUUCAAGUUAAAGAGGUGUUUUCUCUCAUGUGAAGAGUCAUAUAAUGCACUAUAAAUGCUUGACAUUUGGGCAUUAGUUGAAAAUACAAAAACCACACAACUACACACAAUUUGGACAGAAUUUUGUUACAUUAACAACAUAAUUCCUCAUCAUUCUAUUAUUCUAAAUCAUCCAUCAAUUCUCUAAUGCAUGAGUGAAUAGCUAGAACCAUAAAUCUGUAAAAUACUGUGUUGGAGCAUAUGUGAAAAUUGAGUAAUUGACUAAACACAAAUUCCCACAAUGGGUAGAACUAGUGUAGUGUGAAUUGAAAAAGUGGAAGUCCCACAUCGGAUGGAUCACACAUUAGUAGUGUUUAUAUAGUGGGGGUGUACCUCUAAUUGAUGGGGGUACAUAAUUAUAAUUAUGUGAACGAAGUAAGCACUAGAGAAAAAAUAUAUAUUGAUAUAUAUUUUAUUAUAUGGAAAUGAUAAAUUAAAUAAUUAAUUUAAUCAUUAUUAGAAAGUGUUUUCUUAGUCCCCAAGUUUUGCUAAAAAUAUUUUGGAACGCAAUCUAGAAUAUUUUGGAAUACAAUCUGAAAUAUUUUGGUAAGCAAUCUAAUAUAUUUUAGUGCAUGAUCUGAAAUAUAUUUUGAUAGUCAAUAAUAUAUUUAUGUAGUCAAUAAUAUAUUCAUGUAUUGAAUAAUAUAUUUUGAGACUCAAUUUGAGAUAUUUUUGUACUAGAUCUAAUAUGAGAAUUACUUGCUCCCAAAGUUUCUCACUUAUUAGUUGUGAACUUUCUCUAUAAAUAGAGAGCUCACACAGUGCUUUACAUACACCAAAAUUCACAGUUGAUGCUUCCUGUGUUUUUCCUCUCUUCUCCCUCCUUCGACUUGUGUUGACAAGUCGUUCUCCUUUUUCUACUCCUUUCUGUCCCUUCGGAAUUAAGAGUGUUUUUAAGACCAUAGUCCAUCAUCGGUUUAUUAUCCUUUCGGAAAUAAGAAUGGUCUUAAGAGCAUAGUCCCUUCAAUUAUUUAUGUCUCAUUAGAAUAAAUAAUAUUUUAAGAUCAUGGUCCCUUUUUCGGUAUAAUAAAGAUGAUCUUAAAUAUACAUUCUUCUUCAAUUCUUGGAGAAGUUGGAUGUUAGAAUGGUAGCAAUAUCAUAUAUGAGUGGUCAUAGUACCAUAGUUGGAGAAGUUAAAAUUAGAAUGGUGGUAACACCAUAUUUGAGUGGUCUCAACACCAAAAUAGAAUGGUAACAAUACCAUAUUGGUUUCAGUAUUAAAGAAUGGUCUUAGUACCAUAUUAGAGGGUGUUAUUUCUCGAACGAUCAUAUACGGUGCAGUAUUUGAUCGAACAGGUGAACUGGGCUGUUUUAUCCUGGAGGCACACGGUUGUUAGUCUACCUUGCACAAUUUCGGGUAGUGCCGUGAUUUGUCUUAAAGAAAGCGACCUGGUCGUGACUCAACCCGGUAGGACUUCAAGAAGACUCAACAUGGUAAUAUCUUCGGUGGUGAUUUCGACUUUAUUAAAAAUGUUCGCUUCUAAACCCGAAAAACAACAAUUAACAACAUACUGUUAGGAGAUACGCUUGGCGUGGUUGUGCAAUACACGUCAAGGAACUCAUAGUAUCCUGAAGGGGAUUCGCCGGUCAUUCCUAUUGCAUCCAAUAUACAUUUAUUGGUGGGGGCGAAUCGAACCUAAAGGUUAGUGUGGCAACCUCAUACGCUUUGAGUUUUACAUGCAUGAUCAUUAAACAUUUCAGGUUUCAAGUGCAGCAGCCUCUUCCCAACAAACAAGAUAUAUAACAAUCUUUAGGUUCGACUUCUAUGGCUGCUUCAUUGAAAGAAAUGACUUCUGACUUUGUUAAGUUGGAAAAGUUUGAUGGGGGAAAUUUCAUCCGCUGGCAAAAGAAGAUGAAGUUUCUUCUUACAACAUUGAAAGUGGCAUACGUUCUGAACAUGGCAAGGCCUGAGGAGAAGGAUGAUGAAACCAUUGCUGAGACAAGAGACAGACAGAAAUGGGACAACGAUGAUUACAUCUGCUUAGGAGACAUCCUGAAUGGUAUGUCUGACUCUCUGUUCGAUAUCUACCAGAGCAGCCCUUCUGCAAAAGACUUAUGGGACAAAUUGGAAACCAGAUACAUGCGUGAAGAUCCAACAAGUAAGAAAUUCCUUGUCUCUCAUUUUAAUAAUUACAAAAUGGUAGAUAAUAAGUCUGUUAUGGAACAAUUAUAUGAGAUUGAAUGUAUUUUUAACAACUACAAACAACAUAACAUGAAUAUGGAUGAAACAAUUAUUGUAUCAUCCAUAAUUGACAAACUUCCUCCUUCUUGGAAAGAUUUCAAACGAACCAUGAAACAUAAGAAGGAAGACAUUUCUCUUGAGCAACUUGGCAAUCACCUUCGUUUAGAAGAAGAAUACCGAAAACAAGAAGGUAUUAAGAAUCAUGUUACUCAAGAGAAGGUUCAUGUUAUGGAAGAAGGAAAUUCAAGCAAAUCUUCCAAAAAGAGAAAUCAUGAAAAUGAUAAGUCUCAUCAUAACCACAAUGGUAAUAACAACAAAAAGAAAAGGAAAGGUGAAUGUUACUUUUGUGGGAAAGAAGGACACUUUAAGAAUGAAUGCAGGUUCUUUAAAAAGAAGAACAAAGAAAAGAAUUCAAGGGCAACAAAUGAUGAUUUUGUUGUGGUCAUUUCUGAAAUCAACAUGAUUGAAGAUGUUGAUUCAUGGUGGAUAGACUCUCGUGCUACUCGCCAUGUGUGCAAAAACAAGAAAAUGUUCAAGACCAUCAAUAAAGAUGUGAGUGUUUUGUACAUGGGAAAUGAUUCAACUCUGCAAGUCCAAGGAAAAGGGACCAUAGAGAUUGAAUUCACUUCUGGAAAAACACUUACUCUUAAAGAUGUAUUCUAUGUUCCUGAAGUUAGGAAGAACUUGAUUUCUGUACCAUUACUUAAUAAGAAUGGGUUCAAAUCUGUAUUUGAGGGAGAUAAAUUUAUCCUUUCAAAGGGGGGUGUGUUUGUAGGAAAGGGAUAUUUGUGUGAGAAUAUGUUCAAAUGUAAUGUUGCAAAUAUUAAUAAUAAUAAUAAUAUGAUUUCUGCUUAUAUUGUUGAGUCUUGUGAUUUAUGGCAUAUGCGAUUGGGACAUGUUAAUUAUAGAAAAUUGGAGGAUAUGAUGAAAUCAAAUCUAAUUCCUAAUUUUGAUAAAUUUUUUGAUUCAUGUACUACUUGCAUGUUGACUAAAAUUACAAGACAACCUUUUAAAAGUGUUAAAAGAAGUUCUAGGGUGCUAGAUUUAAUUCAUUCAGAUGUAUGUGAUUUACAUGGUUGGCCCACCAUUGGUGGUAAAAAGUAUUUUGUUACUUUCAUUGAUGAUUGCACUCGAUUUUGUUAUGUUUAUUUAAUGCAUUCAAAAGAUGAAGUUUUAGAUAAAUUCAAAAUAUUUAAAGCACAAGUAGAACUUCAACAUGAAACUUUCAUUAAAUGCUUUAGAAGUGAUAGGGGAGGAGAGUUCUAUCAUCCGAGUUAUUUUGAAUCCACUGGUAUUGUGCAUCAAGUAACUGCACCAUACACCCCACAACAAAAUGGAAUAGCAGAAAGGAAGAAUAGAACUUUGGUAAAAAUGGUUAAUGCCAUGUUGUCCUAUUCUGGAUUAUCUAAAGGAUAUUGGGGUGAAGCAAUGCUAACAGCAUGUUACAUCCUCAAUAGGGUUCCAAACAAAAGGAACAAAAUAACCCCAUAUGAACUUUGGAAACAAAGAAAGCUUACUCUUAAUUAUUUGAAAGUUUGGGGUUGUAGAGCAAUUGUGAAAGUGCCUGAACCAAAAAGAAAGAAAUUGGGUGAAAGAGGAAUUGAAUGUGUAUUUUUAGGCUAUGCAGAAAAUAGCAAAGCAUACAGAUUCUUGACUAUUGAAUCGAAUGACUCAUAUUCUGUUAAUACAGUAAUUGAGUCAAGAGAUGCAAUUUUUCAAGAAGAUAGAUUUAACUCAAUUUCUUAUCCCAAGGAUAUUGUUCAUUCUAAUGUUCAAAAUUUAGAAAACAAUGAAUCUGAUAUAGAUACAUUGGAUGGUUUAGAACUUAGAAGAAGUAAGAGGAUCCGGAAAGAGAAAGAUUUUGGAUCUGAUUUCUUCAUGUUUCUUGUAGAAGGAACAGGUAAAUCCAUAAAUAGUUAUGGACCAAUUUGCUUUAACCUUGAGAGUGAUCCGGUAACAUAUGAAGAGGCUAUAAAAUCUCAAGAUUCAGCUUUUUGGAAAGAAGCUAUUCAAGAAGAAAUGGAUUCAAUUAUGGGUAAUAAAACUUGGAAAGUGGUAGAUCUCCCACCCGGAUCCAAACCGAUAAGCUGUAAAUGGAUCUUUAAAAGGAAAAUGAAAGUGGAUGGUACCAUUGAUAAAUUCAAGGCUAGACUAGUUGCUAAAGGGUUUACGCAAAAAGAAGGCAUUGAUUAUUUUGAUACAUAUGCACCUGUUGCAAGAAUUGCAUCAAUCAGAAUGCUAAUUGCACUGGCAUCCAUCCAUAAGUUUGUAAUCCAUCAAAUGGAUGUUAAAACUACUUUCCUAAAUGGAGAGUUGGAUGAAGACGUAUAUAUGAAACAACCGGAAGGGUUUGUGAUCAAAGGUCAAGUAGAUAAAGUGUGUAAAUUAACUAAGUCUUUAUAUGGGUUGAAACAAGCACCCAAACAAUGACACCAAAAGUUUGACCAAGUUGUGUUAGCCAACGGAUACAUCAUAAAUGAAUCUGACAAGUGUAUUUACAGUAAAUUCCAAAAUGGAAAAGGUGUCAUGAUUUGCUUAUAUGUAGAUGACAUGUUGAUCUUUGGUACAAGUAUAAAUGAUGUUGAAGAAGCUAAAGCUUUCUUAUCCAACAAUUUUGAUAUGAAAGAUUUAGGAGAAGCUGAUGUGAUUUUAGGAAUUAAAAUCAUAAGAGAUGGUAACCAUAUUGGUUUAUCCCAAUCUCAUUACAUAGAAAAGGUGCUUCAGAAAUUCAAUCAUUUAGAUUGUAAACCGAUCUCUACCCCAUUUGACCAAACUGUCAGUUUGCAACCAAACAAAGGUUGUCCUGUGGCACAACUUGAAUAUUCUAAAGUAAUCGGAUGCUUGAUGUAUGCUAUGACUUGUACCAGACCUGACAUAGCAUAUACUGUUGGAAGGUUAAGUCGGUAUACUAGCAAUCCAAGUAAAGAACACUGGCACGCUGUGAAAAGAGUAUUAAAAUACUUAAAGGGAACAAUGAAUUAUUGUUUAACAUAUAGUGGAGACCCUUCUGUUUUGGAAGGAUACACAGAUGCUAGUUGGGUAACGUAUGUUGAAGAUCAUGCUUCCACAAGUGGAUGGAUCUUUAACCUUGGUGGAGGUGCAGUUUCUUGGGGUUCAAAGAAACAAACAUGCAUUGCCGACUCCACCAUGGCUGCAGAAUUUAUUGCAUUGGCUGCAGGGAGUAAAGAGGCAGAAUGGCUAAGAAAUUUAUUGUAUGACAUACCAGUUUGGCAAAAGCCAAUGGCGCCAUUAUCCAUACAUUGUGAUAGUCAAUCAACACUAUCAAAAGCUUAUAGCCAAGUUUAUAAUGGGAAAUCAAGGCAUAUUGGUUUAAGACAUAGCUAUGUAAGAGACUUGAUUUCUAAUGGAAUAAUUUCCAUCAUGUUCGUAAGAACAGAGAAGAAUCUUGCAGAUCCUUUGACAAAAGGUCUGACAAAGGAUAUGGUGUUGAAGACAUCAUUGGGGAUGGGACUCAAGCCCAUAUCUAAUUGAUUACCAAUAGUGGAAACUCAACCCACACUUGAGUAGCAUCAAGUCUUGGGUUCAAUGGUGAAAGUACACUAUUAGAGUAAUUGUAGUACUUGACAAUAGAUACAUCCCAAAGGUAAAAGUACUUGGACCAUAAGAAGAAAAAAGGUAGGAUGAGGUUUUCCUCUUAAUAGACAUAUAGCAUAUAUUUGCUGGAAUGCAUACUUAUGGGGCAUUCCCGAUAUAGUCUACCUAUGUGAGAAUGAAGUUUGGCCGCUUCACGGAGUUCAAGGGCUUGACUCUUAAAUUCUCAUGAAAAGGGAUAUAUGACACAAGGCCUUCUUAAUGUGUCAUCUUACAAGUCUCUUUAUCAAUGGUACCGGGAUUCUAUGUGUAAGUUAUGCACACUUGUUCUAAUGGAUAGUUGGUUCAAAGCUUGCCUACCAUACUAAUUGGGAAUGAGCGAAAACUUAACUUACUAAGUAAUGGUUCAAAUCGCGAGAUACCAUUAUCUGAAGGCAUGGAAUUUCUGGAUUUAUGUGAUUUAGUAUUUUGAAAAUGGUGGGGGAUUGUCGGUGAUUUCCAAAAUAAUGGAAUCACUUUAGAACCAAAAGUUGUAACUCUUCAUGGGAACCAUUCAUAUACAUUGGAACAUUAUUAUUUAUUAUUAAUAAUGAACCAUGACAUUGAUUCAAGUAUAUAUGGUUAUAACCUUUGGUAAAAGGGUGCUUAAUGAAUCAUGGCAUUGAUUCAAGUUAAAGAGGUGCUUUCUCUCAUGUGAAGAGUCAUAUAAUGCACUAUAAAUGCUUGACAUUUGGGCAUUAGUUGAAAAUACAAAAACCACACAACUACACACAAUUUGGACAGAAUUUUGUUACAUUAACAACAUAAUUCCUCAUCAUUCUAUUAUUCUAAAUCAUCCAUCAAUUCUCUAAUGCAUGAGUGAAUUGCUGGAACCAUAAAUCUGUAAAAUACUGUUAGGAGAUACGCUUGGUGUGGUUGUGCAAUACACGUCAAUGAACUCAUAGUAUCCUGAAGGGGAUUCGCCGGUCAUUCCUAUUGCAUCCAAUAUACAUUUAUUGGUGGGGGCGAAUCGAACCUAAAGGUUAGUGUGGCAACCCCAUACGCUUUGAGUUUUACAUGCAUGAUCAUUAAACAUUUCAGGUUUCAAGUGCAGCAGCCUCUUCCCAACAAACAAGAUAUAUAACAAUUUAUAACAUAUUCUUUAGCAUAUAUUCUUAAUUUGUACAAUGCAGUAGGGUUUAUAUGCAAUUUAUAACAUAUAUUUAGCAUUAUUUUUGUUUUGGUAGAAUCCUCAAUUUUGAUUGCAAUUUUAUGAACCCGAUUUUGCUAUCCUAUAAUCUCCUGUAUUAUACUAUUGUAAACCUUAUUACUAACAUAUCCACUAAAUCAUGCUUAAAUCAUAAGGAGUUUAUAUUUUAAAAGUCAAAAGAUUGAGUUCAAAGUCAGACAGAAGAAAAUGUACUAUGUUGGUACAAUUUUGAAGACGUAAAUUAUUGGUGAUAUUUUGAUUUGAAGUAUCUUUCUAUUAAAUGUGGAUGUUACUAGUUUAGCAACUUGCUAUUUUCUCACAAUGACCUGUAUAUGACCUUUUUAUGCUCAUAUACCUAAUUAUCACAUCACAUGCAUAUAAAUAGGAAACUCCAAUAUCUUGUUUCACUUCUCUAUAGUACAGUUUGAAAAUUGAAAGUUGAAGUAUCUAUAGCCUGUUUAUUAUUCUUACUUGGUAUUGAAAACUUACUUAAAUCAAGAAUAGUAGUUAAGUAUAAGCUUUUUAAUCAAGCUUAUCGACCUUUAAAAUAUAUAAAAGUAUAGUCCAAAGUGUGGUUUGCAAAGCUGUCAUCAUAUUUUGUAUACAUUUGCAUGAGUGGAAUAAAUACAGCUGGUAAUGUAAUUACAACAUUUGCAAGAAUUGAAAUAAAAUUUUGCAAUUGAUGAUUAAAUAAUCAGUUUCAUUUUUCACAAUUAUUUUGUUGGUGCUAUUUGAGAUUAGAUUUUUGUUAUUUAUGAUAUUGUUGGAUGAAGGUUCCAUGUUGUAGAGGAUUGUUCAUUUCUAUUCUUCUGCUGUUAAUUGGGAUAUGUGGAUUGUAAGGCCAAAUGGAAACUUUUGCAUUGAAGCAUCUGUGAUCAAAUGAAAAAGUUUUUGCCAAUGUUGUCAACUUCAAUGGAUAUAACUCAGCAAAAACAUUGACCACCAUUCUCAACCCCUUAAAAUGCUUGAAUUACACCCCCCUCACCUCUUAUGUUAAAAUAUACACUCACCUCCCCUUCAAAUUCAAAACAUAUUAGAAAAAAUUUCACUCCCCUCCUUCAAGAGAAGUUUGAAUUAUUUUCUCCUCCCCUUUUAUGUUAAAUCUACACUUUACUUCCUCAAUAAUUAUUUAUUUUCUGUAAUCAUCUCAAUUACUUUGUGUAAUAAAAUCAAAAUUGCAAACUCCCCACAUUUUAAUUACUAUUUAUUUACUAUUUUAAUAAGUUCAUCUAGUUGCUUAGUUGAAAUGACAAUAUAUAUGUUUUAUUAAUUGAAAAAGGUUUGGUGCACUUACCAAAUUUAAUUAUCAACUAGCUAGAAGAUUAGUCAAGUCAGAUCUUUUGUACUUGGGCACCAUACUUCAUGCUACUCACAAAAAUGAUAAACGAGUUAGAUUUCAUUAUGAGUAAUAAAAUAAGGAGGGUGACUCAUUGUUGGCCGGUGAUAUGAUGAUAACAAUAUGAAUCUAGAGGGGAUUUUGUCAUAAUAAAAAAAAAAUCUAGUGGGGAUGACAUUAGAUUUCCUCUAAAAUAUAUGAAAAGCUUUACAACAAUUUGACUAUUGGAAUGAUAAUGUGGAUACUAAGAUGAUUAAACUAAAAUGAUGCUAGGAGUAGUUUUAGGGAAAAGAUAGAUACAGUGAUAAAAUUUAUCAAGAAAAUUUUAAGAUAGUGUAUUUGUUAACACCUUUUCCUAAUUAUACACCAUUAGUUUUCUUGAAUCCGCUAAAUAACAAAUUUAAUUGGUUGAGACAUUUUCUGGAUAAAUUCUUGAUAAAAUCUCUCUAAAUAAAUAAUUCUCAUAGUUUUAACUCUACCCCGCUUACAACAUCUAGUAAGUUAGCACCAAAUAUUCUUUUUCUUUUUUAUUUUCAUUUUCUCUUUGUUUCUUUUCUUUUGUUUAUUUUUUCUCUAAUUUCUUUUGUUUUUUUUUUAUUUCUUUUUCUUUUGUUUGAUUUUAUGUUUCUUUCAUUUAACCUCUUUUAUUUUCCUAGUUUUCUCAUCACAUGCUACCUCGAUACUUUAGAAAAUGUUAGAAGAUAAAUCAUUUUCUUAUAUUUUAUCAUUGAAAAAAAAUAAAGGCUACACUAUUUUGAACAAUCUGGUAUUUACAAGAAUUGUAGCCUAUGGGCCACAAGAUUCAAUCACAGUUAAUGUGCCACAUUUUGUAGUUAACUUUAAUCCAACAACACACUCAAUCACAACUAUUGCAAUACCGUUGGUAGUUAAGUUUUAUCAAACAAUACACCAAUGAAUGCAUAAAUGUAUUAUUCAACGAUAUUAUUCUUUUUUAGUGAUUUUCCCUUUCAUAUCAUGAAAAGUUAUAAAAUAAUAGAGAUUUUAAUUUAAAAAAAAAAAAAAAAGAUACUUUAUGAUUGAUAAGUUUUUUUAUAUAACCUCAUUUCAUUUCAUGGUGUUCUAAAGGGGAAAACAAAACACAUUGAUGCAACCCUAUAAAAAAACACAUUGAUGCACUUAAGAGACAUUUAAUAAUGACUUCAUAAGUGCUAAAAGAUAUUUAAUUGUUCUACGAAAAAGACAAUUUAAUUGAAGUAAGGAGAAAUUGAACUUUAUAAAUUAUAAAGUGAUAAAACCAUUUGUUACAUGUAAAUGAGGGAAACAUGGAUGAAGUUUUCAAAUUUGUUUAUGUUAUGAUUAUCUUUCCCUUUCUAAUUCUUGACGUAGCAACAAAUGCUGAAAGUAAGCCAGUUUUUUAAAUUACCUUUUUUUUUUUUUAACAAAUAUAUUAUUCCAUUUUAGUUACACUCUUUUCUUCUUUUUCAUUACAGAGAUUCGUAGAUGUUUUAAUGAUGCUCAUUGUCCACCAGAUAUGUGUACCCUUGGUGUGAUACCGAAGUGUAGUAGGUUCACCAUUUGUAUAUGUUAACCAUUCAGUUGGUAAGGACAAUGCAUAAUAUAUGCAAGGUUUAGGGUUCAAACCUUGGACACCAAAAAAAAAACUAAAAGAUUAUGUACUAUCAUGAUUCUACAUUUACUUUAAAAUAUUGAAUUAGUUGCUUUUUAGUUACUUUGUUGUCUUAUUUUUCUAAUUUCAAAAUUCUUAUAGUUAUUGCUUUGUAAUUUAAUGUUGUGAAUUCGUUGAGAAAACCACACCAAUAAAAACUUGAUACGUGGAGUAAAUUAAUACCAAGUAAUCAAAUCAAGCGGGUAGCAAAUAAUCCAAAACAAAAGUAAACAGCAAGAGAUAAAAGGAAGAGAGAGAAAGAACACAAGAAUUUGUUUACCCAGUUCGGUCUAAUGAUGACCUAGUAUGGGGGAGAGAGCAGCUCUCCGUUCCACUAUAAUGACAUGAGUUUCUUUACAAAGAGAUAUUGAGUUAUAAGAAUCAGUCUUCAAACCUAAUUCUACCCAAGUCUCAGCCUCUUCCCGUGACCAAGAGACUUAAUCCUAAUAGUGCUUUGUUCAUGGUGAAUCAAAACAAUCCAAACCCUAGUGUUGUUGCCAAGAUAAAUUCUCUAUAAACCCUAGUUUGUAUGUUGGUUUCUAAACCUUUUUUUCUACACACUAUCAUCUGAUACAAGACUUAUAUUUAUAGUGGAAAGUAAACCCUUAAAAAACUGAAACAAAUCUAACUGAAAAUACGUUUUAAAAAUAUCUUCAGCGCCUCCAUCGUGGCACGAAAUUUCCAGUAGCUUCCUCAGAAUCUUGCUUCAACAAUCGUGGCGCAAUGUUUCUCCAUCGUGGCACGAUUCUCCAGAUUUCUGAUUUUAAGUUAACUCUCACAAUUCUCCACCUUGACUUCAAAUCAGUGAUGAUGUCAAUUUAACCAUCAAUCACUUUGCUGCUCUCUCCAAUCCUUCAUCUAUGCUUCAAUGAAGUUAUCAAGUCCAAGCAAUGCUUGAACCUUGAUCUUGGUAAUGAUUUGGUGAACAUGUUUACUGGAUUUUCUUCCGAUGCCACUUUCUCUACCAUGAUCUCCUUUGUCUCAAUCAUGUCUCUGACGAAGUGCAAACGAAUGUCAAUGUGCUUUGUUCUUUCAUGAUAUACCUAAUGAUUUGCCAAAUGAAUGGCACUUUGGCUAUCAUAAUAUAUCUUCGCACGCCUUUGACUAAUCCCCAUUUCUCCAAUCAUACCUUUCAACCAUAUGGCUUCCUUGACCCCUUCAACAAGGGCUAUGUACUCUGCUUGAGUUGUUGAAAGAGCUACAACUGAUUGUUGAUUUGCCUUCCAAGUUACUAGUGUACCGAACAAUGUAAACACAAAACCUGACAAAGAUAUCCUAGUGUCUACAUUACCUACAUAGUCCACAUCCACAUAUCCCUCCAAAGCCUCCCUACCUGGUUGUGACCUUGUAUACCUUAGACAACCUUUCAAAGAUUCAUUCAAAUAUCUCAGAACCCACUUCAAAGCUUGCCAGUGCACUUGACCCAGAUUUGCCAUAAACCGACUUAUCACACUAAUUGCGUAGGAUAAGUCUGGUCUACUACAAACCAUACCAUACAUGAUGCUUCCAACCCCACUUGCAUAGGGAGUACCCUCCAUCUUGUUUUUCUCUUCAUCGGAUUGAGGACUGCUUUAUUGAUAGCUUUGUGUGAUGACCAAGAGGAGUGCCAACGACUUUAGAAUCUUUCAUUCUGAACCGCUCCACCACUUUCCUCAAGUACCCCUACUGAGAUAAGAACAACUCACCUUUGUUCCGGUCCCUUAUGAUAUCCAUACCAAGUAUCUUCUUUGUGUAACACCCUAGUCGAUAUAUUAAUUAUUUUGAUUUAUUUAGAGUCUUUUAUAUGAUUUUAAAUAAUAUUGGUGAUUUAUGUGGUGUGUAUAUUUUAUUAUAUAGUUUAUUUUUAUAAUAAUUAGAAUAAGUGGGAAAUUAAUAUUAUUUUGGAGUUUGGGGAGUUAUUGGAAUUUAUUAGAAUUAAGGGGGAGUAAAAUGAAUUAAAGGGAAGUUAAGAAAGAAAGAAAAGAGUCAGAAACACUUUUUACGUGAAAACUGUCAAGUUGGGAGAAAAGAGAGAGAAGAGCAAGUAGAGCCAAGGAACCAAAUUGUUGUGCAUUUCUUUCAAUUGAAUUAAGGUAAGGGUGAGUUUUACUUCAGUAGUAUAGAUAUUGGAUUCUGAUUUUGAUUUUAACAGGUUUUUGAUAGAGUUGGGAAAUUUGGGUUUAUAUUGAAUUAAUGGGUUUUGAGAGUAGGAAUUGUUGUACUGAUGUUAGAAAUGGGUUUUGAGUGCAUAUAACCUUUCAUUUCAUAUCUGUAAACAAAUUUGGGGAGUGAAUUGGAGGAAAAUGGGAUUUUUGGGAAAAACCUGCAUUCUGCCCAUACAGAAGUUCAUCGCUCGCCUCGCGAGCAGCCUUGUUCGCCAAGGCAAGUGAGCAACUUCAUAGCUCGCCUCGCGAGUGAGACAACUCGUCGUGGCGAGUACCUGUGAGAAAUUCUGGGUUUUCAAAUUGUUGUUAUAAGCUGUAGUUUGGUUAGUUUUGAGUGCCUGGAUGAUUUUAGAGAGGACUAGAGCAAGUUUUAGAUUAAAAAGAUGAAUAGGGAGCUUAGAAUUGAAGAUUUAGUGAGAAAAAUGUCAAAACUCCCGAGAGCAGCCUUUUUCUGUUCGCCUUGAGUUCUCCUUGAACUCUCCAUGGCAAAUAACCCAUUUCCUGAGUUCGCCAUAGCGAGCAGAUGUGCUUGCGAGGCGAUUUCCCCAGUUUUGAAUGUUGUUUGUUAAUUAAAUGAAUGCUGGUGAAUGAUAUUGAUGUUUUAGCAUGAUUAUGAUUAAUUGUGCAUUUUUCUGAAAUUACUGAAUUGAUUAUGAUGAUUAUUGUUGAUUGGGAUGUGUGCUGUUAUUGAAUUAAGUCUUAUGAUGUUGCAUUACGGAGUUGUGAGUCAUACAUAUAUAUAUAUAUAUAUAUAUAUACAUAUAUAUAUAUAUAUAUAUAUAUAUGCAUUUGGUCGAGUUGUAUGUAGAUAUACACAAGUGAGUUAGUCGCAUAAGCAUAAAAGCGGGAGGGCUUCUGCCCUGGAACGCCUUGUCGUUCAAAGCGGGAGGACUUAUGUCCUGGAACACCUUGUUGUUCAAAGCGGUGAGGACUUAUGUCCUGAUGAAUGCUUUAACCAUUCAAACAGUGGUGACGGCUUCGGCCCUGAUUAUGGUACCACAUGCAUAUUUGCAUUUGUUGAGGAGUCUAAGGUGUUGUCUUAGUGGUGUUGUCAUGUCAUUUGCAUGAGUCGGUGUUAUCAUGUCAUUUGCAUGAGUCGGUGUCGUUGGUUGUAAUUGCCAUAUUGAUGAUGAUGAUGUAUGUUGUACCCUGAUUUUGGACCUAAAAAUACUCAUUCAAAUUUAUUUUCUACCACUGAUAUUUGUCGAUUUGCUGUUGUUUUACUCCGAACCUUUACUCUCUUUUCAUCUGCAUAUUUUACUGUCUCUGUCUCAAAGUAUGUUCAAUCAUGAUUUUCUUGCAUAAAGCUAUCCAAAGUGUUUUUCUUGCAUUACAAGUCAUUUAAGAACUCUCUGAAACGUCGCAUUACUUUUCUUGCAUUUUAUUUCAAAAAAUCAUACAAAAGGGUAUUUUGGUCAUUUCCUGCAGUGGAACCCAUUUUAGUCCAUGUGUUUGCCUCUGAGUCUUUUCAAUUUGUCUGUACAAAUCAUUGUUGAGCCUUUGUUUAAAAAUCAUUUCAAAAAUUGCAUCUGAGUCAAUUUGAGUCAGUUUAGUCCCUAGGGGCAUUUUGGUCUUUUCCUGUCAAAAUUUCGGCAGAGAGGUAUUUUAAAAUACCUCAUUUUUGUAGCUGGUUCAUUUUAGUCCUUUUGUUGAUUUUAUUUUUGGUUUCACUUUACGUUUUGUCCAGUUUACCAAUUUUAGUCCAAUUUUAUUUUUUAUUGCAUUUUAGUCCCUGAGACAGUUUCUAAAAUUGCAUUUUAGUCCAAAACAUUUAAAAAUUUCAUUUCGGUCCAUUUUUUUAUUAUUGCAGUUUAGUCCUUCAAUUUUUCUUUUUUUGCAGAAAGGUCCAAGUCCAGAUGGCAGCGCCUCAUUGGUCCAAAAUUACACAUGGCAGUCUAUAAAGGGAAAUUCUUGUGUAGGAACGAACCUAACCUAUCAUCUUUACAAACAACAAAUUAAAACAUGACACGUCGUUGUUUUUCCACCAUGAAUGGUGUUGGUGGUGAAUGGUGAUGGAAGAUCACGAACUAGUGGUGGUGGAGAGAGAAAAAUGACUAGUUGAUUUAUUUUUUUUAUAAUUAUUUUAAAAGAAAACAUGUUUUAAUUUGUUGUUUGUAAGGAUGAUAUGUUAGGUUCGUUUCCACACAAGAAUUUCUCGUCUAUAAAUAGCAUUAUUCUGCACAGAUCCACACAGGAAUUGACACAUCACAAACAGAUCCAAAUUUUCUCUCUCCAUUCAGUUACAGAUCAAAAACAGAAAAUCACCAAGAACAUUCAUAGAACCCUAACUUUUCCAAAACCGAAUUCAUCACCAGAUUCACCAAUUCUCAGAGAUUCAUUGACGAAUCUUCAUCAUUGAAUUGAUUCCCCUGCAAUCCAAAGCGCGAAUUCCUCACCGGAGAGAGGAACUCCAGCACCGAUCACAGAGGUGGAGAAAAGAGAAGAAAAAUCAAGCCAAACCGGAAUCACGAAGCACGUAAAGAAUCCGUAGAGCCAGACCGCGAAACAGAAGCGAAGAGGUAAUCUUCUUCGCUCUCCUUUCCUUUUUUCUUCAUUUUUGAAAAGUUUUUCUUCAAGAUUCAAACUCAGAUCUACUCCGAUUGGAACCUUUUUUGAGGUGGCCGGCCACCGCGCCGGAGAAGCUUGCCAUGACCGGAGAAGAUGACCGGAUUCUAGAGAGAGGUCAGACUCUCUCUCUCUAGAAUCCAAGGAAGAGAGAGGAUUUUUUGAGAACUUUGUGUUUUUUUUGGUGAAAUUCCUUUAUAUACUCCCUCCGUUCCCACGCGCGCGCGUGCAUGCUUCUGUGGUGUUCCCUCGCUCUGUGAACCAUCAGAUCUGGAUUGUUCCAAGAUCUGAUGGCUGCUGUGUGUUUGAUUUUGAACCCUGUGUGUAAUUUUUUGUGUGGAAUAUGGUAUAUCUUCUGUUUGAACCGUUAGAUCUUUGAUCUAACGGUCACUGUGCUUCCUGCAUUUUUACACUAUCUUUUGUGCUUUUUUUUGGACCCUUGGAUCUUUGAUCCAGUGGCUGUGAUGUGAUCUUGGGAGUUAGAUCUGGACCUCUGGAUUCAUCCAGCGGACAAGAUUAAAUCCUGCUGAGCCCUUUUUUAAUUGCUUUUUAAUUGUGUUUUAAAUACUUUUUUACACUUUCUUGGCAUUUUAUGCUCCUAAAAAAUUUUCUAAAAAUAUUUCCCUAUCAUUUUAAUUUUUCCUCCAAGUGUUAGAAUUUAUUUGCUUAUUUUUGCAUUUAUUUUCUUUACUUUGUUCUUUUAAUUCUUGCUCAUUAAAUUCCAUAUAUGUUCUUGAUGCAUUUUUUACAUAUUAUGAUAUUUUUGCAUGUGAAAUAAUGUGUGAAAAUAUCUCUAGGAAUAUGAUAUAAUGCUUUGCUUGUGUGUACUCUUAUGAUCCUCACAUUGUAGCUUAAAUUCAAACCUUUCAAAAAAUGGCUAUAAUGAGGGAAUUAUAGGUCAUAUGCAUGUCUAAGUAUCAUAACCAAUUUUAGGUAUAUUUUUCCACUUUAUUUCAUUUCAUUACUUUUUUUUUCUCUCUUGCUAUUCUAUUCAAUUUUGUUUACCUUUCUACUAUUUUUAUGCCUUAUGAUAACCAUUUCAUCUCACAUUUCAUUCAUCCCAUAGUUUUAGCAUCAUUUUUUUUUUUAUUCAUUUCUAUAUCAAUUGGGUUUGUAAUAAUUUUAGAUAGAUUAGUUUUUUUUAUUCCUUGCAAGACCAUAGCAUGUAUCUAGGACUCAAUGUAAAGGACUAUGGACAUUAUAAGGGAUGUACACCGACACAAGCACCGACACGCACACACGUUGCAUGAUUACCGUUUAGAUGUAUGCUUAGGAAAUGCGAUUUUUAGACAAAUGCCAAUCUUCAAAAAAUAAUAAACCAAUUCCAUCACUCAAAUUUUUCCAAACAAACCUUGGAGUCAAAACUCCAUUGAAUUUUUUCCUUUAUUUUCUUAAACAAAUCCAAAUGACUCCUAAUUCCUACUUAGACUUUUUUAAUAACAAUUGAACCAACCAUUCACCAUUUUUCUCUCUUAUGCCUUUAAGGCCUCUUCCUCUUCUUCAAAACCAUUUUCCAACGAAAACUAAAAUCAACCAAACACACAAAAAACAUCUUUUGAGAGAGAACUACAUGGAGUUUGAUCCCUUAAAUGGGUAUGUAGGCAUGAGGUCAAAACCUCUCCAAGUCCACUAAAAUAAAACCUCAAACACUUUCUCCCCCCCAUUCUUAACAUAAGUAAAUUUCCUUUUUCAUAAGUAGCAUUAAAAAUAAAGCGUAGACAUAAACUAAGAAAACGGCUCCUAUAGAGUACUAUAGUCACUACGGGUGCCUGAUGGGAUAAAACCGCAAGUGCACGGUCUUACCGAAGUAGUAAAAUAAGAGUAUCGUUCCGACAGGGAGUUAUGAAUUCAAUUAACUUUUAAUAAUGAUUAGAUGAAAGUUUCAAAGGUUAAAAGUUCGGAUUUUUAAUUAUAAGAAAAUAAAGGAAAAGAUAAAAGCCUUGGGAUCGUUGGAUUCAUCUAAAUAACAAGUCCUUCUCAAACCAAAACUGUAAGCUUAUAAUGUUAUGUUAGACCUAAUUUCUCAAGACAGUUUCUCUUAUGUUCCUCUAGCAACCAAGCCUAUUUCGCUGACUUGAUUACUAUUAGAUUUUGGUUCCUCUAACAACCAAGCCUAUUUCGCUGACUUGAUUGUUAUUAGUUCCCUUGAAGAUCGAAACUAUAUGUCUCAAAGAUUGCAAAGCCUAUUUCGCUGACUUUGCAAUCCUUGUCUGAAUUCACUUGUUCGAAUAUCAAAGCUCCACUUUCGUUUUAUGAAUUGAUAUUUGGAAUAAUGGAUAAACAAUUAUCAAACCCUCCACUUUCGUUUCCACAGUUUGAUAAUGGUUGAUCCAUGUUAAGACGGUGAAUUCAGAUAAGAAAUUAGGGGUUACAUAAGAUUAAGGCUUAGAGCUUGGCUUGAUUAGGAUUAUGUCAUUUAGACUUAUCCAACAAUCCCAAGACAAGAGAAGUCUACUCACUAAUGUUCAUCGUAGACAAGGGGAAGAAGAGAGAAAGCAUAAAAGUAAAUAACAAUAAAGUAAAAUGAACUUUUAUUAGAAAGACAAUUGUCACAUAUUGUAUUCCAAGAAAAGAUGAAUAUUUGUGAUGGCUAGCUACUCUAUUUAUAGUACACAAUUGACUUAAAAUCUAAGCAAGUAUAUUCCAAGAAUAUUCCUCGGUAGAUUGUGCGCCAAAAUAGAAUAGCUUAGAGCCCAAGCAAAAGCAGCAAAAGGUCUUCUGGAGGGUGGCACGGCCGUGCCAAGGCUAGCACGGGCCGUGCCAAGCUUCUGACUUGUGGGAGACAUAUUUUGUUUCCCAAUCUUCAUAUUUUCGUGUCCAAUUUACUCCAAAUCCCUUUCUUUUGCUCCAAGACUCAAUCCAUCCAAUAUUCUUCCCUGAAAUAUAAUAAAUUGCAAUUUAAAGUAAACUAUCCUAAAAAGGAAAUAAUACUAAUAUAAAAUUAUAUAAAAUCUAAAUAAAACUAAACUAAAAAGCAUAUUAAAAUAGCAUAUAAAUGACUCAUCAAACUCCCCCACACUUGAAUCUUUGCUUGUCCUCAAGCAAAAGGCAUAAACAUAGUAGCACCAACAGUUAUAUCAAAUGACAAUUCAAUUAAAGCACAUGUCUCCUCAAGGGCUUAAAUCCCAAAUGUACACUAAUCACAAACUCAAGCAUUUCUUGUAAUUUUUAUUCAACCCAACGAUCAAGUUUCAAGUGAGUGUGUGUGUGAAGUCCAACCCUUUUCUUGCUCCUGUAUAAGAUAGGCAUUAUGAGGAAACAUGGUCUAAUCCUAGCACUAAACCAACCAAGAAAGAUUCCUUCUAUAAUUCAUAUAAGAGAGAUGGGAGUAUUUGAGAAUCUUUGUUCUUUGCCAUUUGCACAUUUUAAGUUCUUUAUUUAAGGAACAACAUCUUCACGUAGGAGGUCGGAGGGCCUACCCCCUUCCCCAAUCUAGAUUCAAUGGUAUCCCUUAAAACAUCAUCUUCACGUAGGAAGUCGGAGGGCCUACCCCCUUCCCCAAUCUAGAUUCAAUGAUGCGUUUUAAAGUUUUUUCUCAAGAUAACAAUCAUCUUCACGUAGGAAGUCGGAGGGCCUACCUCCUUCCCCAAUCUAGAUUCAAUGAUGAGAUCUUGGAAUUUAUUUGACUUUUUGGCUUUUUAUGAAUUCCCUUAUACUCACUUAUACUACUUGCACUUUGAGAAUCUUUAAAGGUUAAUGUACCACUAAGAUUAAAACGCGUUUCCUUAAAAUACCUAUUCAUACAUUUACUCAAGGGAAGCAACUUUGUGUUUUUCUCAUUGGAGAAUUUUAUUCACUUUAAAACAAGAUGUGGGUAUAUCAAGAAGACUUAAAACACAAGAGUUUGCUUUCAUGUACAAGAAUCAAUCAAAUAAGAGGAGACAAUGAAAAUUUUGUGUCAUGAUAUUUUCAAUAAAAAUUAGCUACUUAACCAUGCCUUUUACAAUAAAACAAAACAAAAGAAUAAAGUUCAAGGGAGUUUGGAAACACUACGACUAAAGACACUUUAUUAGGCUCCCCCCACACUUAGGAGAAGCAUUGUCCUCAAUGAUUCAAAAUAAGAUAAGCGAAGAAGAAGAAGAAGAAGAAGAAGAAGAAGAAGAAGAAGAAGAAGAAGAAGAAGAAGAAGAAGAAGGAGAAGAAGAAGAAGGAGGAGGAGGAGGAAGAGGAGGAGUAGUAAGAGAAGAGAGGAAGAGGAAAGCUCACAUUUUUCAUUGAGUUCUAUAGGUAGGACCUUGGAGGUGAAGAUGGUGCAUCAUGUUCCGAAGCAUUUGGUUAUUUUCUUCGGAUAUGCGGUUGCCCCUUAGGACAUAAUUCCUUAGUCCCGACAAUUCCACACCUUCCCUUAGUUGCUUGGUGUUUAUCCUCUCAGCCUCAGUAUGCAUCCAUGCCCAUCUUGCAUUUUCAUUUGUUUAUCCGGCAUCAUGGUCAUGGUGCUCCUUAUCAUGGUACAAUUGUGCACCUUCCUCUUCUUGGUGCAAAUGUGCAUCUUCCUCGCCUUCAUUAUCGUGUUCUUCAUGUACCUGUGGAUCAUCAACAAUAUACAACAAAUUUUCUUCCACCUCGGUGUUAGUCCGAGAUGGGUUAGAAAGUAUAAUCAAAAUAGGCACAAUGAGUUUGAGUGUGUAGGACAUGGGUGGAUGGGGCUUAAUGAAGUUCAUAAAGAUAAGGGUCUCUAUGUUAAGCCUAUUGUUUCCCUCAAUUUUUGUAAUCCCUUGGUCCUCACCCACUCCCAAUUGCCUAGCUAUGUAUGUGAUGAUACCACCCACAACUAUCUCUCCCCUACUAUCAAACCUAUUACCAUCAUGGGAAAGGUAAUCAAGCAAGUAAAAGCAUGUGUUAACGGGGUGGUUGUUAAGCAUGGCCCACGACAUGAAGAGUUCAUCCUUCCUAGUGUUCCCCACUUCGGUCCUACCCCAAAUAGUGCCAGUCAUUACUUUUUGAAGGUAUCGUGUGUUAAAUUGCCUAAGGUCGGUGAUCUGUUCCCAAAAGGUGGUGGGUUGAUAGUCAACCGGCUUAAGACUUUGAUCCCAAGAGUCGUGGAUGAACCCCGCGUUAGCGAAGUCCAUCUCAUCACAAAAGUGUUGAAGCGACAUCUCGUAAUCAAUAUUCAUAAGCCGGAAAGAGAUUCUAUGAUUUAGGGUUAUCAAAAUUCAUCUUAUCCUUUGUAAAAACAUUUGAACUUAAAAACUUAAAGGUGAAACUUUCAUAACCCCACAUAGGUCGUAACAUAGCAACCCACCCUAAUCGUCUUAGAAAUUUAAACACAUUGUCACUAAGGCCUAAUGUAACCAAGUCAUAAUUAUCAGGGUACCUGCAAGGAUGUAAAGGUUUAGAGAUGAGAUUUUUAUACCUAUCCUUUUGCUUGUUGUCCUUGAAUAUUAUGCCAUGAUUAUUUGCCGGUACUUGCUUCUUUGGGGGAGGUCCUCUUGAAGAUGUUGCAACUUCUUUUCCACUUCUUUUGGAAGCCAUAGCCUUGACCUUGGUUGGACUUGGUGUGGUUUUGGUGAAGGUUGGGGUUAGUGAAUGUUUUUGGUGGAAAGGGUUGGUUUAGUGAUGGAGGGAAGGUUUAAGUGAGUUUUAGGAGUUGGUUGAUGGAGGUUGUGAAUUUUUUUGGAUUGGGUUGAUGAAAGUGGAUUUUGUAUGGAUGGUUGUGGUGGGAAUGGUUUUUGUGGUUGAAUUGGGUAAGAAAUUUUGUGAAUUGGUGAAUGUUUGAUGGAGAUGUGGAGGUUUGAGGUUUUGUGGUUAUGGAGGUUUUAGAGAGAAGUAGGAGGGAUGAGAGGGGUUUGGUUUGAAGAAUGAGGGAAGAAGAUGAAGGAAAAUGAGGUUUAACCUUACCUGAGGUCGGGCACGGCCGUGCUGAGGUUGGCACGGGCCGUGCCAAGUUCCUGGAGUUUGGCCUGGUUUGGGAAGGGCAAGGUCUGGCACGGCCGUGCCAGUGUGAGCACGGGCCGUGCCAAGGUUCUGGAGACCGGGGCUUCAAAAAAUUUCUUUUUCUUGAAUCAUAGUCGGACAAUUACCUACAAAACAAAUAAAAACAAAACACAACAAAACAAAAGCAGUUAAAUGCGUGGGUUGCCUCCCACGAAGCGCUUCUUUAUAGUCAUUAGCUUGACGUUCAAGAGGUUUCUCUACCCUAUGCCCAAUCUUUCCCAAAGGGAUAGUGGCGUCAACCUGGCAUUCUCUCCCAAAUCACACAUGGCUUUCUCAAUGCUUAUGGAUCCUAUGACACAAGGUAUGAGAAAACUUUCUAGAUUCUUAAGUUUAGAUGGCAAUUUGUUUGGAAGUAUAUCGAUUAAAAUUCUAAAUUGGUCAUCUAACUUUGAUUUGACAAAACCUUGUGUUAAUGGAUUUUUAGGCUCAUGAGGUGGUGAAACAAAUGGCUUUUCAUUUUCUCCUAUAGUUUUCUCACUUUGAGGCUCAUCACUUCCUAUCUCUCCCUCAUUGUUCUUAAUUUUCACAUCGGGGUCCUCUAAUUGGUUACCAUCCCUAAGAAAAAUAGAACUUAUAUAGCCUUUGGGGUUGGUUUCAGUUUGACCUGGAAAGAUCCCGGUGGUUUGAGAGGAAGUAGUCACGUGUUGGGCCACUUGAGAGAUUUGGGUUUCAAGUAUCUCAUUGUGAGUUGCUAUGGAGUCUACCUUGGAUGUGAUUUUGGCAAGAGAGUCAUUCAAAAAUUCAGUUUGGUUUUUAAGCUCUUGGAGCUGCUUGGAUUGAUUUAUAACAUAAUUUUCCAUUAAAAGUUCCAAGCUGGAUUUUUGAGGGACUCUUUGGUUGUUUGCAUAACUGGGUGGUGUUGUUUGUUGUCCAAAAAUAUUUUGAGGGGUUUGAUAAAAAAAUUGGUCGUUUCUAAACCCUCGAUUAUAUUGAGCAUAGUUUACUUGCUCAGGACCUCUAACAACACUACCUAGUUGGCAAUUAAUGCCAAUAUGGCCAAAUACACCACAAACUUCACAAGGAGGUGCUACAGGAGCAGGUGUGACAACACUAGUAUUCAUUGUAUCAAAUUUUUGUGUUAGUGUGUCAACCUUAGCAGUUAGAUGAUCAAGGGAGGAAAUUUUGUACAUACCUGCCUCUUUUUUAGAGGGUGAAGAAGCAGUGAUGACUCUCUCACUUGUCCACUGAUAGUGGUUUUGUGCCAUGCCCUCGAUCAAAUCAUAUGCUGCUGUGUAAGUUUUAUUCAUCAAAGCUCCACCUGCAGCUGCAUCAACAUAGAUUUUUGUGGUAUAUGAAAGACCAUUAUAAAAGGUGUGGAUAAUAAGCCACUUCUCUAAACCAUGAUGGGGGCAAAGCCUAAGCAUUUCUUUGAAACGCUCCCACGCAUCGUAAAGAGAUUCACCAUCUUUUUGAGUGUAUUGAAAAAGCCUCGCCCUGAAUUGAGCGGUUUGAGAAAGGGGAAAGAAUUGGGCAAGGAAAGCUCGCCUCAUUUGGUCCCAUGAAGUGAUAGAACCAAUAGUCAAUGAAUGAAACCAAGCACUAGUUCUAUCCCUUAAGGAAAAAGGAAAGAGGUGCAGCCUUACGGCCUCUUGGUUUGCCUUCAAAGUUCCACUGAGUUUUAAAAAAUUUGAAACAUGAAGAUUCGGAUCCUCAGUGGGUGAUCCGAAAAAUUGAUUUUGCUGCACUAGGUAAAUAAGUGCAGGCUUUAUUUCAAAUUUACUACCCUCAACCGUUGGGUACACAAUAGCAUCGUACGGCUCAUCUGAAGAUGUGAUUGCAUACUCUUUGAGAGCACCUUUCUCAUCCAUGUCGUUAUUAUUGUCUUUGAGCCAUGCCUGAAAUCAAAACGGUUAAAGAUAGAAAAUAAAAAAUAAGGAGAAAGGGAGGUAGAGAGAGAGAUAUAUAUAUAUAUAAAAUAAAAAUAAUAAGGAAAUAAAAUAUAUAUUAUAAAUAUAUAAAAAAAAUAAAAAAUAAAAAGGUAAGAAAAAGGAAAUAAAAUAUUUUAUAAAUAUAUGUAUAUAUACUAUUUUAUAUAUAUAUAUAUAUAUAUAUAUAUUUUAUAUUAUAUAUUUUUUUUUUUUUUUAGACUAACCACUAUUAAAAAGUUAAUCAAAUUACAAUAACUUCCCGGCAGCGGCGCCAAAAACUUGAUGGGAUAAAACCGCAAGUGCACGGUCUUACCGAAGUAGUAAAAUAAGAGUAUCGUUCCGACAGAGAGUUAUGAAUUCAAUUAACUUUUAAUAAUGAUUAGAUGAAAGUUUCAAAGGUUAAAAGUUUGGAUUUUUAAUUAUAAGAAAAUAAAGGAAAAGAUAAAAGCCUUGGGAUCGUUGGAUUCAUCUAAAUAACAAGUCCUUCUCAAACCAAAACUGUAAGCUUAUAAUGUUAUGUUAGACCUAAUUUCUCAAGACAGUUUCUCUUAUGUUCCUCUAGCAACCAAGCCUAUUUCGCUGACUUGAUUACUAUUAGAUUUUGGUUCCUCUAACAACCAAGCCUAUUUCGCUGACUUGAUUGUUAUUAGUUCCCUUGAAGAUCGAAACUAUAUGUCUCAAAGAUUGCAAAGCCUAUUUCGCUGACUUUGCAAUCCUUGUCUGAAUUCACUUGUUCGAAUAUCAAAGCUCCACUUUCGUUUUAUGAAUUGAUAUUUGGAAUAAUGGAUAAACAAUUAUCAAACCCUCCACUUUCGUUUCCACAGUUUGAUAAUGGUUGAUCCAUGUUAAGACGGUGAAUUCAGAUAAGAAAUUAGGGGUUACAUAAGAUUAAGGCUUAGAGCUUGGCUUGAUUAGGAUUAUUUUAUUUAGACUUAUCCAACAAUCCCAAGACAAGAGAAGUCUACUCACUAAUGUUCAUCGUAGACAAGGGGAAGAAGAGAGAAAGCAUAAAAGUAAAUAACAAUAAAGUAAAAUGAACUUUUAUUAGAAAGACAAUUGUCACAUAUUGUAUUCCAAGAAAAGAUGAAUAUUUGUGAUGGCUAGCUACUCUAUUUAUAGUACACAAUUGACUUAAAAUCUAAGCAAGUAUAUUCCAAGAAUAUUCCUCGGUAGAUUGUGCGCCAAAAUAGAAUAGCUUAGAGCCCAAGCAAAAGCAGCAAAAGGUCUUCUGGAGGGUGGCACGGCCGUGCCAAGGCUAGCACGGGCCGUGCCAGGCUUCUGACUUGUGGGAGACAUAUUUUGUUUCCCAAUCUUCAUAUUUUCGUGUCCAAUUUACUCCAAAUCCCUUUCUUUUGCUCCAAGACUCAAUCCAUCCAAUAUUCUUCCCUGAAAUAUAAUAAAUUGCAAUUUAAAGUAAACUAUCCUAAAAAGGAAAUAAUACUAAUAUAAAAUUAUAUAAAAUCUAAAUAAAACUAAACUAAAAAGCAUAUUAAAAUAGCAUAUAAAUGACUCAUCAGUGCCUAACACCUUCCCGUAGUGAAAACGACCCCCGAACUUAGAAUCUAAGGGUUUUUUCUCAAUUUCGCCCUUCCCAAGAAAAAAUAGAGAAUAUCAAAGAUUGAAAGGUUCAAGCCUAAUUUAUGACUUAACACCCGAAAAUCGCGAUAACAAUGUAGUUUGCUGAAGUAUAUAUUUAUACAUAGAUGUUGAUGAUGUAGUUUGGUGAAGUAUAUAUUUAUCCAUAUAUGAUGAUGAUCUGGCUAUAUAUAGGGUGUUAGAUUCAAUUGAUGAAUUUUAAUAUCUAUAUCUUAUUGUUGUGAAUCUCACCCCUUCUGCUUGAAAAUGUUGCCCUUCCUAUGGGUAACUUGCAGGUGAUCAUGAGUAGUCGGUGAUGGCUCAAGUGUCGUGUCUAGGGCUCUGAUACGUGGGAUGGGAUUUCUUAUAUUUUUUUCAUUCCUAUGUAUCAAUUUAGGAACAUGAUGAUGUAGCCUUAUGGUUGUUUAGAUUUCUUUGAUGAGGCUUUUAUGCCAAGAUAGUUUUAUGGACAAUUUAACUGUUGUCGUUGUUGUUUAAUGCAAAUAUUCCGUUGCAAAAUUAAUGAUGUUUUGAAAGAUGUUUAAUUAAAUAGUUUCAUAUGCUAUUUAAGAAAUUUUGGAUUAGUAGUGUGACAUGUCCGUUUGGGAAUUACUCUGAUGUGUGUUUAAUUAUUAGUUAAUUACUUUUGGGUAACGGGGUGUUACACUUUGCAUUACCAAGAUCCUUCAUCUCAAAUUCAUCAUUAAAUCUUUUCUUGAGUUUCUGAAUCUCUUGCCUGUCAGAACUUGCCAUAAGAAUAUCAUCCACAUAAAGGAGAAGGUAGAGAAUGACUUUCUCAUUCUUUCUCAUCAUGUAAACACAACUAUCAUAGUUGCUUCUCACAAAACCAGCCUUUACUAGGAACUCAUCAAACCGACGAUACCACUACCUUGGACUUUGCUUCAACCCAUACAAAGAUUUCUUCAAAAAACAAACUUUUGUAUUGUCUUCUACGAAACCUUCUGGUUGUUGCAUAUAGAUAGUUUCUUCCAACUCUCCAUGUAGAAAUGCGGUCUUCACAUCCAUUCGUUCUAACUCAAGAUCAUACAUGUUAACAAUUACCAUAAGUACCCUUAUAGAACAAUGUUUUACCACCGGUGAAAAGAUUUCAUUGUAAUCAAUCCCUUCCACCUGAGUAAAAUCCUUUGCUACAAGUCUUGCCUUAUACCUUGGUGAUACGACCCCGAAUAUACCUUCUUUCUUCUUAAACACCCACUUGUUUCCCACUACCCUUUGAUUCUUAGUAAUGAAACAAGUUUCCAAGUCUGGUUCUUCUCCAAUGAAAGCAUUUCCUCAUUCAUUGCCUUCAACCAGUCAUUGUUUUCAUUGCUUUCUAAUGCUUCCCUGAAGUUCUUUGGUUCCGAGUCUUGCAAUUCUUCAGCUGCAUUCAAAGCAUAAUAAAUAAAGCCAGCAUAACCGUAUCUCUCAGGUGGAUUAAUUUGUCUCCUCGUCCUAUCUCUUGCUAGCUGAUAGUCAGGAUUAAUUAUAUCUUGGCCUUCACUCUCAUCAGGUACUAGAGUCUGAUCCUCCCCUUCCCUUUCAUUAGUGGUAGGCUCCACCUCAAACUGAAUUUUCUUUUAUCCCCGUUUCUGAGCUUGUAUCCAGGUCUUUGCACUUCAUCCCCAUGCGGGUCUCAUCAAAAGUAACAUCCCUGCUUAUAAUAAAUUUUGAUCCUCCAGGUUCCAUCUUCCACAGUCUGUAACCUUUCACACCUUCAGGAUAACCCAUGAAAAUACACUUCACAGCUCUAGCAUCAAGUUUGUCUUGUCUGACAUGAGCAAACGCUAAAGCUCCGAAAACUUUCAAGUUAGAGUAGUCUACCGGUCUCCCACUCCAAACCUCCAUAGGUGUCUUGAGAUCUAUCCCUAUUGAUGGACAUCUGUUAAUCAAAUAUGCUGCAGUACUAACAGCCUCUCCCUAGAAACUCUUGGACAAUCCAACUCCCAACAGCAUACACCUCAAACGCUCCAACAAGGUCCUAUUCAUUCUUUCAGCAAGACCAUUAUAUAUGUUGAGGUGUGUAUGCCACAGUUUUAUGCCUCUUUAUACCUUUCUUCCUACAAAACUCAUUAAACUGCUCUGAAACAAACUCCAGACCAUUGUCAGUUCUCAACACUUUCAGUUUAGUUCCAAUCUGAUUUUCUACAAGUAUAUCCCAUUCUUUGAAUUUUUCAAAAGCAUCACUUUUAUUCCUUAGAAUGUAAACCCAUACUCUUCUAGAAUAAUCAUCAAUGAUAGACAUGAAAUAUGAACCUCCCCCAUGAGUCUUAACUGAUGCAGGACCCCAAAGAUCCGAAUGAACAUACUCAAAAGGCCUACUAGAUUUAUGCACACCCACCCCAAACUUCACCUUGUGUUGUUUGCCUAAUGUGCAGUGAUCACAGAAAUCUAGUUUGUUCAAUUUUUCAUUCCCUAGCAAACCUUGUUUAGCUAGCUCAACCAAACCCCUCUCACUGACAUGACCUAACCUCAAAUGUCAUAGUUUAGUCAUGUCCAGAGUGUCAACACUAGCAAUUGAUGCAUGAGCUAUUACAGUGGAACCUUCUAAAAUAUAUAAGCCAUGUAUUUUAGACCCUUUAGCUAUAACCAAUGCACCAUGAGAAAUUCUCAUCAUACCAUGUUCAAUUCUAGUGCAAUAUCCUAGACCAUCAAACAUGCUUAUAGAUAUUAAAUUUCUCUUCAGUUCAGGAAUAUACCUCAUAUCCUUCAAAAGGAAAUCACGGGCAUCAAAUAUUUUGAGACGGAUAGUGCCAAUACCUUGAAUUUUACAAGCCUUAUUGUUUCCAAGGCGAACUACUCCACCUUCUUCCAGCUCUAACGUUUCAAAGUACUCCUUUCUCGGACAGAUGUGAUAAGAGCACCCAGAGUCCAAGACCCAGCCCUUUUCAGGUUCCCAACUUGUCACAGUUAGUGCUCGAGCACUCUCAUAACCUUCCUCGUCUCUUGCAAGCUGAACGGAUGGAUUACCACCUCCAUUGUCCUUUCUCUCCGGACAAUCUUUCUUGAAGUGACCUGGAUUGUGACAAAUAAAACAUUUGUACUGUGUUUUAUUUCCAUCACCCUUCGACCUAGACUUUGACCUGGAAUUCUUGCCUUUCCCUUUUCCUCUGUUUUGACUUCUUCCCCUUGAGACAUUCAAGCCUUCUCCACUAUCAUCAACCUUCAAAUCUUUGAACUUGGUCAACUCUUUGGUUCUCAAAGCUGCUUGAACUUCCUCCAAAGUGAUAGUGCCGUCUUUGCCAUAGAGCAUAGUAUCCUUUAAAUUCUCAAAGGACCAAGGUAAAGCACACAGUAGGUGUAAGGCUUUAUCCUCGUCUUCCAGAUUAACAUCUAUGUUCGCCAAAUCAUCAAUAAUCUUAUUGAACUCCGUCAGUUGCUCCAUUAUAGGUUUUGACUCCACCAUUUGAUAAAAGUAGAGUUGUUGUUUCAGACAUUGUCUAUGUGCCAAAGACUUGGUCAUGUAUAAUGAAUCAAGUUUAUUCCACAUAGACACAACAAUAGUCUCCCUUGAUACUUUUCUCAACACCUUAUCCCCAAAACACAGAAUGAUAGCGCUGACCGCUUUAUCAUUCAUCUCCGUCUUCUCAGCAGGUGUCAGAUGUGUAGACAUCUGUGCUUUUCCCUUCAAUGCUUCAACACACUUUUGUUGAAUUGGAAUUGCCCUCAUCUUUACCUUCCACAACCCGAAGUCGUUACUACCGGUAAAAUUUUCAAUAUCCCACUUCGAACCCAUGAUACCUGGUUAUUGAUUUGACCUUUGCCCCACGGUGGGCGUCAAUUGUUAUGAAUUCGUUGAGAAAACCACACCAAUAAAAACUUGAUGCGUGGAGCAAAUUAAUACCAGAUAAUCAAAUCAAGCGAGUAGCAAAUAAUCCAAAACAAAAGUAAAUAGCAAGAGAUAAAAGGAAGAGAGAGAGAGAACACAAGAAUUUGUUUACCCAGUUCGGUCUAAUGAUGACCUAGUCUGGGGGAGAGAGCAGCUCUCCGUUCCACUAUAAUGAUAUGAGUUUCUUUACAAAGAGAUAUUGAGUUAUAAGAAUCAGUCUUCAAACCUAAUUCUACCCAAGUCCCAGCCUCUUCCCGUGACCAAGAAACUCAAUCUUAAUAGUGCUUUGUUCAAGGUGAAUCAAAACAAUCCCAACCCUAGUGUUGUUGCCAAGAGAAAUUCUCUAUAAACCCUAGUUUGUAUGUUGGUUUCUAAACCCUAUUUUUCUACACACUUUAUCAUAUGAUACAAGGCUUAUAUUUAUAGUGGAAAGUAAACACUUAAAAAACUGAAACAAAUCUAACUGAAAAUACGUUUUAAAAAUAUCUUCAGUGCGUCCAUCGUGGCACGAUGUCGGGCCAUCGUGGCAUGAAAUUUCCAGUAGCUUCCUCAGAAUCUUGCUUCAACAAUCGUGGUGCGAUGUUUCUCCAUCGUGGCACGAUUCUCCAGAUUUCUGAUUUGACCAUAUAAUCAUUAAUUCCUUGGACUAAUUAAUGUUUCACCUUACAGAAGUGUUGGGAAUCAUGACAUCCAUAGAAAGAAUGAGAGAAAACUAACAAACUCUUUGUAUUAUGCAAAAUGGAAUAUUACAAAUGAGUGAAAGUAUUCCAAUAAUCGGGUGAUUACAACUAUAUAUACUACUAUAGGGCUGUGGCUACGGUACGAGACCAUUAUAGGUUUCUCACCGUGCAAGACCUCUUAAUUUUUUUUUUUGUUUGUUUCAAAUUGUUUAGGAGCCAUAGGAUUUAAUUUUAAGUGAAAUACAGGGAUUAAUUUAAAAGUUCUCAAAAGUUGACUGUUAAAAUUUGUAUUGUUGAUAAACAUUGUGGAAUUUGUAGUUUCAUUUGAAAAGGGUGAUUUAGUCAAUGAACCCAAAAUAUUGUUUAAAAAUAUAGUAAUUGUCCUUAUAUUUACCAGCACGUGUCUUUCCGCUUUUUUUGUUGCGCUAACAGAUGUAAAUUAUGAACUGUAUUUUAUAAAAUUUUGAUUUUGAUUAAAUUAUAAGUAUAAAUAUUUGCGACUUUCUAAUUGUAACAAACCCAAAAAAAUCAUAUUUAUUUUUUUCAAUAACAGCUAUAAUAUAACAAAUAUAAUAUAAACCCUUAUAUUGUUUUUAAUACCACCAACAAUAUAUAUACAAAAACUUGUUUAAUGGAAUAAUUAAAAUUAUAAAAAAUUCAGCCUAAAAUCUAUAUCUCUUCAUACAUAAUAUUGUUCUUAUUGUAGUAAGAUAUUUCCUAUUUUAAUGGAAUUUAAUUUUUAAAUAAAAUCGUAAAAUUUAAAAUAAUAUUAUUAAAGGAUAAUAACAAAUUGUAACAAAAAAAAAUGAUAAUAACAAAUAAAAAGUUUAAAUUAAGUGUAAAAUAGGUCAUGAAAAAUCCAUCCCAAACUCAUGUAUUUCAAACUUAUUUUCUUUAUAUAUAGUAUAAAUUAAAAAAUUGUCCUUAUGUCGGAAUCUGCAUUGUCAAAACUAGCGAAAAUCCUCUAAUGACUAACUUUCGUUCUUUUAGAAUCUUCUAAAGAAUAACAAACAUUUAGAAUCCUCCAUUAUUCAUUUUCCAAUAUAUAAUAUACUUAAUCUUUAAAAAAAAUAGUUAUAAACAAUGUUUAAUUGUUUAUCGACACCGGUUUGAAUUAAAAAAAAAAAAAACAAACAACUUCUACUAAUUUUUAUGGCACUUUUUCCAUUUCUUUUUAAGUAUCGUUCGACUAUGGAUUUAGCGUUCUUAUUUAACUGUCGUUUUGGCAUUUUAUGGGUAAGAUUUGUCACUUGUACCAUUUCUCAAUUACUCUUAUCUUUUUCAUUAAAACUAAUUAAUGACACCUAUUUUAAAAACAAAAGUAUGUUACUUUUAAGCAAAAGAUGUUUUUUUUCUUCAAACAAAGUUUGUUUUUUUUGUUAUCUUAAACAUUCAAAUCUAUGUCACACGGUGUGAAUCUAGUACUAAAGUAUGUUGCAAUUAUUAAAAAAUAUGUGUACAAUAUUUAGGUACCGGUUGGCCGGCUUUUUUUCAGCUUCUCUACAUUUUUAAGGAGAAGCUGGGCCAAUUUAUUUCACAAGCACCUCUCUUCAACUCAUACCGACAAACUUUUCUUUUAUUUUUUAAUAAUAUAUUUCAAUUUAAUUUUUUCUUCCAUUUUAUUUUAUUUUAUUUUUUUGAACCGGUCCAUUUAAUUAUUUUUUUGAAGGAGGGUCCAUUUAAUUUUAUUAUAUUUUUUUUGUAGGAAUUUUAUUAUCUUUUUAUCACUUAUAUAUUUAGUUUCAAUAUCGUUUAAUCAUCACAACCUCAUAAAUAUUUUUAUUUCCUUUCUUCAACCUCGCAAAUAUAUACACACACAUUAGCAUUUAGAGUAAUACUUUAUGUCUUCCUGCCUGUUUUUUUGUUACGCUAAUGCGUAUAAUUUAUUUUUAGUGUUGCAUAAUGCAUAUAAUUAUUUUUUUGGUUAAUAGGUCUUUACCCCCUGUAAUAUAGGGCACUUUUGGUUUUGCCCCCUGUAAAUUUUUUUUUUUAGAUUCCGUCCUUGUAAAAUGAAGAUUCUUCAAGAUUGCCCCCUGAGCCCUGUGACUCAGCAGAAUCUAUGAUGUGGCGCCUACAUGGCAUUUUUUUUUCUUUUUUUUUUGGAUGCCAAGUGUAAAAAAUAAUUUACAUGUCAUUUAAAUUUAAAAAUAAAAAAAAAUCUAUUUUUUUUUAAAACGAAAAAUAAUUUAAAAAUCAGAAGAAAAAAAAUAGAAAUUAUUUUUCAAAAAUUUAAAAAAUUGAAAUUUUUUUUUUAAAAUAAAGUUCCAGAUUUUUUUUAAAAUACUUCCUAAUUCUUUUUAAAAAAUCGAAAAAAAUUUCAGAUAUUUUUUAAAAAAAUUAAGUUCCGGAUUUUUGUUAAAAUCAGAAAAAACAUGCAGAUUUUUUUAAUUUAAUUUUUUUUAAAAAAAAUAUUUUAUAUUUCAAAAUCUUUAUUCCAGAAAUUUUAUGAAUUCUUUUUUGAAAUUAAAUAAUUAGAAAAAAAUUCAAAUAUUUUUUACAAAUUCAAAAAAAUUAGAUAAUACUUUUUUUUCUAAAUUUAAUAUUUUUAAUUUAAUUCGGAUUUUUUUUAAAAAAUUUAGUAUAAUUUUUUUGGAAAAUUUGGAAAUAUAUUAAGUUCGAGAAUGGAAACGGUAUACCAUAUGGGUUUUCCUAUCAUUGAUGGGAAAUAUAUUAAUAUAGCAUUUAGAAAAAAAUUCAAAAAAUAUAUUCCUGAAUUUUUACGAAUUUAUUUUUUAUUUAAAAAUAAAAUAAAAUCAUUUUUUUUUCUGAAAUUAGGAAGUAUUUUAAAAAAAAAAAAACUGGAUUUUAUAAAAAAUUACAAAAACAAAUCAGAAUUUUUUCUAAACUUAAAAUUUUCGAAAAUAUCUGAAGUUAUGAUUUUAAAAAUUUAAAUAAAAUCAAUUUUUUUUCAGAUUAAAUAGUUGGAAUUUAAAAACAUUUAUAUCCAAAUUUUUAAAAAUUAAAAUAUUUUCCAGAAUUUUCAUUCUUUGUAGAAAAAAUUAAAAAAACAUUUUUAUUUCGAAAAAAAUCUGAAUGUUUUUUAAUUUCGAAAAAGAUAAGACAAUUUUCUAUUUCAGAAAAUAUAUCUAAAUGUUUUUUAACUUUUGGAAAAAAAAUCUAAUUUUUUUUCGAUUUAAAAAAAUAGUUUGAAUUUUUUCAGAUUUUUUAAAGUUUUGGAAAUUAAUUUUCAUAUUUUUUAAAAUAUGAUUUUCGGUUUUUUAAAUUUAAUUUUCUAUUUUAAUUUUUUUAAAUAAAAAUGACGUGUAAACUAUUUUUUACUAGUGGCAAGCAAAAAAAUAAAAAAUAAAAAGAAAAAGCCAUGUAGGCGCCACAUCAUAGAUUCUGCUGAGUCACAGGGCUCAGGGGGCAAUCUUGAAGAAUCUUCAUUUUACAAGGACGGAAUCUAAAAUUUUUUUUUUUUACAGGGGGCAAAACCAAAAGUGCCCUAUAUUACAGGGGGGUAAAGACCUAUUAACCCUUAUUUUUUUUAAUAUUUUGAUUACAAUUAAAAAUAUAAGUAUAGAUGCCUCAAAAAAGUUAUACUUAUAUAUAUUUUGCACCUUUAUAAUGUAACAAACUAUGCAUAUCUUUUUCUUAUUCAAAAAAUUUAAACAUAUCUUUUUCAUUGACAACAACAAUGUAACAAAUAUAACAUCAUAUAAUAUAAAUUCUUAUCUUUUUGAAUGACACCAAAAAUAUGGUAUUCUUAUAACAAAAUUUGUUAUAGAUUAUAAUUGGAAAAGAAUAAACCAACUAUUUUAAUAUUAUUUAUUUUAUUAUUUGUGUCUCCUUAAAUUAUUUCUUCUAUUCAAAUAUUUAACAAGUCCUUUAUAUGAUGAUACGAAUUUGUAUUCAUAUUACACAAUAUAAACGCCAUUGAGUAAAUAUAGUAUUUGUAAAAAAAAAUAUCUUUUAUAUUUUAAACAUUUUGGGUCCUGCUAACCGGUGCCCCCGGGGCACGGGUUAAGCAUACCAUAAAAGGGAAUUAUUACCAUAAAAGGAAAUUGUUUUUGACUUUAUUAUAAAUUAAUUACACAAUUUUAAUGCAUUAACUACUAUAUAAUUUCCUUUUUUAUAUCCUUAAUCAGUGUCCGGGGGCACCGGUUAACAUUUCCCAAACAUUUUUUCCCUUCAAAAAAUAUUUUAAACAUAUUUUUAUUUAUUAUGUUAAUUUAUAAUAAAUUUAAAGUUUUGUCCUCGUGAGCUUAGCUCAGUUGAUAUGGAUAAUGCAUAAAUAUAUACAAGGUCUGGGGUUCGAACCCUGGACACCACAAAAAAAAUAUUAAAAGUUUUGUACAAUAUUUUGCCAAACAACUUUUAACUUAAAAAUAGUUUUAAAACUAAAAGAAAAUGAAGAAAACAAACAGCUUUAGCUUAUUUUCUAAAGAGCUUUAUUUUAACUUUGUUUUAAAGUAAGUAGCUUUUAGUAGACCGUAAAAAAGUCUGGCCAAACGGUAUCUUAGAUUAUUGAUAAUUGUUUGUCAUGGGAGGGAGAUAAAGUGUGUUAAAAAUAUAAGAAUUUGUUGAAAAAAAAAGAGUGACUAACAAUUGUUUGUUAUAAGAAAAAGAUAACGCAUUAUAUUUAUUGACAAAGAAAGUGUGUGCCAAAAAAUAGAAAUUUAUUGACAGAUUAACACGAGGGUAUAAUAGGAAGAAAAAAUGCGUACAUUCAUUUCCUUAUUUUGAUGUUAGUAUUCCAAAACGACACCUUUUUUUUUUGAUGAAACAAAGGGGCUAACAGCCCAAAAGAACUAGAAAUCACGCGGGAAACUAACCGCUAAAGUAUCAGCAGCAACAUAAUUUAAACUAAAAUCAAGGAUAUAAUCAAAAAUACUAAUAGAGCUAUAUAAAGAAAGACCAAACUUUGCUAAACUAUCAGCAACCUGAUUUGCCUCUCGAAGCACAUGAGACCAAGUUAAGACGCAUCCCAACCUAUUCUGAUUCCUCCAAAACGACACUUAAAAAAGAAACGAAAGGAGUAAUAUAUAUUAAACUAAAAUUUAAUUUAUUUUUAUCCAAAUAUAGUUAAUAUAUGGUCAAAUGCAUCUAAAGGUCCUUUAAGUUUUUCGUUUUCCCAAAGUGAUCUUUUAUGUUUCAAAAGUCCUAAACAAGUCCUUUUAGUUUUUGAAUCGUUUCAAACAAGUCCUAUUGUAGAUGACAUAAUUGGUAAUUGCUUCAUUGAACUCAUCUUUGGUAUCAAAUCUGACUCCUAACACCCACUUAAAAUUAGUCAUCUUUUUAGGCAUGACAAAUGGUGGAUAAUGUUCUUUGUUGCUAUCAUCUGAAUCAUCACCAUUAUUCUCUAAAAAGACUUGUUUGAAACGAUUCGAAAACUAAAAGGACUUGUUUGGGACUUUUGAAACUUAAAGGACCACUUUAGGAAAAACGAAAAACUUAAAAGGACCUUUAGAUGCAUUUGACCUUAAUAUAUUAAUUUAAAUAGUUGGAAAUAAUUAACAUCUUCAACGAAUUGCGGAAGAGGGACAAGUUCCUAUUAAUGCUCCUCAGGUUAUGGCUCCCAAUGAUUCUGUUGUGUUGGCGCCUAUGAAGAAGAGUCACAGCGGUCGUGGGUUAUCAUUUCCGCCCCGGGGUACUCGUUCUCUAGAGUCGGGACCUUGGAGUCUUGAGUGGUUGAGUGAUCAACAUCAUGGGGAUGCAGGCGUUAUCUCUUCAUCCAGAAAGAAAGUAAAGAAGGUGGUGUGGCCUAGUUCUCAUCCGGUUGACAACCUUGUUAAGAAACGUAAGAAGGUGAAUGGCGUCCUGCGUCAUUGUGUGCAUAGUCUGAAAAAAGCGGUCCGGUUACCAUGUAAAGACCGCUCAUCGGUUUUAAAAUUUUUGAAGAAAAAUGUUAGGAAACGUCAAGGUUCCGACCAGCUUAAGAAAGUGGUGGAGGUGGUGUCUCAAAAUGUUUAUGAUGGUAUUUCUUCAUCUGACUCUAUGAAUAAUGACUGGUCUCACUGGGUGGUUUUAUAGGGGAACGAGAAGGUUGCGCUGGAGGAUGUUUGGGGUAUUGGUAAGGCUAUUGGGGUUCAGUUCGACGGGGAGUCCCAUAAUAUGUUUGGGGUGUUAGCUAGAAAAGGUAGAGGAAGGGGUCAAACUAAUAGUGAGGUCACUCUGGAAGGAGGAGGUGCGGUGGAGAGGGGUCGUUAGGUGUCGGACGUGGAGGGUGUGAGGAAGGGUGAGGGUGUUAGGGAUGAAGUUGAUUUCUUGGAAUGUUAGGGGAUUGGGAGGCUUAGAAAAGAGAAAGGAUGUUCGUUCUCUAGUUAUCGAAAAGAGUCCGUUGAUUUUGUGUUUACAAGAAACUAAGAUGCAAGUGUGUGAUGACGGUUUUUGUGCUUCUCUAUGGGGUAGCUCUGCAGUCUCCUUUUCUUUUCGUCCUUCUCAAGGGGCGUCCGGAGGGUUGCUAACGUUGUGGGAUAACUCAGAGGUGGAAGUGUGGUCUUCUUUUAGUUGUCCGCAUUCUUUGAUCAUCAAUGGCCGUUUCAUCAAAUCCAAUGAGGAAUUUUAUCUCCUUGUGACGCUGCUUCCCGAAGACUUUUAUGGGAGUCUUUAUCUCCUCGAUUACAUAUUUUAAGGGGGAAGAAAGUUUGUGUUUGUGGGGAUUUUAAUGCAGUCCGUUGUAGAGAGGAGAGAAGGUCCGUUUCAGAAGGUAAUAUCAACUCAGAUUUUACAUAGUUCAAUGCUUUUAUAGACUCUAAUUUUUUGUGUGAUCUUCCUUUGGGAGGAAGAAUAUUUACUUGGUUCAAAGGGGACGGUAAGUCGAUGAGUAGGCUUGACCGGAGUCUGUUGUCUAAAGAGUGGUGUUUGUUGUGGCCUAAUUGCUUACAAAUUGCGCAGUUGAGAGGAUUAUUGGAUCAUUAUCCUUUGGUUUUGUCUGUGGAUGAGGAAAAUUGGGGUCCGAGACCAACGAGAUUGUUGCAAUGUUGGAAGGAUAUUCCGGGGUACAAUCAAUUUGUGAGUAGCAAGUGGAGUUCUUUUCAGGUAGAUGGAUGGGGGGGUUAUGUGUUAAAGGAAAAAUUGAAAAUGAUAAAAUUAGCUCUGAAGGAGUGGCAUGCUUCUCAGACUCAAAACUUACCUAGGAAAAUUCUUGACCUCAUGGAACGUAUGGCAGCCUUAGAUGGUAAAGGUGAAAUGGAGGUGCUGACUGAAGACGAAUGUGCUGAGUUACUUGGUGUUUCGUCGGAUAUACACUCUUUGUCCCGUCUUAAUACUAGUAUUUGUUGGCAGCAGUCCCGUGUUCAGUGGUUGCGAGACGGGGACGCAAAUUCUAAAUUUUUCCACUCAAUUAUGUCGGGGUGGAGGCGCCUUAAUACUUUGUGUUCUAUUCUGGUUGAUGAUGUGGUGGUGGAGGGAGUGCAACCUAUUCGUAAUGCUGUUUUCACUCACUUUGCAAAUAUGCAGUUCAGCUCGUUAUCAGUGGCGAAAGGGGUGAGUUUAAUAAAGCAUUUCUCGGUUGAUGAAGUAAAGGUAGCUGUAUGGGAUUGUGAUAGUUUCAAGAGUCCGAGUCCGGAUGACAUUAAUUUUGGCUUUAUAAAGGAUUUUUGGUCGAACAUGAAGGAUGAUAUUAUGAGAUUUGUGACUGAGUUUCACCGCAACGGUAAAUUGUCAAAAGGCAUCAACACUACUUUUAUUGCUUUAAUUCCUAAAGUUGAUAGUCCUCAGAAGCUUAAUGAUUUUCGUCCUAUCUCUUUGGUGGGGAGUAUGUACAAAAUUUUGGCAAAAUUGCUCACUAAUAGACUUCGAGGGGUGAUUGACUCUGUUAUCUCCGACUCAGCACAAGACAACGGCACUACUGGCCUUGUCCACCAUCUCGGUCUUCUCCGCUCGUGACAUGGUGACCGGUAACGAACCUUCACCUUCAAAGCUUUCUCACACUUCUGCUGUAUUAACACCGCUUCCAUCUUUACCUUCCAUAACCCGAAAUCGUUAUCUCCGGUAAACUUCUCAAUAUCCCACUCUGAACCCAUGGUACUUAAUUAUCCUUCGACCCUUGCCCCACAGUGGGCGCCAAUUGUUGUGAAUUCGAUGAAAAAUCACACCAAUAACAACUUGAUGUGUGGAGCAAGGGAUAAUUAAGCAACCAAAAACCAAAGUGUAUGAAAGUUAUAAAUACAAGCCAAAAGUAGAAAACAACGGCGAGAAGAACACAAAGAAGAAGAAGAACACAAAGAAAUUUGUUGACCCAGUUCGGUCCAAUCUGAGCUAGUCUGGGGGAGAGAGCAGCCCUCCAAUCCACUAUAUGAUGAGUACCGUUACAAAGAGAAAUCAAUGGGUUACAAGAAUAAGUCUCCCGCCUAAUUCUACCCAAAGUCCCAAUCUCUUCCCGUAACCAAGAGACUCCAAUCCUAAUAGUGUUUCCCAAGGUGAAUCAACCCACAAACCCUAGUGUUUGCUCCUAAGAGACAAACUCUAUACAAACCCUAGUUUUGUUGUUGCUUUUCUAAACCCUUGUUUCAGCACCCUCUAUCUCUCUCUCUCUCUCAAAGUUUAGCCUGAUACAAGGUCUAUAUUUAUAGUAAAAGUAUAACUCAUAAAUUUGGAACAAAUACCACACUGAAGAUACGUUUUUUUUCUCCUUCAGUGAAAGAAUAUUUGCAUCAAAAAUAUAAUAUUCCCUUUCAAAAUAUAUUUGCAUCAAAUCGUUCUUCAUACGAUACAAAAAUAUAUUUAUUGUCCAUAAAUAUAUCUUCAGCACAAUAUAUAUUUGAAACAAAUCUUUUAUAUUUUUAGCAACAAUAUUCUCCAUCCAUCAAAUUUUGAGUCAUACUACAACAUGUACUCUAAUUAUAUUUGACAUAAGUAUAAAAAAUUAAGGUACAUUGAAUAAUAGCAACAAUAGGGUAUGACUGUCACCAAUAUAAUGCUAAUCUAUUUAACAAAAUUUGGAUAAUAGUAUCCACGAUAGGUGAGAUUACAAUUAUACAAAUCAAUAAUAUUUAUGCUUAAGAGAAUAUGAUAAAAUAAUAUCAUGCAUAAACAAUUGUACAUAAUUUACUCAACUUUGAUCAUAUUCAAAUAAUAGAAAAACAUGCUUAACAAUAUUUUAAACUAGCACAUCAUAAUAUCCAUAUUAGAACUCUUAGAAUAUUUUUUUCCUUUCAAUACUCCCACUAUAAAUUAGAAUUAGAAUAUAAAUACAAAUGGAGUAUUAUAGUAAAAUAUAUAAGAAUUAUAGAGUUCUAUUUAGAAUAUUCUGGAAAAAAGAUUUCACUUCUAUAUAGGAUAUCAUAAUUGCACAACAAAAGAGAAUAAUGAAUAAAUGUUUUCAUAUGUGCAAUAAUAUACGAUAAGUCACAAUAGGAUAAAAAUAAUUAAAUCACGACUUACCUCGUAAUGUGUGACAUUCAUCCUUAUGCUUAGAGCCAACGACUUUUGAUGAUUUAAAGAUAAUAUCUUAUAAUAUAGUCAUCUCAAAAUAAUCAUGAAUAGAGAAUAAGUCAUUAUAACUAAACAUAUAUGAGACUCUAAUUAUAAAUCAAUAUGAUUUAUAUAAGAAUUUAGACAUAAGGAUGAUAUUUGGUUUAAAAUUGCCCCAAAUUUAAUAAGUUGUUUUGAUAAUAUUUAACUAAUAAACAACAAAGAGCGUGCAAAUUUUAAUUCAUAAUUAGAAUUUUAGCAUAAAAAAAUGUAACAAUGCACUAUAUAUAGUUUAAUAUUAUCUUGAUUCAAAAAUUUAAUUGUGAAAAGACACAUAAUUAAAGAGUUAGCAUUAUUUGUCACAAAAUUUAGAAUAAUAAAUUACGUGUCUAGAUUAGAGAGUAUAGUAGAAAGUAUAAUCUAUAUUAAAGAGAAAUAUGCCAAUUUAAAUUCAUUUAAUAUAAAUGGCAUCUAUAAUAUACAAUUCACUAUACUUAUUUUUUUUUUGGAUAAACCGGGAGUGUGGGCAUGCAUCAAGAGGAAACACCGACAUCCUAACUAGGUUGGCACCCCGGGGAACCUCCAUCCUAUACAGCUACGCUCAAAUUUUAUUAAAAAAAAGGGGGAAAAAUAAUUACAAAGAGGGGGGACUAGGCCAAAACCCUCAAAAACAAACAAAGAACAAAGAAAAGAAAUCACAGACUAAGGAAAUCUGUAAUUAGGAAGUCCACAUCUAUCACGAAAAUAAUCAAAGCCUAAAUCCGGUGGUAGAGUAGAAUGCCAAACCGCACUGGUGAUGGAAUGACCAAGGUUUGCUAACCUGUCAGCACAAACACUACCUUCACGAUAUAUGUGGGAUGAAAUAACCCAAACUCCUAGGCGAAGAGCAUUGUGCCAACGAUUGCGAAGCAUAAUAGGAACCAACGAGGGAGACUUGAAGACCACAAUGGCACUUGUAGAAUCGCAUUCCAACCAGAGAUUGGUCCAACCAUGGAGAGCCGCAAAUUCCAGGGCAAAGAUGAUCCCCUGAACCUCGGAAGAAAAAACUGAGGCAUGACCCAGAUUACAAGAAAAUGCACCGAGGAAAGUACCUAAAUGAUCACGGAAGAUACCACCACAAGCAGCCCGAUUAUUAACAACCGAGCCAUCCGUAUUCACCUUCUUCCACGGAGGAGAGGGAGCUUUCCAAGAAACUGUAAUGAUGUCCAUGACGCGUCGAUGAUGAGGAGAAACAGCGAAAGCAUCAAGAAUUGGAGCAUCCAAUAAUAAACAUUGACCAGCAGACAGGUUACCGCUUAGAGACACGGCAGCCUGUAAUCUAACCUUGGCAGCAUGAAUAGAUACAACAUUCGAUGAGAAGCGUAGAGAAUUUCGCGACAACCAAAUAAUAUGUAAAGUAUGAACGAUUGCCGCCACAAAGAUGUCAGCGACCUGCGUGGAGCACCUAACCGGAACACAAUCCGAGAGGGCAGCCACAGUAGUGAGAUCAAUCACACAAUUUAACUUACCCCCAAUCCAAGACCAAAGCUCAACCGCAAAGGGACAAAGGAGGAACAAAUGCACAGAAGUUUCAUCAGUUAGCAUAGAUAAAUUGCAAAUAGAAACAAUAGCACAACCUCUAGCACGGAGGUUCUCAUCAGUGGGCAUCUUGCUAUGCAUCAAACGCCAAUAAAUAAAGGAGUGGGACGGUGGUAUACAACACCUCCAUAUCAAGUCCGGCCAAAGAAGCGUAGGUGCAGCCGGUGUCAAAAAAGAUUUUGCAUGUUUUGCGGUCAGCCUACCAUCCGUUGUGUGUUGCCAAACUAGCACGUCAGCAAGAGGGGAGGUUGGCAACACCAAUGUGUCCAAAGCAGAGGCCACAUGCGGCAGCAAGGCACCUGGGAAGUUCCAUGCUCAUUGUUAAUCACAUCCGAAACUGUCCCGGAGAAUAGGUCAUGAAUGUUCGGAUCAACAUGAAGAAGAUCAAGAAGAGGCUCACCCAUCCAGUUAUAUGAUCCAUUAAAUCAAUUUGUGACAAAGAUUAAAGAAGGUGUCAAAAUUUAUAUAUGUGGAGAUUGAUUAAUUAGAGAUUUUUGGAUCUUUAUGCUAAUAAUAUGACAAAUAGAGAUGUAUAUAUGUCAAGAAUAUACACAGUAUAAUAGUCAAGUUAAUUUUGACAGGACAAAUAAUUGAGGAUAUCAAGAAAUCUCAAAAUAUAUAUUAAUAAAGAAUAUUUGAUGCAAGAAUAUAAGUUUGAGUCUAAGAAUUUUCACAAUCAUAUAACACUUUAAAAGAAUAUUUUACACAAAUUUUAUUACUAUAAAAAGUAUUCUCACAUCGGAUAUUUUAGACUCAAAUAUAAAGAGUAUAUGAUUUAAAAGAGUUUAUAAUUCUCGUAUUAUUUGCAUCUAAUAUAGGAGAUUUCAUGAAGUAAUUUAAAUCACAAAUUUUAAGGGUCCAGAAUAAAUCAAAUCUUUUUUAAAAAUAUUUUGGAUGCAAGAAAAAUUAUAUUUUUAUCUCAAAAUAAUAUAAUAUUUACUAGUUUAAGUAGAGAUGUAAGAUUCCUAAUUGACAGAUCAUCUCAAGUUUGAGAGAGUAAGAUUUUUCACAAAUGUCAAACAAGACUAAGGAAUAUACAUAUAAUUUUCACACAAAAAAAAAUGAAAAUAUAAUUUAAUUAUCCCCAAAUAAUAACAUAUAAAAUUAUUUACAUGUGUCAAAAAAUUCCAAUAUAAUGUGGCAAAAAUCAUAAGAAUAGUAAAUAACAUUUAUUUGGCAUUUCAAGGAAAUAAAGUUUGGAAUCUUAAGUCUGGCGGUUCCCAACAGUUUUUUUUUUUUUUUUUUAAGAACGGUUUCUUCUUUGCCCAAUUUGCCCAAAAACGGGUCGUAACGACCCACAAAUAACCCGAAUCAAUUUAGCACUACAGGAUUCAGGAAAUAACGAUAAAGUAUGGGUUAGGCUCAGAAUUGAUCGAAUAAGAUUUUCCCUCUUUCAAUUUCACGAAUUCUUAAUCUAAUCGAGAGAAAUUAGAUUAUUGGGGUUUUGCGGAAUCCGAAAAAAUAAGACUGAAUUCUUAUAUACGGUUCAUGGGAUAUAGGUUCCGGCAAAAGAUUGUAUCAACCAUCAACUUUUGUUCAACAUAUAUAAUAAAACUCUAGAUCAAGCUUGAAAUAGACCCUUUGAUUCACUAUUAAAUUGGUCUAAUAAGAAUAGAGUUCAUCAAUUGUUAAGAGUAGCCAUAUUCACUAAACAUAUUCACUAUAUAUUGAAACAAACAUAUGGCAUAAAGAGAUUAUGUUGAAGGUCAUACAGUACACGUUUCAUGUAUAUUGCCACUUUCAUGAAUCAUACAAAUUAACAAUCUAUUCCUACGAUUAGAGAGUGAUAGCCAUAAAUGUAUCUAUAUGGUUCUAAUACCAAUUGAUAAAAAAAUUAGAAUUCAGGCAUGGAUCACUAGAUACGAGUUAUAGCAUAUCAGUAUCAAAGAAGGAAGAAGAAUUUGUGUACCUUGAAUUAUGUUGAUGAAUGAUAAUUGUCAUGACACGAAUGAUAACUGUCAUGACACGAAUGACUACCCUCAUUCCGUCUAGGUUUGCACCAUGCUGGUCAGAAUGUUUAACACGUUUAAAUAGCUAAACGGCUGAGGGCAGGGACCACUCAUUGGGCUUAGCUAAAUGGUCCAACCCAUCACGGUCCAUUUAGAAAGAAUAGCCCAAUCACACAUAUCCAUCUACUAAUUAGUGCUUAACACAAUAGACCAUAAUUUAUAGAGUAAAUAGUCAAUUUCCUCCCUGAAAUUGUAAGUUUCAUCUGUUGGAACAAAAUGUGUUUCACAAUGAACCUUAUUUAGUUUUGAUGAUAACAAGGUAUUAAAAAUUGUCAAUUGGUUAUUACUAAUGAUUAUUCAAGUGUACAGGACCAAAAGCUUGUCAAGCAAUUUCAAUAGGUCUUGGAAGAACAAUGAAAAGCAAAAGAAUUCCAAGCAUCUGAAGAAAACUGCUCCUGAAGCUGAAGUGCCUCUGAAGAGAUGACGUCAUCAGAAGCAGAAGAUCAUCAGAAGCAAGGUUUUCAUCAGAAGCAAAAUACCUUCACCAGAAGCUACAUUUGAUCCCUUAAUCAAACUGAAGAUUCAAAGUAGCUGUCUCUCAAUUCAGUCUUAUCCAAGAAGAACGAAGAAUUGAAAGGGAGGUAUCAACGGUCAUAUGGAUAUCACUGAGCACUUGUCUCCUAUUAACAGAGUUGACAUAGUACAAGUGUACAACCACUACCUCCACUACUCUGCUUUUGUCUACGCUACAAGACAAGACAACAGCCUUGCCUGCAGAUUCUGCGCCUUCAAGAUGGGAAUGAAUUUGAAGAUUAUUAUUCAAAGGACUACACCCAAAUCAGGCAAAGGAUUACUGGUGGAUGAUCAAAGGAUUUCAAACGACUCUUUAGACGUGCUGAUUAUCUCAACGUCUCUUUCACGCCUCUAUAUAAAGGAGUGAAGACUUGAAGAUAGUAGAUAGAGAUAUACAAGUUCAAAAGCGCCAAAACUCUGUCAAAUUGAUUCUACAAAGCACACAGAAUUUCUGCACUGAUUUGAUACAUCUUAGAAAUUCAAAGUCUAGAGUCUUUACUGUAUUGUAUUGAGAACACCACUGAUUGUAUAUCAAGUGUUCAAGUCAAACUCAAUUCUCUGUAUUUUUUGUUUGAUCAGAAGUCUCUUGCCUGCGUGCUUGAGCAUUAGAAGUCUCUUGCUUAGUGCUUGAGCAUUGGAAGACUCUUGCGUGUGUGCUUGAGCAUCUUUGUGAAGUCUCAUACUUAGAAAGUAUUGAGCAGUUGUAAUCGUUGUGAUUAUAGUGAAAUCUCCUUGGAAGUGCAAGGGGGACUGUACUACUUCCGUGUUGUGGAAGGAACCAGGAAAACUGCUUGUGUCUUUGUCUUUCUUUUCUCUGCUAUGUUCUUUUCCGCUGCAAAUCUUAUUCUGAUUAUUUCAUCAGAAGCACUCACAAACUGCUUCUGAAGUUUUAUCAGAAGAAGAAUUUUUAGAGAGAAAAAGAAAACACAAUUCAACCCCCCCCCCCUUGUGUUUUUCUCACCUUCAAUUGGUAUCAGAGCUUGCUCUGUUAUCAUAGCGCUUAACAGUGUUACAGAUCAAGAUCCUAUAGAAAAACAUGUCUAAAGGAGAAGAAUCAAAUACUACCACAAAAUACACAAGUGUCAAACAUGAUUAUGAUACUGCUGACAAGAAAACAGACUCUGGUAAAGCUCCUAAGUUUAAUGGAGAUCCAGAAGAGUUUUCAUGGUGGAAAACAAAUAUGUAUAGCUUUAUCAUGGGUUUGGAUGAAGAGCUAUGGGACAUAUUGGAAGAUGGAGUUGAUGACCUGGAUUUAGAUGAAGAAGGAGCUGCUAUAGACAGAAGAAUACAUACUCCUGCUCAGAAAAAGCUUUACAAGAAGCACCACAAAAUUAGAGGGAUUAUUGUGGCUUCUAUACCUCGCACCGAAUAUAUGAAGAUGAGUGACAAAUCUACUGCAAAGGCUAUGUUUGCGUCACUAUGUGCCAACUUUGAAGGCAGCAAGAAGGUGAAAGAGGCUAAAGCUUUGAUGCUUGUUCAUCAGUAUGAACUAUUCAGAAUGAAGGAUGAUGAGAGUAUUGAAGAAAUGUACUCAAGAUUUCAAACUUUGGUUUCUGGAUUGCAAAUACUGAAGAAAAGCUAUGUUGCUUCUGAUCAUGUCAGUAAGAUUUUGAGAAGCUUACCUUCAAGAUGGAGACCCAAAGUAACUGCUAUUGAGGAAGCUAAGGAUCUAAACACUUUAAGUGUUGAAGAUCUUGUUAGCUCACUCAAAGUGCAUGAAAUGAGUUUAAAUGAGCAUGAAUCCUCUAAGAAGAGUAAAUCCAUUGCUUUACCAUCUAAAGGAAAGACUUCAAAAUCUUCAAAAGCCUACAAAGCCAGUGAAUCUGAAGAAGAAUCACCUGAUGGAGAUUCUGAUGAAGAUCAGUCUAUGAAGAUGGCUAUGUUGUCCAACAAACUUGAGUAUCUGGCAAGGAAGCAAAAGAAAUUUUUGAGCAAGAGAGGUGGCUACAAGAACUCAAAGAAAGCAGAUCAGAAGGGGUGCUUCAACUGCAAGAAGCCUGGUCAUUUUAUUGCUGAUUGCCCUGAUCUUCAGAAGGAGAAAUCUAAAAGCAAAUCCAAGAAAUCAAGCUUCAGCUCCAGUAAAUUUAGAAAGCAAAUCAAAAAGAGCUUGAUGGCAACCUGGGAAGAUUUGAACAGUGAAUCUGGUUCUGAUAAAGAAGAAGCAGAUGAUGAUGCAAAGACAGCCAUGGGGUUAGUGGCAACAGUAUCAUCUGAAGCAGUUUCAGAAGCUGAAUCAGAUUCAGAAGAUGAAAAUGAGGUAUAUUCCAAAAUUCCUAGACAAGAACUUGUGGAUUCUCUAAAAGAACUUUUAUCACUGUUUGAGCACAGAACCAAUGAGUUGACAGAUUUAAUAGAAAAAUAUGUUGAUUUAAUGAAACAACAAAAGUCAACUCUAUUGGAACUAAAAGCUUCUGAAGAAGAACUAAAAGGGUUUAACCUCAUAUCAACAACAUAUGAAGAUAGACUCAAAACUCUUUGUCAGAAGCUACAAGAAAAAUGUGAUAAAGGUUCAGGCAAUAAACAUGAGAUUGCCUUGGAUGAUUUUAUUAUGGCUGGAAUAGACAGAAGCAAAGUUGCUUCUAUGAUCUACAGCACAUACAAGAACAAUGGCAAAGGGAUUGGAUACUCUGAGGAGAAAUCCAAAGAAUACAGUCUCAAGAGCUACUGUGAUUGUAUCAAGGAUGGAUUGAAAUCCACCUUUGUGCCUGAAGGUACAAAUGCUGUAACUGCUGUUCAGUCAGAACCUGAAGCUUCUGGUUCAAAGGCUAAGAUCACAUCAAAGCCAAAAAACCUCAAGUCCAAGGUUAUGACAAAAUCUGAUCCUAAGAGUCAAAAGAUUAAAAUUCUGAAAAGAUCAGAACAUGUUCAUCAGAGUCUGAUUAAACCAGAAUCUAAAAUCCCAAAGCAAAAGGAUCAGAAGAAUAAAGCAGUUACUGCUUCUGAGAAAACAAUACCAAAAGGUGACAAACCUAAAGUAUUGAAUGAUCAAAAGCCUCUCAGCAUUCACCCUAAGGUACAAGGGAGGAAAAGUAAAACCUCCAGAACUAACCCAAAAGGACCCAUGAAGAUAUGGGUACCUAAAUCUGAAUUAGCUAAAACUGCAGGUGUGCCUAAGGGCAAGAGAGAAACAAAGGUCAUGGUACCUAGACAGCGGAUGUUUAAGGCACAUGACUGGAGAGAAAGCUUUGUUCCUUACCCUUACAAUGAAAGAUGGAGGAGAAGUGAAGUUUGGUGGCAACCAAACUGGAAAAAUCAUUGGUACAUGUACUAUUGGUAACUCCUCCAUCUCAAUUAAUAAUGUGUGGCUAGUAGAUGGUCUGAAGCAUAACCUAUUGAGCAUUAGUCAAUUUUGUGACAAUGGGUAUGAUGUAAUGUUCAGUAAGACCAACUGCACACUAGUCAACAAGGAUGACAAAUCCAUUACAUUCAAGGGAAAGAGAGUUGAGAAUGUCUAUAAAAUAAAUUUCUCUGAUCUGGCUGAUCAGAAGGUAGUUUGCCUUAUGUCAAUGAAUGAUAAAAAAUGGAUAUGGCAUAAAAGGUUGGGACAUGCUAAUUGGAGAUUAAUUUCUAAAAUUAGCAAGUUACAACUUGUCAAAGGAUUGCCUAACAUUGAUUAUCAUUCAGAUGCACUCUGUGGUGCAUGUCAGAAAGGGAAGAUUGUGAAAAGUUCUUUCAAAUCUAAAGACAUUGUAUCAACCUCUAGACCCUUGGAAUUACUCCAUAUUGAUCUUUUUGGACCAGUUAACACUGCAUCCUUAUAUGGAAGUAAAUAUGGAUUAGUCAUUGUUGAUGAUUACAGCAGAUGGACUUGGGUAAAAUUCAUUAAAAGUAAAGAUUAUGCUUGUGAAGUGUUUAGCAGCUUCUGCACUCAAAUACAAUCUAAAAAAUGGGGUUGUAGAGAGAAAGAACAGAACUUUACAAGAAAUGGCCAGAACCAUGAUCCAUGAAAACAAUUUAGCUAAACAUUUCUGGGCAGAAGCAGUUAAUACUUCAUGUUAUAUUCAAAAUAGGAUCUAUAUUAGACCUAUGUUGGAGAAAACUGCAUAUGAACUCUUUAAAGGAAGAAGACCCAAUAUCUCUUACUUUCAUCAGUUUGGAUGUACUUGUUACAUUCUAAACACUAAAGACUAUCUGAAGAAAUUUGAUGCCAAGGCUCAAAGAGGAAUCUUUUUAGGUUACUCUGAAAGGUCAAAGGCAUACAGAGUGUAUAAUUCAGAAACACAUUGUGUUGAAGAAUCUAUGCAUGUUAAAUUUGAUGAUAGAGAGCCUGGAAGUAAAACUCCAGAGCAAAGUGAAAGUAAUGCAGGUACAUCUGAUUCUGAAGAUGCAUCAGAAUCUAAUCAACUUUCUGAUUCUGAAAAGAAUUCAGAAGUUGAAUCUAGUCCAGAAGCUGACAUCACUCCAGAAGCUGAGUCAAAUUCAGAAGCUGAACCUAGUCCAGAAAUACAGAAUGAAAAUGCUUCUGAGGAUAUUCAAGAUAACUCUCAGCAGGCUAUUCAACCUAAAUUCAAGCACAAAUCUUCACACCCUGAGGAGCUAAUCAUUGGAAGCAAAGAUAGUCCUAGAAGAACAAGAUCACAUUUCAGACAAGAAGAGUCAUUAAUAGGAUUGCUUUCAAUAAUUGAGCCUAAAGUUGUUGAAGAAGCUCUCUCAGAUGAUGGUUGGAUACUAGCUAUGCAAGAAGAACUAAAUCAGUUUCAGAGGAAUGAUGUGUGGGAUCUGAUACCCAAACCUUUUCAGAAGAACAUUAUUGGAACAAAAUGGGUAUUCAGAAACAAGUUGAAUGAACAAGGAGAGAUAACCAGAAACAAAGCCAGACUUGUUGCUCAAGGUUACAGUCAACAAGAGGGCAUUGAUUACACUGAAACAUUUGCUCCAGUUGCAAGAUUGGAAGCAAUCAGGUUACUUCUAUCCUAUGCAAUUAAUCAUGGCAUAAUAUUGUAUCAAAUGGAUGUCAAAAGUGCUUUUCUUAAUGGUGUCAUUGAAGAAGAAGUUUAUGUGAAACAACCUCCUGGAUUUGAGGAUCUUAAGCAUCCUGACCAUGUUUAUAAACUUAAGAAAUCACUAUAUGGCUUGAAACAAGCUCCCAGAGCUUGGUAUGAUAGACUAAGUAAUUUCUUAAUUAAAAAUGAUUUUGAAAGAGGACAAGUUGAUACAACACUCUUCAGAAAGACUCUUAAGAAAGACAUUUUGAUUGUGCAAAUAUAUGUUGAUGAUAUAAUAUUUGGUUCUACUAAUGCAUCUCUUUGCAAAGAAUUUUCUAAGUUAAUGCAGGAUGAAUUUGAAAUGAGUAUGAUGGGAGAAUUGAAGUUCUUUCUUGGAAUUCAAAUCAACCAAAGUAAAGAAGGAGUAUAUGUUCAUCAAACAAAAUAUACAAAGGAGCUUCUGAAGAAGUUUAAGCUAGAAGAUUGUAAAGUGAUGAACACUCCAAUGCAUCCAACCUGCACCUUAAGCAAAGAAGAUACUGGAACAAUAGUAGACCAGAAGCUAUACAGAGGUAUGAUUGGUUCUCUGUUAUACCUCACUGCAUCUAGACCUGAUAUUUUAUUCAGUGUAUGCUUGUGUGCAAGAUUUCAAUCAGAUCCUAGAGAAUCUCAUUUAACUGCUGUUAAGAGAAUCUUCAGGUAUUUGAUAGGAACAACUAAUCUUGGACUCCUGUAUAGGAAAUCCCUAGAUUAUAAGUUGAUUGGAUUCUGUGAUGCUGAUUAUGCUGGUGACAGGAUUGAAAGAAAAUCAACCAGUGGAAAUUGUCAAUUCCUGGGAGAGAAUCUGAUAUCCUGGGCAAGCAAAAGACAAGCAACUAUUGCUAUGUCUACUGCAGAAGCAGAAUACAUUUCAGCUGCAAGUUGUUGUACACAACUACUUUGGAUGAAACAUCAGUUGGAAGACUAUCAGAUUAAUGCUAACAGUAUUCCCAUUUUUUGUGAUAAUACUGCUGCUAUUUGUUUGUCAAAGAAUCCAAUUCUACAUUCAAGAGCCAAGCACAUUGAAAUCAAACACCAUUUUAUCAGAGACUAUGUUCAAAAAGGGAUUUUAGAUAUACAAUUCAUUGAUACUGAACAUCAAUGGGCUGAUAUAUUUACAAAACCUUUAUCUGUUGAAAGAUUUGAUUUUAUUAAGAAAAAUUUGAACAUGCACUUUGUGUCUGAUUGAAAAAUUGCUUGCCUCUGAAUAAGAAGUUUUUGGUUCUGAAGUUUAUUCAGAAGCAUCUGGUCCAUUAGAAGCUCUUAACUGAGGUUCUGAGGAAAAUGUGCUUCUGAAGAUGACGUCAGCACUAAUACUUCAGAAAAGGUAUUAUUUGCUUCUGAAUAGCAAGGCUAGUGGGAACGUUGGCAGUUACUUUUUGUGACAGCUGUCCCAUUACUCAAAGGUUAGUUUUCUAAAAAGUCUCUGACGUGGUCUAUUUGUAUUGGAGUAUAACAAAAAAAAAGGGCAAUGAUGUUUUACUUGCUUUUAAAUAUACUAUCACGCGCCCCCAAUUUGUCAUUAAUUCUAUGUUUGUUUGUCUCUACAAGAAGCAGAAGUUAAUGGGUUACUUCAGUCUUCUCAAUGGUCCGACCUAUGAAGUUCUGGUCAGACAAUUCUAGGUAAGAGCUUCUGUUUUUGACAAAUAUGCUGCUAAACAGGAAGAAGCUCAGAUGAUCCUGGUUGAUCCUACUUUGGAGGGAAAAACCAGAGAAGAAAUGGGUCUACUCGCCUUCACUGGGACUGAGAUUAGAUCAAGCGUCAUGGGGAUUCCUGUAACCAUCAAUGAGCAGGUUAUUGCUCAAGCCAUGAGAAGGGAUGCUUCUGGGACGUAGUGUGGAGAAGAAACUGCUGCUAAAGAUCCAGAAUGAGAACAUCUUUCCCAAAGGUGGAGGAAGUGAUCAACCUUCACUUGGUCACAAAGUCUUUCUGCAUCACACCAUCACUCAGGAAACAACAAUGAACGUUCCCAAGUAUAUGUUUAAAUACAUGAUCAAGGAACUUAAGAAGAGUCAGAUGGAGAACAGGAAGUACGUUCCUUAUGGAAGGCUGCUCUUUAUAAUCUUUCAAGAAGGAGGAAUCCUAAGUGCCCUGAAAGACGUGGGCAUUUAUGAUAAUCAGAAGCUGGGAGCAGUCACAGGAAAAAUAAUCAAUGGGGCAACUCUGGUAAAGAUGAGGCUGACUUCAACUUGCAAGAAACUAGAUACAAAUAUGCAUGAAUCUGAUGUCAUAUCUGAUCUAGUCACUCAUCACAUCCCUAUAUGCAAGAAAGAUCCCCUGGAUGUGCAAAGGGCUUACAUCAUGGACUUCUACAAAACCUACAAUAAGAAGAUUGAUCUGAAGGAUGUCCCUGAUGAAAUGUAUAGUGGUGCUCUGCCUGUGGCUAAAGGCAGAAAAUCCAAGAAGAAGCAUAUCACCAAGGAAGUAUACCUUGCUGAUGAUGCUACUGAGAAGGGUGCUCAGAAGCAUCAGAAAGCCAAGAAGGAAAAAUCUGCUAUGUCCACUAUUCAUGAGGAAGUGGAGGAUUUGGAUGAUGUCCCUCUUAUCAGGAAGAGGACAAGGAGUGCUCAAGAAACAGCAGAACAGCCUGCUUCUGAACAAACUGGUUCUGAACAAGCUGCUUCUGAUCAAGCUACUUCUGAAAAGCCUCUAAGUCCCAAAAAGAAAAGAGAAGCUGCUCUUCAGACCAUCAAAAGGAAGAGGUUUAAUAUAACAAGAAAUCUGAAGACAGCUGAGGGACGUAAAGAACAGAUGUUGGAAGAACUGGAAGAGAACUGGGAUGAGGACUCAAGUCCUAAGAAAGUGAAGAGGACUAUCAGCACUGAGCCUGAAGUCAUGCCCAGUUUUGAAGCAUCUGAGACUCAACUAAAAGAAGCUGAUGAGUAUGCCAGAACCAGAAUUUCAGAGAGGAAGAGGAUGAAGGAAGUUUUUGAGAAAGAAAGGGAAGAUCAGCUCAAGGCUGCAGGGUAUGAGCCUGAUCCUACAAUUGCUGCUAUGGCUUCUGAGAUGGAAACUAUUCAGCUUGGAGCAUCUUUGCUGACACAAGCUUUGAAGAAUAAGCAAGCUUCAGAAGCAUCAUCUUCAGAUCCUUCUGCAAAAGCUCCAGAAGCAUCUUCAAAAGCUAAUUCUUCAGGUACUUCAUCUCAGGUUCCCUCUUGUACUCAGACUCAAACUCUACCUACUCCACCCUCUUCACCUUCCUCAUCAUCAUCCACAGAAUCUGAUGAACCUAACCUGAACAAAGACAUAGAUAAUCUCCUUAACACUAAACCCACAAAACUAACAGAGUUAGGAACCUUUGACUUUGAGCAGACACAAAUUGAAUUUUCCAAGAACAGAAUUAAACUCUGUGAAAAAUUCAAUUUGCCCGCUUCACAUCCUUUAUAUCCAGUAGUUCCAGAAGCUGUCAGUAUACAACACCCACAACCAAACCAAGAACCUACCCAAACAAACUCACCAAAUAACCCAACUCCACAAAGAGCCUCUGAAGUAGUUUCAGAAGCAACUACUUCAGAAACCCCCCAACAACAAGAAUCCUCAACCCUUCACAACCUAGAAAAACAUCUAGGUGGUGAAAGACAACCAACACCCACAAAGGCCUCUAAGACAGUCCCUGAAAAGACUGUUUUGGAAAACCAAUAAGAAACCCAAACCAUCCCUGAACAAACUGUUCAGGAGCAAACUACUUCUGAACAAGUUGUUCCUGACCAACAAACAUCUCCUGACCAAGAGUUUGGUGCUUCUGAACAGUCUGUUCAUGAACAUCAUGACUCUGACCAAACAACAAAACAACAACAACCAGCUUCACCCACUUUCAUAGACUUAACCUCUGACCAACCCUCCUCAUCAAACACAAAUCAAACUGAACCCUCACCCAUUCCUGACAAUAUCCUUGAGACUGAGUAUAUUGAGGAACAACUGAUCAGACUUAGUGAGGAGAUUCAGACACUGAUUCUUCGCAGAACAGUUCAUGUACCUCCUAUUCACUAUUAUGAUCAGUGGAUGGAUCUGGAGAAAAGCUUUGUUGAUCUGAUGAGUCAGCUCAUAACCAAAUGUGUCUCAUCUCACUCUGCUAUGCUGAAGAAGCUGUUGGAUGAUAUGCAUGAAGCAGCCAAGGAGAAAGAGCUGAAUUUUGUGCCUCUGCUGGACAUCACUCCUUACUAUCCAGAAGAAGAGUACAUCACAAGGGCUGCAAGAAUUCAUGCUGGGCAUAAAAGGAAAAUGAGAGAAAAGGAUGAGUGUUAUACCCUGUUUUUGGACCUAAAAAUACUGGGCCCAAUUUCAUUUCAAACUUUGUCGAUUAUCAAAUUUCAACUGCACAGUUCAAAUUGUCUCUGCCUCGCAGUAUUUUCAAUCACAAUUUUACCUAUGUUUUUCUUGCAUAAAACCUUUCAAAAUGUCUUUACUUGUCUUGUGAGUCAUUCAAAAGUGUCUCUGAAUCAUUACAUUGCUUUUUCUACAGUUUAUUUCAAAAUUUGCAAAAAGUCAUACAGAAGGGUAUUUUGGUCAUUUCCUGCAGUGGGACCUAUUUUCAUCCUUGUGACUGUCUCUGAGUCUUUUCAGAUUAUUUUUAAACAUUUCAUCAGUAGACCUUGUUAAAAUUCAUUUCAAACUUGCAUCUGAGUCAGUGUCGAGUCAAUUUGAUUCUGUUUAGGUCAUUUUUAGCCCUAGGGGCAUUUUGGUCAUUUCACAUAAAAUUUUGGCAUGGGGAGGUUACUUUGAAGUACCUCAUUUAGGCCAUUGGUUCGUUUUAGUCCGUUUUGUCAAUUUUAUUUUGGUUUCACUUUACGUUUGAUCAAAUUGCGUUUUUUAUUCAAAUUUUAUUUUUUAUUGCAUUUUGGUCCCUCAAUUAAGGUCCCAAAAUUGCAUUUCAGUCCAAAAGUUUCUAAAAAUUGCAUUUCAGUCCUUUUUUAUUAUUUUUUUUUUUUUUGCAGAAAAGGUCCCAGGGGCAUUUUUGUCCAGAAUUUUCGCACAUUUUAGUCCAGUCCAGAUGUCACUUUUUUAUUGGUUCAGGUACACAUGGCAGCAUAUAAAAGGGGAACAGUGUCAGAUUUUUUCAGGGAUCCAUUCAUUACAAUACACAUCACCAAAAACAAAUUCCCAUUUUCUCUCUCUUUUCUGUUAGAUCAAAAACAGAAAUUUCUCAAGAACAAAACAGAACCCUAACCGAAAUUCAUCAUCAAAUUCUCAGAGAUUCGUGUACGAAUCUUCAUCAUCGAAUCGAUUCCACCGCAAUACAAGGUGCGAAUUCCUCACCGGAAGUGAAGAACUCAAGCACCGAUCACGGUAGGGAAAAAGAGGGAAAACCGAAUCUGCACAGAGGAAGGAGAAGAAGACAGAAUCAAAGAAACAGCAAGCAAAACGCGCACGCAAGCAAGCACACGCGCAAGCCAGCAAGCAAGCAAGCAAAACGCGCACGCAAGCAAGCACGCACGCAAGCCAGCAGGCAAGCGAGCAAGCACGCGAAGCACAAGCAGCAAGAGCCGUAACAGAAAACAAGAAGAGGUAAGCAUCCUCUUCGUUCGCAUCUCUUCCUUUUUCCACCGUUCUUUUACAAAAAUUUCAUCAAGAUUCAAACUCAGAUCUACUCCGAUUCAAGCUUUUUUCGAAAAAUCUAAGUUCGGAUUCGAGAAGUAUAUAAAAAAGGAUAUCUAAAAAUGUGAAAAUUUCUCGAAUCGGAGCAUUUUGAUUUUCCGGCACGGUGGCGCCGCCGCCAUCCGCCGCGCCGGAACGGAGGAGCUGGCCGGAGAAGAUGACCGGAAAGUUAGAGAGAAGGAGGAGCUUCUCUCUCUAAAAGAGAGAAGAAAGAGAAAGAGGAGUAACAAAUGAAAAAAACCGGACUUGAAGCAUAUAUAUAGAGCUUUGAACCGGUCCGGUUUAUUUUCGGUUUUUUCCUUUUCUUUUUCAGCCUCUAGAUCAAUCCAACGUCUCCUGUGCAAUCUGAGUUUUGUGUAUUGGGCUUUGGUUUGGGCUUAGGUUUUUUACGUUUUUUUGUUAUUUCCCUGCUAUCUGCACCAUAUGUCUUUGCUAUCAGCACCUGUUGCUUGCUCACUUUUUUACAAAAAAUUCCUAAAAAAUCCUAGUUGUUUCUUGAUAUAUUUUUGGUAUUUCUAUGGUGUUUUUGCAUAAAAAAAAUGGUAAAAUGGCAUGAAUUAAUUUCCAUGUGUGUUUACAUUUUUGGGUAUUAUUUUGGUUAUGUUUUUGUUCUUGACACUUUGAUGUGUGACAUGAACAAAUGAUACCCAAUCUUGUGAUGAAUACGCCUCUGGUCAUGUGCUUUCUUGCUGGUUUUUGGAUAUGAUUUUGUAAAUUUCUUGUUUUGCAAGCAACAAGUGUGUGUUUUAAGGAAUAAAGUGUCAAAUUCCUCUAGGAGUUUGGUGUGAUACUUUGCUUGCAUGUGUCUCUAUUAAUUCCGCAUCAUGGCUUGAAACUAAAUCUCUUUCAAAAUCGCCAUGAUGUGAUGAUUAUGGGUCACAAGCACAUUUAGGUAUCAUAUCAAAUUUUUUAUAGGUUUUUACCAUUUUAUUACUUCCUUUUUGCUAUUCUUAUACAAUCUCUUUUUAUUUAUCUCUUACUAUUUCAUGCUUUAUGAUUACUAACCAUUUCAUCUCAUGUGACAUACAUUUCAUAGCAUCCCACUAUCUCCUCCACUUUCUUUAGCUUAGCAUUUAUUCUCUUUGCAAGUUUUAACUCAUUUGGUGAUGUAAUUUGUUAUCAUUGGUUUGUAGCUUGGCAAAGGGGCCAUAGAAUGUAUUUAGGCAAUUGUUGUAAUAUGGACUAUGGACACUAUGACGCACCGACACGCACACACUCACCUUAGAUGUAUGCAUAGGAUUGUAUGGUUAAAUAAGCGUUUAGGUUUUAAAUACUUAGAGAAAAUCCAUCUUUUUCCAAAAAACAAUUGAACUUCACUUCAAUAAAUUUCAUAGUAAAUAUGAAGUCAACACUUCAUUUUUUUUCUUUUCUUUUUCUUAAGGAAAAUUCAAUUCAUCUUAACCAUUUAGACUUUCUUUCUAAUCACUAAUCAAACCUCACUUUUUUGCUAAAUCUAAUGCUCAUGAAGCCUCCCAAUCUCCUUCUUCAAAACCAUUUUCAAAACUUAAAAUCAAACAAUUAAAACAAAAACAAGUUUUUUAGCAAGAACUACGAACGGUUUUGAUCCCUUAAAAAGGGUACGUAGGCAAUGAGUCAAAACUCAUCCAAGCCGAAAUAAAAUUAAAUUCUACAACUUCUCUCCCCACAUUCUUAGCUAAAUAAACCUCCCAUUUUCAAAAGUAAGUAAAAAUAAGCGUGAAUAUAGACUUAGGAAAACGGCUCCUAUAGAGGACUAUAGUUACUCCGGGUGCCUAACACCUUCCCGUAGUAAAACCGACCCCCGAACUUAGAAUCUAAGGGUUUUUCUCAAUUUUUCCCUUCCCAAGAAAAAAGAGAGAUAUCAACGGUCGAAAGGUACAAGUCCAAUUAAUGGCUUGGCACCCAAAAACCAUGAUAACAGAAAUGGCGACUUCACUGGGGACUCAUUUUAGCGGGUCGCGCCUAGUUUUCUUUAGUUUAUAUUUACGCUUGUUUUAUUGCUUACAUAUGUGAAUAUUUGUUUACUUUCAUUCAACGUGUGGGGUGAGAAUAUCAAAAGUCCUAACCCGGGCUGAGUGAACUUAUGUUUAGGUAGAGAUAUAAUCGACAAUUCGAUCCGGGGGUUGCCUCGUGUAUUGGAUUAUGCGAUCAAUCUCACAUAGCUGAGGCAUUUUGAAGGUGAUAUUGUCGGCGUGUGUUGUCAUGCUUAGGCACUUCACUUUCAAUUGUUCGACGAAGCUAUGAACCGUAGUUACCAAACCCAUCCUAGCCUUUUUUAGGACGUAGUGCGGUGGCUAAAUUGAGUGUUGUCUCAAACUUUAGUCGUCACGCGAUACUACACUCAAACUAGACCUUCUCACAAAUAAUCAGGGAACGGGUGUCGUCCUGUACCACCAUGAUAUAUGUGAGAGAGGUUGCAGUUUGGGAACGGUGUUAGAACCUUGGUUACUACUAUCCAAAGCCUUAGUUCACCGGACGCCGUGUCCAUCCAUGGCCCUGUUACUUUGAAACUCAACCCACCUUGUUCUUUGUAACUAAACAAAACAAUCAUGCAUACAUGCAUUCAUGCAUAAACAUUUUUCAUGCAUUCAUCGAAGGGUUUAAACAAAUGAGAAUUUUUUGUAAAUAAUCACAGGUAUGAAGAAGACUAAGUGCUACAAGUUCAAGGAAGUGGAUCUGGUUGGUUUGAGAGAGUUGGCACUCAAGGUCAAGAGUCAAACAGGGUUCCGACUCCGGUAUGGGGGAUUGCUUACUUUGCUCCGAACCGAUGUGGAUGAGAAGCUAGUGCACACUCUAGUGCAAUUUUAUGAUCCGAGCUUCCGUUGCUUCACUUUCCCGGACUUCCAGUUGGUUCCUACUCUCGAGGCUUACUCCAAUCUAGUGGGUCUGCCUAUAGCCGAGAAGACACCUUUCACCGGUCCCGGGGCUCCUCUUACUCCUCUGGUUAUUGCUAAGGAUCUCCACCUCAAGACUUCCGACGUCUCCAACCAUCUUAUUACCAAGUCUCACAUCCGGGGGUUCACUUCAAAGUAUCUUCUUGAUCAGGCUAAUCUCAGUACUACUCGUCAGGAUACACUCGAGGCUAUUCUUGCUUUGCUUAUCUACGGGCUCAUUCUCUUCCCGAACCUCGACAACUUCGUGGACAUGAAUGCUAUCGAGAUCUUUCAUUCCAAGAACCCGGUUCCUACUUUGCUAGCGGAUACCUACCACGCCAUCCAUGACAGGACUCUCAAGGGCCGUGGGUAUAUUCUUUGCUGCACAUCUCUUUUGUAUAGGUGGUUUAUUUCGCACCUUCCGAGUUCCUUCCAUGAUAACUCGGAAAUUUGGUCCUACUCUCAGCGGAUUAUGGCUCUCACUCCUAAUGAGGUCGUCUGGCUCACUCCUGCCGCUCAAGUGAAGGAAAUCAUUAUGGGUUGUGGAGACUUUCUCAAUGUACCUCUUCUUGGUACUCGUGGAGGAAUCAACUACAAUCCCGAGCUUGCUAUGAGACAGUUUGGUUUCUCUAUGAAGUCGAAGCCCAUCAAUCUUGCCACAUCUCCAGAGUUCUUCUUCUACACGAAUGCUCCUACCGGACAAAGGAAAGCUUUCAUGGAUGCUUGGUCCAAGGUUCGAAGGAAAAGCGUGAGGCAUCUAGGUGUGAGAUCCGGUGUCACUCAUGAGGCCUAUACCCAGUGGGUGAUAGAUCGAGCUGAGGAGAUUGGUAUGCCUUAUCCAGCUAUGAGAUACGUGUCUUCGUCUACUCCAUCUAUGCCUCUACCUCUACUCCCCGCGACUCAGGAUAUGUAUCAGGAGCAUCUAGCUAUGGAGAGUCGUGAGAAGCAAGUGUGGAAAGCUCGGUACAAUCAAGCCGAGAAUCUAAUCAUGACUUUGGAUGGUAGAGAUGAGCAGAAGACUCAUGAGAAUCUAAUGUUGAAGAAAGAGCUAGCUAAGGCCCGGAGGGAAUUGGAAGAGAAAGACGAGCUGCUUAUGAGGGAUUCCAAGAGAGCUCGAGGACGACGAGAUUUCUUUGACAGAUACUGUGAUUCAGAUUCCGAGUCCGAUGAUCUUCCGACUACUUCCUAUGCUUGAGAGCUUUAUUUGUUUACUUUGUUGAAAAUGUUGUGUAAUUUUGAUUAUUUGCAAGAUUUCUAAUUUGUUUUAAAAUCCUUCGAUGAAAAAAAUAAGUCUUUUGCAUUCGCAUUUGCAUAUCAUGCAUCAUGUGCAUCAUACAUUGGUCACAAAGGCUUCCAAGUGCUCACUAUCUCCUGGUUCCUCUGUCGCAGUGUGAAAAGUGGCUCGUGCUCAGAGAGUUUACGAACCAGAUAGAACUGAUCGAACCAGAGAAUACAGAAGAAAGAAAAGGGCUAUGGAAGAAGAGAACGCUCAGCUUCGCACCGAGUUAGCCUCUCUAAAAGAGGAAUUGGCUAAAGCUAAUGACGUCAUGACUGCUCUACUAGCUGCUCAAGAGCAAUCAGCUACAACUAUCCCUACAACCACAGCUGCACCAGUAACUACAAGCGUGCUCCCUACCACUUCUGCAGACAAUCGCUUUACUAUGCCAGUGGGGUUUCCGUAUGGGCUUCCACCGUUCUUCACUCCCGUUGCUACAGCAAGCACCUCGGGCACUGCUAACAAUGUUCUGAUCCCUGCAACAAAUGCCGCCUCCAUCAUUGCUACUUUGCCACAAACAACAGCAGCUGUCACUGAGCCUCUGGUACACACUCUGCCUCAAGGUAUUAACAUCAACACACAGCACAGAAGCAUCCCCGUAACCAAGACUAUGGAAGAGAUGAUGGAGGAACUUGCUAAAGAACUCCGUCACGAGAUCCAGGCCAAUCGAGGGAAUACCGACUCUGUCAAAACUCAAGACCUUUGCUUAGUGUCAAAAGUGGAUGUCCCUAAAAAGUUCAAGAUUCCGGACUUCGACCGGUACAACGGGCUAACUUGCCCUCAAAAUCACAUCAUCAAAUACGUCCGGAAGAUGGGCAAUUACAAAGACAAUGAUUCCCUUAUGAUCCACUGUUUUCAGGAUAGUCUGAUGGAGGAUGCCGCAGAGUGGUAUACUAGUUUGAGUAAGAAUGACAUCCAUACCUUUGAUGAGUUAGCCACCGCUUUCAAGAGCCAUUAUGGGUUUAACACUCGACUGAGGCCAAAUAGGGAGUUUCUCAGGUCCCUAUCUCAGAAGAAGGAGGAAAGUUUCCGUGAAUAUGCGCAAAGGUGGAGAGGGGCGGCUGCCCGUAUCACUCCUGCUUUAGAUGAGGAAGAAAUGACCCAGACAUUCUUAAAGACCUUGAAGAAAGAUUAUGUUGAGAGGAUGAUCAUCGCUGCCCCGAACAACUUUUCGGAGAUGGUCACUAUGGGAACCCGUCUUGAGGAAGCCGUCAGGGAUGGAAUUAUUGUGUUUGAGAAAGCUGAAUCUUCUGCGAGUGCCUCGAAGAGGUAUGGUAAUGGACACCACAAGAAGAAAGAAACGGAAGUGGGGAUGGUGUCAGCUGGAGCCGGUCAAUCAAUGGCUACUGUUGCUCCCAUCAAUGCAGCUCAAAUGCCUCCGCCAUACCCAUAUAUGCCGUAUUCUCAGCAUCCUUUCUUCCCGCCAUUUUAUCAUCAGUACCCUCUGCCACCGGGUCAACCUCAAGUGCCCGUCAAUGCAAUUGCUCAACAGAUGAAACAACAGAUGCCGGUUCAACAACAACAACAAAAUCAGCAAGCUAGGCCUACUUUCCCUCCGAUACCGAUGUUAUAUGCUGAGUUGCUUCCAACUUUACUCCAGAGAGGGCAUUGUACAACUAGACAGGGUAAGCCCCCACCUGAUCCGUUGCCUCCAAGGUUCAGGUCUGAUCUCAAAUGCGACUUUCAUCAAGGUGCCCUAGGUCAUGAUGUCGAGGGGUGUUAUGCUUUGAAAUAUAUCGUGAAGAAGCUCAUCGAUCAAGGGAAGCUGACUUUUGAGAAUAAUGUUCCACAUGUCCUUGACAAUCCGCUACCAAAUCAUGCCGCUGUGAAUAUGAUCGAAGUGUGUGAAGAAGCUCCGAGGCUUGAUGUCCGCAAUGUCGCAACUCCUCUGGUGCCUCUGCACAUCAAGCUGUGCAAAGCUUCUCUGUUCAGUCAUGAUCAUGCCAAGUGUCUGGGAUGUCUCCGUGAUCCUUUGGGUUGUUAUACUGUUCAAGAAGACAUCCAAAGCCUGAUGAAUGAUAAUCUUCUGACUGUCAGUGAUGUUUGCGUGAUUGUGCCGGUUUUUCACGAUCCGCCUGUCAAGAGUGUAACUUUGAAGAAGAAUGCUGAGCCUUUGGUGAUAAGGUUGCCAGGACCAAUUCCUUAUGUUUCGGAUAAGGCUGUUCCAUACAAGUACAAUGCUACUAUGAUAGAAAAUGGAGUAGAGGUGCCUCUAGCCUCCUUUGCCACAGUAAGCAAUAUUGCCGAAGGGACUUCUGCAGCACUAAGAAGCGGGAAGGUUCGUCCGCCGUUAUUUCAGAAAAAGGUAGCUACACCGACCAUUCCACCAGUUGAAGAAGCAACUCCAACCGUUGUUUCACCCAUUGCUACAGAUGUGAACCAGCCUGGCAAAUCUAUAGAGGAUUCGAAUUUAGAUGAGAUUCUGAGAAUAAUAAAGAGGAGCGACUACAAGAUCGUUGAUCAGUUGCUGCAGACUCCUUCGAAGAUAUCUGUCUUGUCAUUACUCUUGAGCUCUGAGGCUCACAGGAAUACCUUGUUGAAAGUGCUGGAGCAGGCUUAUGUUGACCACGAAGUUACGGUAGAUCGUUUCGGUGGCAUAGUGGGAAACAUUACUGCUUGUAACAACCUCUGGUUCAGUGAAGAAGAGUUGCCGGAAGCGGGAAAGAGUCACAAUCUGGCUUUGCACAUCUCGGUAAAUUGUAAAUCAGACAUGAUAUCAAAUGUGUUGGUGGAUACCGGUUCCUCUCUCAAUGUAAUGCCCAAGACGACUCUAGAUCAGUUGAGCUACCGUGGGACCCCGUUGAGGAGAAGUACUUUCUUGGUCAAAGCUUUUGAUGGAUCUCGAAAGAAUGUGCUGGGAGAGAUAGACUUGCCGAUAACCAUUGGCCCUGAGAAUUUCUUGGUUACUUUCCAAGUGAUGGACAUUAAUGCAUCCUACAGUUGCCUGCUGGGAAGAUCGUGGAUACACGAUGCAGGUGCAGUUACUUCCACCUUACAUCAGAAGUUGAAAUUUGUGAAGAAUGGAAAACUCGUUACAAUCCAUGGUGAAGAAGCAUACUUAGUCAGCCAAUUGUCUUCUUUUUCUUGUAUUGAAGCAGGGUCUGCUGAAGGGACUGCUUUCCAGGGUUUGACCAUUGAAGGUGCAGAGUCUAAGGAAGCUGGGGCUGCUAUGGCUUCAUUGAAGGAUGCUCAGAGAGCCAUUCAAGAAGGUCAGACUGCCGGCUGGGGCAAGGUGAUACAGCUCUGUGAGAACAAGCGUAAAGAAGGUCUCGGGUUCUCCCCGUCAUCAAGGGUUUCCUCAGGGGUCUUCCACAGUGCUGGGUUUGUUAAUGCUAUCUCUGAAGAAGCCACUGGAUCUGGUCUCAGACCUGCAUUUGUUACACCAGGAGGCAUUACGACAAAUUGGGAUGCCAUUGACAUUCCAUCAAUCAUGCAUGUUUCUGAGUAAUGUGUCUUGUUGCUUUAAUGCUUUGUUUUCAAAAUAACAAUCCUCUCGCUCUGCCCAAAGCGAGAGUGAUAUUUUCUGUAAAGGCAUGUUUGUUUCGGCAUUGCCGUUGAUUAAUAAAAUUUUGUCGUUUCUUCCACGACUACUUUUUUUUUUAGUGCUUUUUCCCUUGGAAACAAUGGUAAUGCCAGAAAAAACCAAAACAUUUGUAUUUUCUUAUUAAUUUCAAAAAUCUGCAUGAAAAAAAAAAAACUCUUUCUAAAAUCAUCCAAUCAUUAUAUGCAGGUUGAACCAUAAUAAACCCGUUGAACACAGUAAUCCUACGGUUCCUCCAAAUUUUGAUUUCCCUGUGUAUGAAGCCGAAGAUGAGGAAGGUGAUGGCAUACCGUAUGAGAUUACUCGGUUACUUGAGCAAGAAAAGAAAGCCAUUCAGCCUCACCAGGAAGAGAUUGAGCUUGUCAACAUAGGUACCGAGGAAAACAAGCGAGAAAUCAAGAUUGGUGCUACUCUAGAGGAAGGGGUUAAACAGAAGAUCAUCCGACUCCUCCGGGAAUAUCCGGAUAUUUUUGCAUGGUCCUAUGAAGAUAUGCCAGGUCUAGACCCUAUGAUCGUGGAGCAUCGGAUCCCUACCAAGCCUGAAUGUCCUCCCGUCAGGCAGAAAUUGAGAAGGACUCAUCCUGACAUGGCCCUCAAGAUCAAGAAUGAAGUUCAAAAGCAGAUUGAUGCGGGUUUCCUCAUGACAGUUGAGUAUCCCGAAUGGGUUGCCAAUAUUGUGCCUGUGCCAAAGAAGGAUGGUAAAGUCCGGAUGUGUGUUGACUUCAGGGACUUGAACAAAGCCAGUCCAAAAGACAACUUUCCAUUACCUCAUAUUGAUGUGCUUGUUGAUAAUACUGCUCAAUCUAAGGUGUUCUCUUUCAUGGACGGUUUUUCCGGUUAUAAUCAGAUCAAAAUGUCUCCUGAAGAUAGAGAAAAGACAUCUUUUAUCACUCCAUGGGGUACCUUCUGCUACAAAGUGAUGUCGUUCGGCCUAAUCAAUGCUGGUGCUACCUACCAAAGGGGAAUGACCACUCUGUUUCAUGACAUGAUUCACAAAGAAGUCGAGGUAUAUGUGGAUGACAUGAUUGUGAAGUCAGCAGAUGAGGAGCAGCAUGUUGAAUAUUUAACAAAGAUGUUUGAAAGGUUGAGAAAAUACAAGCUGCGAUUGAAUCCCAACAAAUGUACAUUCGGCGUCAGAUCCGGCAAGUUGUUAGGCUUCGUUGUCAGCCAAAAGGGCAUUGAAGUCGAUCCUGAUAAAGUCCGGGCCAUCCGAGAAAUGCCAGCUCCACAGACAGAGAAGCAAGUCAGAGGUUUCUUGGGACGUUUGAAUUACAUCUCCCGAUUCAUAUCUCAUAUGACUGCAACCUGCGGGCCGAUCUUCAAGCUACUUAGAAAGAACCAGCCUGUUGUAUGGAAUGAUGAAUGCCAAGAAGCUUUUGAUAGCAUCAAGAAUUACCUGCUGGAACCACCUAUCCUUGUCCCUCCCGUGGAAGGAAGGCCUUUGAUUAUGUAUUUGGCAGUAUUUGACGAAUCCAUGAGAUGUGUACUUGGUCAACAAGAUGAAACCGGAAAGAAAGAGCAUGCUAUCUACUAUCUAAGCAAGAAGUUCACCGAUUGUGAAACUCGGUAUACAAUGCUUGAGAAGACUUGUUGUGCUCUAGCUUGGGCUGCUAAACGCCUGCGCCAUUAUUUGGUGAAUCAUACAACUUGGUUGAUAUCCAGAAUGGAUCCAAUAAAGUAUAUCUUUGAGAAAGCGGCCGUUACUGGGAAGAUCGCACGCUGGCAGAUGCUUUUGUCUGAAUAUGAUAUUGUGUUCAAAACUCAAAAGGCAAUCAAAGGCAGCAUUCUUGCCGAUCACCUGGCUUACCAGCCUCUCGAUGAUUAUCAACCAAUUGAAUUCGAUUUCCCUGAUGAAGAGAUCAUGUAUUUGAAAUCCAAAGACUGCGAAGAACCGUUGAUUGAUGAAGGUCCAGAUCCCAAUAGCAAGUGGGGUUUAGUCUUUGACGGUGCUGUCAAUGCUUAUGGUAAGGGAAUUGGGGCAGUCAUUGUAUCCCCGCAGGGGCAUCACAUUCCUUUUACCGCCAGAAUCUUGUUCGAAUGUACCAACAAUAUGGCUGAGUAUGAAGCAUGUAUCUUCGGGAUCGAGGAAGCAAUUGACAUGAGAAUCAAACACCUCGACAUCUAUGGAGAUUCUGCGCUCGUCAUCAAUCAGAUAAAGGGUGAAUGGGAGACCCACCAUGCUAAUUUGAUUCCUUAUCGUGAUUAUGCGAGACGUUUGCUGACAUAUUUUACAAAGGUUGAGCUGCACCAUAUUCCUCGUGAUGAGAACCAAAUGGCUGAUGCUCUUGCUACUCUAUCUUCCAUGUUUCGAGUGAACCAUUGGAAUGAUGUGCCAAUAAUCAAAGUGCAACGCCUUGAAAGACCUUCGCAUGUGUUUGCUAUUGGGGAUGUGAUCGAUCAGGCUGGUGAGAAUGUGGUUGACUAUAGACCCUGGUACUAUGACAUCAAGCAGUUCUUGCUGAGCCGUGAGUAUCCGCCAGGUGCUUCCAAACAAGACAAGAAGACCUUGAGAAGAUUGGCCAGUAGAUUCCUGUUAGAUGGAGAUAUUCUGUACAAGAGAAACUACGACAUGGUAUUGUUAAGAUGUGUUGAUGAACAUGAAGCAGAGCAGUUAAUGCAUGAUGUACAUGACGGUACCUUCGGGACCCAUGCUACAGGGCAUACUAUGUCAAGAAAGUUGCUACGGGCAGGUUACUACUGGAUGACUAUGGAGCAUGAUUGCUACCAGUACGCCAGAAAAUGUCACAAAUGUCAAAUCUAUGCUGAUAAGAUUCAUGUGCCUCCGCACGCUCUCAAUGUUAUGUCAUCCCCAUGGCCGUUCUCAAUGUGGGGCAUCGAUAUGAUCGGAAGGAUUGAACCGAAGGCUUCAAAUGGUCAUCGUUUCAUCUUAGUAGCAAUUGACUACUUCACCAAGUGGGUCGAAGCAGCAUCUUAUACCAAUGUGACCAAGCAAGUGGUAGCUAAGUUUAUCAAGAACAACCUCAUCUGUCGAUAUGGUGUUCCCAGCAAGAUUAUUACCGACAACGGUACCAACCUGAACAACAAUGUGGUGCAAGCUCUUUGUGAAGAAUUCAAAAUUGAGCAUCAUAACUCUUCUCCUUAUAGACCUCAGAUGAAUGGUGCAGUUGAGGCCGCCAACAAGAAUAUCAAGAGAAUCGUCCAGAAGAUGGUAACUACUUACAAGGACUGGCAUGAGAUGUUACCCUAUGCUCUGCAUGGCUACCGCACUACCGUGCGCAGUUCAACCGGGGCAACUCCUUUCUCUCUUGUAUAUGGUAUGGAAGCAGUUCUUCCUUUGGAAGUGGAGAUCCCAUCUCUCCGUGUGAUCAUGGAAGCAAAGUUAUCCGAGGCUGAAUGGUGCCAAAGCCGGUAUGAUCAGUUGAAUUUGAUUGAGGAAAAACGUAUGGAUGCCAUGGCUCGUGGACAGUCAUAUCAAGCAAGAAUGAAGACUGCCUUUGACAAGAAAGUCCAUCCUCGAGAAUUCAAGGUAGGGGAACUUGUAUUGAAAAGGAGGAUAGGCCAGCAACCCGACCCAAGGGGCAAGUGGACGCCUAACUAUGAAGGUCCUUAUGUUGUCAAGAAGGCCUUCUCCGGUGGUGCUUUAAUCCUUACACACAUGGAUGGUAUAGAACUUCCAAAUCCAGUGAAUGCCGAUAUAGUCAAGAAAUACUUUGCCUAGAAAUAUGAAAAGAACAGCGUGGUAGGUCGAAAACCCGAAAGGGCGGCCUAGGCAAAAAUGCGCUUCCCGGUGGAUCGAAAACCCGAAAGGGCGGUCCAGGCAAAAAUAAGGGACAAAAAAAAUAUAUAUGAAAAGCUCGCUGAGAUUGUACACAACUCAGGCAAGAAUGAGCGUCUCGAUGAGCCGAAAACCCGGAAGGGCGGUUCAUGCAAAAAUGAGAUUGAAACAAAAGGCAAGUAACUAUAUCUGACCAACCACCGUCCCCCUUGGGACAUCUGCUGCUGUUAAUGACUAUCUUCAUCUAAAGCUCCUACGCUUGCGAAUUCAAAGUUUCCAGGAAGUGUAAUGAUUGCUGUGUUCAAUGUACCACCAACCAAUAAAAUUACCAUUUUCCAAGCUUUGUGAAUCCGUGGAGUCAUGCCUUUGGCUGACCACCACUCUUAUACAUCAAUUUGAGCCUUUGCUUUUGUUUGAAAACUCUAUUUUCUUCUACUUUCAAAGUUAUAUACAAAAAUAUUUUCUUUCUAUUUUGAUAAUGACAAUGCUUGAAACAAACAUUUUGAAAAUUGAAAACUUUUUGUCUAUUUUGAAAAGCAAACCUGAGCAACAGGGUACAUUCAAAUGAAACAUGCAUGAGUGAGAGUAUGUUGAUGUCUAUUUCAAUAUGUGUUACAAGCAGGUUCUCCUCCAGGAUAGUCUGUGGUCAAUGGCAAGAAUGAAAAAACAGAAUAAAAAUGUAUGAAAAUAAAUGAGCUCGCUAAGUUGAAAACCCGAAAGGGCGGCUUAGGCAAAAAUGAGCACCCCGCUGGAUUGACAACCCGAAAGGGCAGUUCAGGCAAAAAUGGGGCAUUGAAAAGAAUUUAUUUCCCCGGUGGACCGAAAACCCGAAAGGGCGAUCCAGGCAAAAAUGGGAUGCAAAAAAUGAUGAAUGAAAUUAAGAAUAUAACAUGCAAAAAGCAUUGACCACAGAUGCAAUGUCUACAACAUACCCAGCACUGAAAUGCCCAGCACAACGGCGUUUUCCCCAGUAAGUCUUCCAAGAUUCUAUCCCCAGCAAGUUGCAUACCUACCUGCCCUCAGCCAUGGUUCCGAAACGUCUCCCAACGACGUCAUCUCCAAAGAGGAUUUCCAAGAAUGUGUAAUAUAGCACGAGCCACUACGUGCCCAAUACUCUGAUGUCUUGUCUUCCCCGUGAAGUCGUGCCUACAAAAUGCCAACAGUCAUGCAUUACAAGCAUUCAUACAUGCAUAAUCAUGCAUAUUACGUGCCCAUGCAUUUAAUGAAAUUGUUAUAUCAUCCAUGCAUAUUGCAUUUCCAAUGUCAACAUCAGUCUCAAUUCAAUACUCGUGUCAGGUUCUCUGUCAAAACCUUGUAAGCCAAUAACAUCAGUCUCAAUUUCUACCUUUCAAAUCAAAUCGACGUCAAAUCUCAAUCUAUAUUUUGUCAAACAAACUAAUCCCCAGUGAAUAUGUUUCUGUUUGGCCAAGUGGCUAGUUCAAGUCCAAGAACAGCUUGUACCUAUCAAUUUGCUUAUGUUAUCGGUCGAGUGCCCAGCUCAAUCCAAGAGCAGCUUGUACCUGUCAAUAUGUUUCCGUUUGGUCAAGUGGCUAGCUCAAUCCAAGAGCAGCUUGUACCUGUCUAUCUGUUUCUGUCCGGUGGAGUAACCAGUUCGAAUCCUUAAGAACAGCUCGUACUUGCCAAUUUUCCCUUUUUCCAGUCGAGUCACCAGUUCGAAUCCGUAAGAACAACUCGUGCUUGCCAAUUUUCCCUUUUUCCAGUCGGGUUACCAGUUCGAAUCCAUAAGAACAACUCGCACUUUCCAAUAUCUCCCAAGUGAGUUACCAGUUCGAAUCCAUAAGAACAACUCAUGUUUGUCCAGUAACCUCUAUCCCCUGUGAAGUGACCAGUUCGAAUCCAUAAGAACAACUCGCAGUUGUCUGUUUGUUUCAUCCCCGGUCAAGUGGCUAGUUUGAAUCCAAGAACAGCUUGUACCUGUCCAACUUGUUUCUAGUUUCCCGUUACUCUGCUAUUCGCUAUCUUUGUCAAUGUCUACCAAUCCCGCAAUGGAUACGACAUAUUUUGUUAAUUCCAAUCCCCAUGAGGUCUUGCAUUCAUAAUCCAAAUGAUGCAUGGCAUGCAUAUUAUUUGAAAAUGGGUAGGCGUAUUUUUACGUCCAAACACAGUGUAAAUGCUAAUAUUUAAGUAUCUUCGUCCUGUCAAGCCAAAGACUCCGUCUCUUGAUUCUCCAGACAAAGAAACUUAAAUAGGGGCAGCUGUUAUACCCUGUUUUUGGACCUAAAAAUACUGGGCCCAAUUUCAUUUCAAACUUUGUCGAUUAUCAAAUUUCAACUGCACAGUUCAAAUUGUCUCUGCCUCGCAGUAUUUUCAAUCACAAUUUUACCUAUGUUUUUCUUGCAUAAAACCUUUCAAAAUGUCUUUACUUGUCUUGUGAGUCAUUCAAAAGUGUCUCUGAAUCAUUACAUUGCUUUUUCUACAGUUUAUUUCAAAAUUUGCAAAAAGUCAUACAGAAGGGUAUUUUGGUCAUUUCCUGCAGUGGGACCUAUUUUCAUCCUUGUGACUGUCUCUGAGUCUUUUCAGAUUAUUUUUAAACAUUUCAUCAGUAGACCUUGUUAAAAUUCAUUUCAAACUUGCAUCUGAGUCAGUGUCGAGUCAAUUUGAUUCUGUUUAGGUCAUUUUUAGCCCUAGGGGCAUUUUGGUCAUUUCACAUAAAAUUUUGGCAUGGGGAGGUUACUUUGAAGUACCUCAUUUAGGCCAUUGGUUCGUUUUAGUCCGUUUUGUCAAUUUUAUUUUGGUUUCACUUUACGUUUGAUCAAAUUGCGUUUUUUAUUCAAAUUUUAUUUUUUAUUGCAUUUUGGUCCCUCAAUUAAGGUCCCAAAAUUGCAUUUCAGUCCAAAAGUUUCUAAAAAUUGCAUUUCAGUCCUUUUUUAUUAUUUUUUUUUUUUUUGCAGAAAAGGUCCCAGGGGCAUUUUUGUCCAGAAUUUUCGCACAUUUUAGUCCAGUCCAGAUGUCACUUUUUUAUUGGUUCAGGUACACAUGGCAGCAUAUAAAAGGGGAACAGUGUCAGAUUUUUUCAGGGAUCCAUUCAUUACAAUACACAUCACCAAAAACAAAUUCCCAUUUUCUCUCUCUUUUCUGUUAGAUCAAAAACAGAAAUUUCUCAAGAACAAAACAGAACCCUAACCGAAAUUCAUCAUCAAAUUCUCAGAGAUUCGUGUACGAAUCUUCAUCAUCGAAUCGAUUCCACCGCAAUACAAGGUGCGAAUUCCUCACCGGAAGUGAAGAACUCAAGCACCGAUCACGGUAGGGAAAAAGAGGGAAAACCGAAUCUGCACAGAGGAAGGAGAAGAAGACAGAAUCAAAGAAACAGCAAGCAAAACGCGCACGCAAGCAAGCACACGCGCAAGCCAGCAAGCAAGCAAGCAAAACGCGCACGCAAGCAAGCACGCACGCAAGCCAGCAGGCAAGCGAGCAAGCACGCGAAGCACAAGCAGCAAGAGCCGUAACAGAAAACAAGAAGAGGUAAGCAUCCUCUUCGUUCGCAUCUCUUCCUUUUUCCACCGUUCUUUUACAAAAAUUUCAUCAAGAUUCAAACUCAGAUCUACUCCGAUUCAAGCUUUUUUCGAAAAAUCUAAGUUCGGAUUCGAGAAGUAUAUAAAAAAGGAUAUCUAAAAAUGUGAAAAUUUCUCGAAUCGGAGCAUUUUGAUUUUCCGGCACGGUGGCGCCGCCGCCAUCCGCCGCGCCGGAACGGAGGAGCUGGCCGGAGAAGAUGACCGGAAAGUUAGAGAGAAGGAGGAGCUUCUCUCUCUAAAAGAGAGAAGAAAGAGAAAGAGGAGUAACAAAUGAAAAAAACCGGACUUGAAGCAUAUAUAUAGAGCUUUGAACCGGUCCGGUUUAUUUUCGGUUUUUUCCUUUUCUUUUUCAGCCUCUAGAUCAAUCCAACGUCUCCUGUGCAAUCUGAGUUUUGUGUAUUGGGCUUUGGUUUGGGCUUAGGUUUUUUACGUUUUUUUGUUAUUUCCCUGCUAUCUGCACCAUAUGUCUUUGCUAUCAGCACCUGUUGCUUGCUCACUUUUUUACAAAAAAUUCCUAAAAAAUCCUAGUUGUUUCUUGAUAUAUUUUUGGUAUUUCUAUGGUGUUUUUGCAUAAAAAAAAUGGUAAAAUGGCAUGAAUUAAUUUCCAUGUGUGUUUACAUUUUUGGGUAUUAUUUUGGUUAUGUUUUUGUUCUUGACACUUUGAUGUGUGACAUGAACAAAUGAUACCCAAUCUUGUGAUGAAUACGCCUCUGGUCAUGUGCUUUCUUGCUGGUUUUUGGAUAUGAUUUUGUAAAUUUCUUGUUUUGCAAGCAACAAGUGUGUGUUUUAAGGAAUAAAGUGUCAAAUUCCUCUAGGAGUUUGGUGUGAUACUUUGCUUGCAUGUGUCUCUAUUAAUUCCACAUCAUGGCUUGAAACUAAAUCUCUUUCAAAAUCGCCAUGAUGUGAUGAUUAUGGGUCACAAGCACAUUUAGGUAUCAUAUCAAAUUUUUUAUAGGUUUUUACCAUUUUAUUACUUCCUUUUUGCUAUUCUUAUACAAUCUCUUUUUAUUUAUCUCUUACUAUUUCAUGCUUUAUGAUUACUAACCAUUUCAUCUCAUGUGACAUACAUUUCAUAGCAUCCCACUAUCUCCUCCACUUUCUUUAGCUUAGCAUUUAUUCUCUUUGCAAGUUUUAACUCAUUUGGUGAUGUAAUUUGUUAUCAUUGGUUUGUAGCUUGGCAAAGGGGCCAUAGAAUGUAUUUAGGCAAUUGUUGUAAUAUGGACUAUGGACACUAUGACGCACCGACACGCACACACUCACCUUAGAUGUAUGCAUAGGAUUGUAUGGUUAAAUAAGCGUUUAGGUUUUAAAUACUUAGAGAAAAUCCAUCUUUUUCCAAAAAACAAUUGAACUUCACUUCAAAAAAUUUCAUAGUAAAUAUGAAGUCAACACUUCAUUUUUUUUCUUUUCUUUUUCUUAAGGAAAAUUCAAUUCAUCUUAACCAUUUAGACUUUCUUUCUAAUCACUAAUCAAACCUCACUUUUUUGCUAAAUCUAAUGCUCAUGAAGCCUCCCAAUCUCCUUCUUCAAAACCAUUUUCAAAACUUAAAAUCAAACAAUUAAAACAAAAACAAGUUUUUUAGCAAGAACUACGAACGGUUUUGAUCCCUUAAAAAGGGUACGUAGGCAAUGAGUCAAAACUCAUCCAAGCCGAAAUAAAAUUAAAUUCUACAACUUCUCUCCCCACAUUCUUAGCUAAAUAAACCUCCCAUUUUCAAAAGUAAGUAAAAAUAAGCGUGAAUAUAGACUUAGGAAAACGGCUCCUAUAGAGGACUAUAGUUACUCCGGGUGCCUAACACCUUCCCGUAGUAAAACCGACCCCCGAACUUAGAAUCUAAGGGUUUUUCUCAAUUUUUCCCUUCCCAAGAAAAAAGAGAGAUAUCAACGGUCGAAAGGUACAAGUCCAAUUAAUGGCUUGGCACCCAAAAACCAUGAUAACAAUGAGCUACUUCAGAAGAAAGAUGAUCAAAUCAAGUAUCUCUUAGAAUAGUUGUAUAAGCAAGCCCAACCUUAGUUGCACACCCAACUCUAGCUUGUUUUUACUUUUGUUCUCUGUAGCUUUGCCUUUGUAUUAUACUUUCUUUAUAAAUAUCAUCAUUGUUUAUAAAUCAUAUGUUCUAUACUUUUAAUUCUGAUAAUAUUUACUGUUUUUAAUAUUGUCUGCUUCUGAUAUUGUUUAUGUUUUUAAGGUUUAUAUGUUUAUAUGCUCUGCUACUCUUUCUUUUGUUUUUAUUCUUUUUGUUGAUGACAAAAGGGAGAGUAAAUGUAUAGUAUUUUUUAAUGCACUGAGCCCCACUAUAACCACUUCAAAACCUUUUAAAUACUUCUGAUUUUAUUAAAUUUUUAUAAGUUUUUUAUUGAAAUUUAAUUAAUAAGAAUAGAACUCAGGGGGAGCUUACAAACCUCACCUUAAAGAUCUAUUAGACUCAGGGGGAGCUUACAAACCUCUAUCCCAGUGGUCAACUUAUUAAUUAGAUCAACAACAAUUGAACAUUUUAAAUACUAGUGUUUGUCAUCAUCAAAAAGGGGGAGAUUGUUGGAACAAAAUGUGUUUCACAAUGAACCUUAUUUAGUUUUGAUGAUAACAAGGUAUUAAAAAUUAUCAAUUGGUUAUUACUAAUGAUUAUUCAAGUGUACAGGACCAAAAGCUUGUCAAGCAAUUUCAAUAGGUCUUGGAAGAACAAUGAAAAGCAAAAGAAUUCCAAGCAUCUGAAGAAAACUGCUCCUGAAGCUGAAGUGCCUCUGAAGAGAUGACGUCAUCAGAAGCAGAAGAUCAUCAGAAGCAAAAUAUCUUCACCAGAAGCUACAUUUGAUCCCUUAAUCAAACUGAAGAUUCAAAGUAGCUGUCUCUCAAUUCAGUCUUAUCCAAGAAGAACGAAGAAUUGAAAGGGAGGUAUCAACGGUCAUAUGGAUAUCACUGAGCACUUGUCUCCUAUUAACAGAGUUGACAUAGUACAAGUGUACAACCACUACCUCCACUACUCUGCUUUUGUCUACGCUACAAGACAAGACAACAGCCUUGCCUGCAGAUUUUGCGCCUUCAAGAUGGGAAUGAAUUUGAAGAUUAUUCUUCAAAGGACUACACCCAAAUCAGGCAAAGGAUUACUGGUGGAUGAUCAAAGGAUUUCAAACGACUCUUUCGACGUGCUGAUUAUCUCAACGUCUCUUUCACGCCUCUAUAUAAAGGAUUGAAGACUUGAAGAUAGUAGAUAGAGAUAUACAAGUUCAAAAGCGCCAAAACUCUGUCAAAUUGAUUCUACAAAGCACACAGAAUUUCUGCACUGAUUUGAUACAUCUUAGAAAUUCAAAGUCUAGAGUCUUUACUGUAUUGUAUUGAGAACACCACUGAUUGUAUAUCAAGUGUUCAAGUCAAACUCAAUUCUCUGUAUUUUUUGUUUGAUCAGAAGUCUCUUGCCUGCGUGCUUGAGCAUUAGAAGUCUCUUGCUUAGUGCUUGAGCAUUGGAAGACUCUUGCGUGUGUGUUUGAGCAUCUUUGUGAAGUCUCAUACUUAGAAAGUAUUGAGCAGUUGUAAUCGUUGUGAUUAUAGUGAAAUCUCCUUGGAAGUGCAAGGGGGACUGGACUACUUCCGUGUUGUGGAAGGAACCAGGAUAACUGCUUGUGUCUUUGUCUUUCUUUUCUCUGCUCUGUUCUUUUCCGCUGCAAAUCUUAUUCUGAUUAUUUCAUCAGAAGCACUCACAAACUGCUUCUGAAGUUUUAUCAGAAGAAGAAUUUUUAGAGAGAAAAAGAAAAUACAAUUCAACCCCCCCCCCCCCCCCCCCCCCCCUUCUUGUGUUUUUCUCACCUUCAUCAUCAAUUACCCCCCUGAAAUUAACGAAACUUCAAUUACCCCCCUGAAAUUUCACAACGUUGGUCAAUUUACCCCCUCCGUCAAAUUUUUCUGUUAGUGAACUGACGUUUUGCAAAUACCCCCCUGAAGUUUUGCACUUAUGUGCAAAAUGCCCCCCAAACUUAAAAAUUUAUAUUAUUUUUUUUCUUAAAAAUAAACAAUUAAUAGUUAAAUAUUAAAGCUAACUAUUAAUUUUGGAGUUUGAAAAAACUACAUACAUAUAUACAUCAAAAUAGGGAAAAUGUGUAUUUUUAAAGUAACAAUAAUGGUUAUUUCUAAUAGACAAAUUAUUAUUUUUAGAGGUUUAUAAACAAAUUAAUAAUCAGAUUUAAAUUUAUAUUUUCUCCUUCACCAUCUUAGUCUUUUAACUCCUCAAACUCCUACAACAAUUUGCUCAAACCAUUUAAACUACACAACUCCCAAUAUUAAUCCACAAAUCAUCCCAUUAUUGUCACUUUAAAAAAUACAUAUUUUCCCCAUUUUGGAGCCUAUUUUGAUGUAUAUAUGCAUGUAGUUUUCUCAAAUUCCAAAAUUAAUACUACCUCCGCCCCUAAUUAUAAGACCCUUUUGAGAAUUUUUUUUGUCCCUUUUUAUAAGACCCCUUUUCUAUUUCCAACUACAUUAAUUAUUUCUUUACAUACAUGCCCCUAUUUAUUAUACAUCUUUUUCUUCAAUCAGCAAUAAAUAGAAUGUUGAAAACAUAAGCCAACCCUCUUUCUUAAAGGAUAAAAUUGUAAAAACAAUAGUAAUUACAAACAUAUUUAAUACAAAUAUUCACUAUCUUAAUUCACGUUAUUUUUUCAAAAGGGCCUUAUAAUUAGGGACGGAGGUAGUAGUUAGUUUUAAUAUUUAACUAUUAAUUGUUUGUUUUUAAGAAAAAAAUAAUAUAAAUUUUUAAGUUUGGGGGCAUUUUGCACAUAAGUGCAAAACUUCAGGGGGGGUAUUUGCAAAACGUCAUGUUCACUAACAGAAAAAUUUGACGGAGGGGGUAAAUUGACUAACGUUGUGAAAUUUCAGGGGGGUAAUUGAAGUUUUGUUAAUUUCAGGGGGGUAAUUGACGAAACUUACAAUUUCAGGGGGGAAAUUGACUAUUUACUCAUAAUUUAUAUUAUAACAUUUUAUCAUAAUUGAUUAUUGUCAAUCCAUAAUUGAUUAAUUAAAUAAUUAAUCCAACAUAUAACACUCAUACGAGCCGUGUCAGACAACUCAUAUAAAUAUCUAAAAUAUUUUUUUUCUCUCUUACUUCCAUGUACCGUAGAUACAAGAUUUACAUAUGUUUUGAAAAAUGUUGAUCAAUUAGAGGCUAAAAUACAUUACAUAUGAUUAUAACAUUUUUAACUUUUUUGAAGGAGUUGAAUAAAUAAAGGUCAAAUUAUACGAUAUCUUGUUUUAGAACUUUUUCUAAUAAAAUAACUUACUUAAGUUAUAUGCUUAUCUAUGUGGUGAUGUCGGUGUCCUAUAUUUUUGAUGCUGAAGUAUCCGUGUUAGUGUCGUGUUAGAUGUACAUGUUGGAGUCCAUGUUACUAGUGGAUUAUUGGUGUUAUAGCAAUAAUGUCAUAUAUUCUUAUCAUUUACGUUCAUACCUUCAUUCAGUGAAUGUUAUAUUGUUCAGCAAUGUCACUCUAGUCUCUAAUAUAAGUGAUUAGAAAAAUGAUAAUAUGAUAGUGGUAUAUGACUCAUGACUCAUUAGAGGACUUUUCCUAUCUCUUUCCAAAAGCAAUUCCUAAAGUAAAAAUGUACACAGAGAUUCAGAUUUCUUUAAUUGAGUGUGUAACUUUUCCUUUUUCUUUGUAUCAAUUAUUUUGAAGGAUGUGGGUCCAUUAAUCACUGAUGACCUUUGCUUUCCAGCUUUUAAAUUUUGUUUCUUACGCAACAAAUAAGUCUUCUUGAGUCUACCUUUACCAUCCAAAAACAUUACUGUAUCCAUUCACAUUUCUCUCAAAACAUCAUUUAAACUUUCUUCCUUGCUAAUUUACCCUUGGUGUGAUACCGAAGUGUAGGUUCCCCAUUUGUAAAUGUUAACCAUUGAGUUAACUAGAAGAUUUUGUGCUAUCAUGAUUCUGCAUUUAGUGUACAAUAUUCAAUUAGUUGCUUUUUAAUUACUUUGUUGUCUUAUUUUUCUAAUUUUAAAAUUCUUGUAGUUAUUGCUUUGUAAUCUAAGAUGAUGGUAAAGAAAUGAAAUAAGUUAGUAAAAUACUAUUAUUUUGAUUGUCUUCUUUUCUCUUUAUUAGAGAUUUGUCGUAGCCUUCUAUUCAGGCUGACAUAUCACAUUUUCUUUCCAAUCAGUUAUCAUAAUAUCUUUAAUAGUUAAUCUAUAAAUUAGUUUUGUUACUUCUAUGCGUAUAAUUUUAUAUUUAUGUUGUAAUAUUGUUACACUUUUUUUUUUUGUGACAAAACACUUUGUUCUCUUUUUGUAAAAAUGUUUGAGAGGAGCAAAAUGGUUGUCACUGCCACAGGAUUAGAUUUACUUAUUCAUAAUCUGCAUAAGCAAGAGUAGAAUGAAAUCGUGAUAAUAAUAUUCUCAAUUCACAUAUGCAUGUGAUUGUGAACAAUCUUAUGGUAAAAAAAAAUUUACAGUUGUAAUCUUUUGCUCAUUAUACAACAUUUAUUGUUGUUGAUACAUUUGGUUUGGCUGAGAAACAUGAGUAAAUUAUGCAAAUGUCCUUCGGCUGUUAACUGCCGAAAUUUAAAAGAACCGGCUGCAGCUAACUGCCGAGGAAAACUUUGGCAGUUAACUGCCGAGGAAUUUCAAAUCUGAAAUUAAAUAAGGAAAUACACCUAAGUUUUCCUUUUAAUUCUUUAAUCCUUUUAAGGAAUUAAACAUAAUUAUUUUUAUGAUUUCAUUCAUAUGAUUUUGUUGCCAUAAAUGAAGAAAUAUGAGAGAUGAAUAAUAUCUACAAUCGGUAGUUAAUGGAUCUAAAAUGAUGAUUCAAUAAAAAAAAAUGCAACAACAAAAACGUUACAAAUGAUAGAAUAAUUAUAUUUGUAAUUAUUAGUAAUUAAUUUCAUUGAUGUCUAUCAUUAUUCAUAGGUUUGACUAACCUAUUACUCCCUCCGUCCCAAAUUGUAUGCCGCUUUAAAAAAAAAAUUGUCUCAAAUUAUACGUCGCUUAACAAUACCAAUGAAACAUUAAUGUUACUUUUCCUAUUAUAUCCUUAACUAUUUAUUACUCUCUCUUCUUUCAAUUCUUUCAUUUAUCUUUCCCAUAUAAUUUAUUAAGGACAAUUUUGUAAAACAACUCAUAAUAUCUCUUUCCCACACAAUAUUAAUUAAAUUUCUUAAUAUGUGUGAAAUGCCCAAAACAACAUACAAUUUGGGACGGAGGGAGUAUUACUUUAUAGACUGGUGCUAAUCACACCAAAAAAAAAAACAAGUUAAACCCAAAUUUAUUUAAAAUUUUACAAUAAUACCAAAAUUGCCCUCUUCAUGUAAAUUUUUAAAAAUCCAUCGUUUACGAUCAUUCUGAACCCUUACCCCCUUUCAUCCACAAAUCACCAUAGAUGUGCAACCAAUAUCUUAAUCAACAUCUUUGUUAUUGAUUUGUAAUAUAUUCAUAAAGGUUAGUGAAUUUCAUGAAUUUCAUUUUCGAUGAGUUUCUAUUUGUUUAUUGUUUGUUUUGGUAUGAGAUAUGUCUGUCAGUCAAUUCGAUUUUAAGUGAGAGGUUAGUGUAAAUUAAGUUUAUGUGUAUGUAUAUAAAAGGGGUUAGUGUAGUUUACGUAUGUAGGUUAAUGUAAAUUCAAGUUUACGUAUGUUCAAUUUAGGUUAGUGUAAAUUCAGUUUACUUACAUUCAAUCUAGGUUAAUGUAAAUUAAGUUUACUUAUGUUCAAUUUAAGUUAAUGUAAAUUUAGUUUACGUAUGUAUAUAAGAGGUUAGUGUAAAUUCAGUUUACUUACGUUCAAUCUAGGUUAAUGUAAAUUAAGUUUACUUACGUUCAAUCUAGGUUAAUGUAAAUUAAGUUUACUUAUGUUCAAUCUAAGUUAAUGUAAAUUCAGUUUACUUACAUUCAAUCUUGUAAAUUAAGUUUGUAAAUUUAGUUUACUUACGUUCAAUCUAGGUUAAUGUAAAUUAAGUUUACUUAUGUUCAAUUUAGGUUAAUGUAAAUUAAGUUUACUUAUGUUCAAUUUACGUUAAUGUAAAUUUAGUUAAUUUGAAAUUUUUAUUUUAGUUAAAGGGUAUAUUAGUCAUUCUAGGGUGUAACUUGUUUUUUUUGGGGUGUGACUAACACCAGUCUACUUUAUACUAAUAUUUAUGAUAUUAUUACUUUAGGGGGAUGUAUUGGAUUAAGAUUCUAUGGGAUUUUAAAAGACUUUUUAAUUAUGAAAAAGUCUUGUGGUAUUCAAUCAAGACUUUUUGCAAUUUAAAAAAAGUCUUGUGGUAUUCAAUCAAGACUCUUUGUCAUUUUAAAAAAGUCUUGAGGUAUUCAAUCAAGACUUUUCAUCAUUUAAAAAAAGUAUUGUGGUAUUCAAAAUCAUUCAAAUUUCGAAGGAUUGUUUAAUAAAUUGGAUUUUGAUGGAUUUUGUAGUGUAAUUUUAACAAUGAAAAGAUGAGAUUUCUUGAGAUUGUUUUUAUUUUAAAAGUUACUAUUUUUUUCUUCUCAUCUCUCUCUCUCUCUCUCUGACAAAUUUUUUUUUUUGAAAGAGUUGUAAGUGCUGGCAUAAUUUUAAAUAUGUACAAUUGAAUUUUAUGGGAAUAACAUUUUUAACAAAUAAAAAAUGUGUAUUGAGAAUAAUGUGUUAGAGUGUUUUUUAGUCCCUUAAAAUCUUAUAAAUUUCAUAAAAUUCUUAAAAUUUGAAAAUCAAUAGUAAAAGAAUUUUUUAUUGGUUUUAUUUUUCUUUAUUCAAACACUAGAAUUUAUUUGUUCAUUAUUUUUAUCAUUCACGCUUGUAAGUUUGCUCUUUUUCCCCUAAAAUUUAUUGAACCUUUUGAAAUUUUAAAAUCACAUGAAAUCCUUUGAAAUCCUUAAAAGUCUGUGUGAUAAAUCCUUUAAAAUCUUGAGUGUAUAAAGUCUUUUACAUAAAAAGUCUUUUAAAAUAUCACAGAAUCAAUACAAUCUCACACAAUCUUUUAAAAUCUUAAAGACUUUUUUUUAUUAAAAUAGUCUUUUAAAAUCCUAAUCCAAUACAUCCCCCUUAAUUAACAUGAAAAACGCAACAGCAAAAAAUAAAAAUGGUCGCCAUCGGUAAUUAAUGGACCUAAAAUGGUGAUUCAAUAAAAAAAAUGCAACAACAAAAACAUUAUAAAUAAAAAGAGCAUUUAAGUCCUCAAAAAACAUUUCAAUAAGUGUAAAAAUUAAGCAUUUGAAUAUUGGUUUGCAAAUUACUUAUAUAAAAAAAAUCGUUGUGCACAAUUAUUUUAAUGUAGAAAAUAUAACAACAUAUUAUACCUUAAAAAAAUCGUUGUGCACAAUUAUUUUAACGAUUUUUAUUAUUAUUUUUAUUUAAGUAAUAUGCAAAACAAUAUUCAAAUGCUUAAUUUUUACGCUGAUUUAAAUGCUAUUCUUAAUAAGAUAUAUACGCAUAAGUAUAAUACUGCAAUUGUUUGAAAUUUAUCAAAAUAUUGAUGCUAUUCCUUGGACUAAUUAAUGUUUCACCUUACAAAAUUGUUAGGAAACAUGACAUCCAUGGAAAGAAUGAGAGAAAACUAACAAACUCUUUGUAGUAUGGAAAAUGGAAUAUUACAAAUGAGUGAAAGUAUCCCACUAAUGGGGUGGUUACAACUAUAUAUAAUAAUAUAGAAGUAAUACUACUUGUAACUCUUGUUCAAAAAAAAAUUCUACUUGUAACUAAACUAUAUCUCUAAUAAAAAUCACUUUUAUCCCAGUAAUCAUCCCAUAAGUCAUAGUUCAACUGACAAAAAUGCCGAAAUUGUUAGGUUGGACGUCAUGGUCGGGGUUCGAACCCGAUACCUCCACUUUACGUGUGUGAGUUUAUGAUAACUUUGUCAACUCGUCUAUUUAAAAAAAGAUUUCCCCAGAAAUCAGUCUAAGAAAAAAACAAGUAAUCAGUAUCAAACGUAUAUUCAAGCACUAAUCAAUACCUAAAUUCAGCAAGCUUCCAAAAUGAUAUAAUUAUUUGGCAACAAUGCAUGCCUUUUAUCAAUAUAAGAAAGAUUCUUUAAAAAAUAUCAAUAUAAGAAAGAUGCACAUAACAGUUAUCAUCAUAUGUAAUCAGCAUGUUUCAUUAGAUUUCAUAUCACAUAAAAUCGUCAACAAAGGCGUUUCCCUAAAAAAAAAUCUUGAAACAAAAACUGAAAUUUCAAGAGCAAAUUACACAUCAAAAUAUUAAUGUCAUAUUUUCUUAUCAUUUACGUUCAUACCUAUUUUUCAGCAAUGUCACUCUAGUCUCUAAUAUAAGUGAUUAGAAAAAUGAUAAUAUGAUAGUGGUAUAUGACUCAUGACUCAUUAGAGGACUUUUCCUAUCUCUUUCCAAAAGCAAUUCCUAAAGUAAAAAUGUACACAGAGAUUCAGAUUUCUUUAAUUGAGUGUGCAACUUUUCCUUUUUCUUUGUAUUAAUUAUUUUGAAGGAUGUGGGUCCAUUAAUCACUGAUGAACUUUGCUUUCCAGCUUUCAAAUUUUGCUGUAUGCACUAUCAGUAUUAACUAUUCAUUCACAUGCGAGUCAUUGCUCCUUACUUGCAAUUAUUUCUAUCAUUCAAUCUUCAUAGUUCUUAAUUUCCUUCAAAAUUUCAUCUAAAACUUUUUUCCUUGCUGCUUUACUAUACCAAUCAGAGAUGGCUGCAGCUUUGGUUGGAGGUGCGUUUCUGUCUGCUUCUGUUCAAACCUUAAUGGACAAACUAACUUCACCUGAGUUUCGUGAUUAUUUCACAAGAACAGAGUUGAAUGAAUCAUUGAUGUAUGAGAUGGAAACAAGUCUACUUACUCUUGAGGUUGUACUAGAUGAUGCAGAGGAGAAGCAGAUCCUCAAACCCAGAAUCAAACAAUGGUUGGAUCGGUUAAAAGAUGCAAUCUAUGAUGCAGAGGAUUUACUCAAUCAAAUCAGCUACAAUGCCCUACGAUGCAAGCUGGAGAAGAAACAAGCUAUCAAUUCUGAAAUGGAGAAGAUUACAGAUCAGUUUCAGAACUUGCUUUCAACUACAAACUCAAAUGAAGAGAUCAAUUCUGAAAUGGAGAAGAUUUGUAAAAGGCUGCAAACUUUUGUCCAGCAGAGCACCGCCAUCGGCUUGCAACACACUGUAAGUGGUAGAGUUUCUCAUAGACUGCCUUCAAGUUCAGUGGUAAAUGAAUCUCUCAUGGUGGGUAGGAAGGGUGACAAAGAGACAAUAAUGAACAUGUUGCUAUCACAGAGAGACACAACCCAUAAUAAUAUAGGUGUUGUUGCAAUUUUGGGCAUGGGAGGUUUAGGAAAAACUACCCUUGCCCAACUUGUUUACAAUGAUAAAGAAGUUCAACAACAUUUUGAUUUGAAGGCAUGGGUUUGUGUGUCUGAGGAUUUUGAUAUUAUGAGAGUAACAAAGUCUCUCCUUGAAUCUGUCACUUCCACAACUUGGGAUAGCAAAGAUCUUGAUGUCCUUCGAGUUGAGUUAAAGAAAAUCUCGAGGGAGAAAAGAUUUUUGUUUGUGUUCGAUGAUCUGUGGAAUGACAAUUAUAAUGAUUGGAGUGAACUAGCAAGUCCCUUCAUUGAUGGAAAACCUGGAAGCAUGGUGAUUAUAACAACGCGCGAACAAAAAGUUGCUGAGGUGGCACACACAUUUCCUAUACAUAAAUUAGAACUUCUAUCAAAUGAAGAUUGUUGGUCCUUACUUUCAAAGCAUGCAUUGGGAAGCGACGAGUUUCACCAUAGUUCAAACACAACCCUUGAAGAAACAGGCAGGAAGAUUGCAAGAAAGUGUGGAGGAUUGCCAAUAGCUGCUAAAACAUUAGGAGGACUUCUACGUUCAAAGGUAGACAUAACAGAGUGGACUUCAAUUUUGAACAGCAACAUAUGGAACUUGCGCAAUGAUAAUAUUCUUCCUGCAUUGCAUUUGAGUUAUCAAUAUCUUCCCUCUCAUUUGAAGAGAUGUUUUGCAUAUUGUUCAAUUUUUCCAAAGGAUUACCCACUUGAUAGGAAGCAAUUGGUUUUGUUGUGGAUGGCAGAAGGCUUCCUUGAUUGUUCUCAAGGGGGGAAAACAAUGGAGGAAUUAGGUGAUGAUUGUUUUGCUGAAUUGUUAUCGAGAUCUUUAAUUCAACAAUCAAGCGAUGAUGCUCAUGGCGAAAAGUUUGUGAUGCAUGACCUUAUCAAUGAUUUAGCUACAUUCGUAUCAGGAAAAAUUUGUUGCAGGCUUGAAUGUGGUGACAUGCCUGAAAAUGUUCGUCACUUCUCAUAUAACCAAGAAGACUAUGACAUUUUCAUGAAGUUUGAGAAAUUAAAAAACUUCAACUGCUUGCGAAGCUUCCUAUCCACUUACUCUACGCCGUACAUAUUCAAUUGCUUAUCCUUAAAGGUGCUUGAUGAUUUGCUAUCAUCACAAAAAAGGUUGCGUGUGUUAUCUCUAUCAAAGUAUGUAAACAUCACCAAACUACCAGAUACAAUUGGCAAUUUAGUGCAAUUGCGGUAUCUAGAUAUCUCUUUCACUAAAAUCGAAAGCUUGCCUGAUACAACAUGUAACCUUUACAAUUUGCAGACCUUGAAUUUAUCAAGUUGUGGGAGUCUCACUGAAUUGCCAGUACAUAUUGGAAAUUUAGUCAAUUUACGUCAGCUUGAUAUAAGUGGGACUGACAUAAAUGAGUUGCCUGUGGAAAUUGGGGGACUAGAAAACCUUCAAACUCUCACCCUUUUUUUAGUGGGUAAGCACAAUGUAGGGUUAAGCAUCAAAGAGCUAAGGAAAUUCCCAAACCUACAGGGAAAACUUACCAUCAAGAACCUGGAUAAUGUUGUUGAUGCCAGAGAGGCACACGAUGCCAACUUGAAAAGCAAAGAGAAGAUUGAGAAGUUAGAGCUGAUAUGGGGAAAACAAAGUGAAGAUUCGCAAA